AUGCUUUAUCUGGCUAGUGAACUACCUACCUAUGUUAUUUAAACAUUUUUGCUGCCUAUAAAUUGGGCAUCAUUUCAGCAGACCACCACAGCACCUGAGCUUGCCAUCUUUUCCUGAUCUAUCUCACUCAUUUGUCAUGUAGCUACUAGCUAAGCCACCAUAUCAUCCAUGGCUUCCGGUGCCUCCACCACGUUGAAGAUUGCCUCUAUCGCCGCUUGCAUCCUGCUGGUUCUGCUGUCCAAUGGCCACCCUACAGUGGCGACCGUUGAUUGUAUUGCGGCUUGCAAAGAGCCGUGCGAGAGCUUUUCUAAGGGAUUCUACGCGGGUGGAGCCACCAGCGGUUGUGCGACUAAGGCAGCAGCUACAGCAUGCCGCAAUUCGGUGUUCUCGUAGUGUGCGAACAACUGCUACACAGUUUGCACCGCCAGGACCAUCGCGCCUUGCGCUUGAAGAUGCAUUUGUGUUCCUACUUCCACGUUAUUGUUACUGGUGAGUGUGUGCAAGCAGGCCUGCCGUCCACGGGAGGAGGCACGCAAGCCCGCAUGAUAAGCCACUGUCGUUUUUCCACUUUAUCAUUUACUUAUUGAAGGCAAUGUACGUGCCUAGCUCCUGUGUCGUUGAGCAUGUCAUCUUGGAAUUUUGUCCAAAGUUUAACAUACCAUGUUGUAUUGUUGUGUAUGGGUAUCAAUAUAAUUUAUCAACUAUUUUUCGUUUACCAUAGACAUUUCUAUGUUUAUUUGCAAGGGUUAGGGAAAUUUGCCCUUGAUAGUGUAUUAACCGCAUCUGCCAACUGAACAGAUCAACUUUCUCAACAGCCUAUCUCCUACUUGAAAAAUAUUCGCUUUAGAAAUGGUUUAUUUCUUUUCUGUGUAGCUGUAGCACCCAUCACCGUGAGGGUUACAAAACUCGGCGCAAGGGUUCCAAGCGGUGGCGCCACAAACCACAUAAGCUGUGGCGCAAGGGUUCUAGCUGGCUGGUCACAAACAACUAUUUCAUCCCGGAUGUCUUCCAUGCCCAUGGACCUGCCGCUUUCUUGAUCGAGUAAUCUAUGCCCAUGAAAGAGUUCGGUAUUUGUCUGAUCGAUGAAGACGAGGUAGCACAUUUAUGUGAAAGCAGUACUGGCGGACAUGAUGGUCGGUGGCUAUUGAUUAUCUUCCAACUCCUUUAUGGCAUUAUCCAGAAAUCAUUUGUAGGGGUGAAGUGUUUUUCUUUUGAGGGCGGACCAAAAGGUCAGCUGUCCCCCAGGGGUGGAGCUACAGUCAACCAUCGAUGAUUUGGUGGCGAGCUCUUAUAUCCUUCCCAGGAGAACUGCCCAUAUGUUGCUACGGAUAAAAAUAAUGUAUAUAAUUACAAUAAUCGUGAUUAGUUUUUUUCAAAUGUGUGACAUAUUAUCGAAUUUACAUAUCUUUCUAUGCAUUUUCCGAACAAAGAGAUAUUUUUAUAAUAAUUUUAUCAGAUUAACAUGAGACAUAAUCUUCUAUGGUAUAUUAUGUACUCUAGUAUCUAAAUCUUUUGUUUGUUUGUGUAGUCUUCUACAUUGCUCGCUUUUUAUAAUAAAAGUCGAGAGAGGUGGGCACCUGUGAACAACAAAAACCAAAAAAUGUACACAAUAAUCAAUAUAUUAUAAUUAUUAUUUUUUCCUAGAAUAAAAAUAUGGACUCAUCGAGCCCAUGAAAAGCGCAAGGAGGUGGCCCGGCAGCCCCAUCCAUCCAUCCAUUGUUAUCCACACUUGCUAAACAACUGAAUUAAAAAUAUACUUUUAUCCACACAAGAGACGGAUGAAUUGUUUGGCACUGCACUUUCUUGGACGUUGCUGUUGCUGGAAUCGGCAUUAGGAAGGCGUCGCUCGGCCGUGCAGAGGUGCCAUUGUGGCUUCGUGGAGGUGCCCCUACGUUGUGCCGGAGCGGAGGUGCAGGCAGCGUAAGCGGCCGGGUAGCACGCCACAACAUGCUGGAGACAGCGCCGAACCUCGAGCGUUCGAUUGGGGCUGCUUAUAGCGCCAACACUGCUCUGUAUCUUGCUCAGUGGAUGGGCGGACGACAGUGAGCGGCGCCUAGGAGAACUGCAAAUGCUCCUGCACACAUGCCCCAUGGGCCGGAACUGCACACUAACCCCCGCGAACGAUGGUAGUAGGGCAACAAAGCUGGCCAUGGCGCUGCUCGUUGAGCUUUCCGUGUGCGCGAACAGGCAUUUGAUAUGUUCCCUACAAAAUUAAAGGUUGUUUGAUUCAACGGUCAAAUAGUGCGAGCAUGUUAAUUGAUGCGAGUGUAUUGUGGGAACUGCAAAAGAACUGCAGGGCAUCGAGGAAGCAGUGUUGUUGCUCGGAAGUACCAGCACUGACGCGCUUUCCGUUGUGUCUCCAGCGGGGGUGGCUGCGUCUGCCCGCUCGGCAGCAGUUUCACCCUAUUCUGGGCAUCUCCCCACGCGUCUUGGCCAUCGUUACCUCUGGCAUCGUUAAGGUAUGGCUUCCUUUCAGCCUCGGCCGUUUCUUUCUCCAAUGCGCGAGUGCCAGGGUGAGCUCUGGCAGCAUGCUGCCUCCCACGGCAAUCUUGCCCAGGGCAAUCAGGUUGUAGUGCCUUGCGGCGGCUUCAAGCGUGUCGAUCGGUAGCAGGCACUCCGAGCUCUCCUUGUGCAUUUGGGGCACCUUCGCUCACGCCACCACUGUGAGGCCUGCCAGGUGUGCCACUUCAUUGUUCACAUGGUUACAAAGGCGGUGGCGCGGAAGUGUGGUGGCACGGACGAGGAAGAAAAAAUGACAGACCACGAUGAACGCAUUAAUUUAGUGCUCCGGGCAGAUUAAGAAAAAGAUUAGGGACUUUUAUACAAAACAUGCUUGACGGUUGGAAAAAACAUAUGUCACUUUAGUAUUAGGCAAGGAUGUGAUUAUAUGAUUAUAUGGACUGAUACCGGUUAAAAGAUCAUUAUCUAAUCAACCAUUCACGUCGCCCAUAGUGUAGGAAACAGGCCAUUCUAUUGCAAUCCUCUGUCGCCUAUCGCUUCCCUUGAGAAUUUGAAGUCAGAAAUUCUUUUGUUUCAAUUUUGCUAGGUCCACUAGUUUUCUUAAAUCAGAAUCAAGUUGAAACCAGAAGAGCCUUGUUAGCUUGUUUGAUCUAUACUUCUUUGUAGCAAAUGUAAAAUGACAACUCAUCUAAUGGUUGUUUCAUAUUCGAUCUGCAAGUCUUCUUCUCAUUCACACGAUGGAUGGCCAUAGGCACAAAGAGAAUCGAAGUAGUAGACGAUAAUCACUAUAGUAAAAGCUUAAAAUCUCAAAAUAUGUCAUCAUUUAUUUUUCAUUAUGUUAUCCAUAGAACUAUAGUAUGAGUUAGAAUAUUGCAUGGACAUCAGCUACAACAUUUCCUAGCUUCGCCUUCUCCGCCCCUGCAGCAGCUAGCCCAAUCCAGGAAAUGUAUUUCCCAUGUGGGGGUGAGCAGACCCUGGAAAUAAGCUGGGGGACGGACGACCAGCACGUCAACCGUCUCUGAAAAUAGCCAUCUAUAGGAGCCCAUUUCAGAGGUGGGCAACUCCAUGGUCCGUCCUAGCAGAUUGAAUUACAGGAGCAGAUGACGCGAAGCAUCACCCUGCUGCUCAACGAAAUUUUGUAAGGACAACGCGCGAAUGAAAAGGCAAGCGAAAAGCAUAAGGUCCAUUCUGCUCCGCACAUAUAUCUUAUCUCAACCACAGCUUUCCAUGUCAUCUCCUUAGAGAAACUCCGACAGAUUGAUUUUCCACAUUCCCCUUUAUCCUCUUAUAGGGCAUUCCCUUUCACGAUUUCUGAAUUUUGAAGACUAGUGGGGCAAGAAAUUUUGUAUAGUAACAAAGAUAAUCUCAGCCCCACUUGCUACACAUACAUGCACGGUAAAUAGAAAGGGUUAUUUUCUAUGUCAAAGGCAUGCUCAGCUUCAAAGUCGUUCUGUUGUUAGCAUCGUUGUGUUGUUUCUGAUAACGUGCAGGAGGAAGCGAAAACACAGAGUAGAAAGAGGAUGAGAAAUUAAAGAAGACAAUGAAGCUCACGUUCACGUCUACAUGAGGGAGCUCUCACACAAGCAAGUCCAUUCAUCCUCUGUCUCCAUGCUGUUGAUGAUGACAUGUCACAUGUCCUUUGCCUUGACGUCGGCGGCAGGCCGGCAGCCCAAUGAACCCAUGACGAACAGCAUGAGCAUGACCAGCUAACUUCAUUGCUGAGUACGACAUGUGGUUAUCCUUGCUAUAACUAAUGUUGGUCAGAAGAAGAAGCUGCUAUAAAGUUGUUCUGAAGACGCUGAGUUGUAGGCGUACGCAAGCCCCGGUUGAUUGCCUGCGAAGUUUGGAGCUUUCGAUUCCAGGAUGGAGAUGUAAAUCUGUGAUAGACUCUCUUUAUAUCUCUUUAUGUGAUACUGUUACUGUUAUUCACUGAUGAUGUGACUAUAUGUAUGAAACUUGAUCAUGUCAUACAUACAGUUAGCACUUGGUUUUGCUGUUCUAAAAUCAGGUGUGACACCUAUGAACCCAUGACGAACAGCAUGAGCGUAACCAGCUAACUUCAUUGCUGCUGCCUUUCGUAGAUGUUGGUGAACAUGACGUGUCUUUCAUCUCCACGAUGGCGACGGAUCCAAAGAUCGAAGAACAUGCAUCAACGCGAUCCGUAUGGCGUGUUUUCUGGUAUUUCCACCCCAUGAUGUAACGCCGACCGGGUUCCAUACGAGGCCUACGGCCACUCUGUUCACUUUCAUCAUGUGCUCCGAUGAGAGUUCAUCACCGUGAUAAAAGACGGAGACGAGGGCACACAGUCGUAGCUGCAAGUAAGGCCAACAGGCUCAAGGCCAUCGCUUUACAGCCAGCAGUCUUGCCUUGCAUGCACUCACGGACUAUUACCGGACUAGCAAUUGGUACUUUGACGCACUACAUGGACCCUUACAAAAUUAAAAAAAUGAACGUCAACAAGCAAAUGAAACUGCAUGAACUGAAGUAGGGAAAUGAAGACCACGUACAGUUCUUAUUGAAGCUGAAAUGUAUGUCAUAAAAGUAUUAUUGUUAGAUUGAAGUCAAUUUAAAUAUUUAAACGAGUAACGAGGGCUCGGAUUAGUAGAAGGUGUUAGUGAGGCCCUCCAAUAGACCACUCAAUGAUUUUUAGAUCCAACUGUUUAUAUAGUAAGUUCGGAUAUUUAAUUAAUAAAUUGAAGUUGCCUUAAGAUAUGCAUAGUAAAUCACAAGACCAAAGUGGAAUAACCAUUAGACAACUAAUAAAACCAUCAUUAAGUUUUUGUCUAAUUUUAGCAAUAUUGCUUAGGUUUUCUAUUUCGUCUAAAUAUAUCUUAAGCGGCUCAUAUGUCCGAAUUACCCACACAGUGAAUAAAUGUCGUUCCAGUUCAAGGAUUCAUGUGCAGUUGUCACACACUAGUGUGAACCCAUCAAGUGUGUGUCUUGCUUCCCUUUUCAAUCAACAAGCUACCUCCCUGAUUUGAAUAUAAUAAACUUAAAUGCUUCAGUUUCUAUGGUCCAUUGUUAUGUGAUGGACAUGAAAAAUGAAAAAUAUAGCCUACAAUGUUCAAAAUGCAUCUGAAGUACUAGGGUAUAAAAUAAGCUCACUGCCAUCCAAGUACAAGGGUUAACAACUAGAAAUAUAACCUUUAUUGCUAUCUGUAAACAAAAUAUGCCUGUUGAAUUACAUGUCGGGAAAGGUGAAUGCACGGAUUCACGGCUAGUAUUAGCUAAUUUUGUUGUCUUUUUUUGUUAAUAACUAGGUUUCCAAUGCCAAACUCUGCGUAAGGGUUCAGCAACUGGCUACAUAUUGGAAAGGAGUUACUGUUGGUGGCUAGCCCUCAUAAGAGAUAACUAUUUCAUCCCUGAUGCCUUCCAUGCCUAUGGAUGUACCGCGUGCUCGAGUAAGUUAUGCUUGCAGAUGGAUCUUAAACCUGAUGUCAAAUUGUGGAUAAUUGAAAGAGUUUGCUGUUUGUCUGCUUUAGGGAAGAUGGGUAGCACGUUUAUAUGCCAUUAAUUCUCAUGAAAGAGUGCAUAUACCAUGUUUGUCGCAGCAAGAUGAGGCUGUAGAGUAGUAGACGUGUAGAACAAUGGUACAGGUUGUAUGAAUAAUUUAUUGAAGGGAAUCAUAGACGCCACAGCCACUGAAGCUGUUGGGGCAUGAUUAGCCAAUGGUCUAAUUCCUGAUAUCUCCGUAUCCUAAUUUUCUGAAGCCUUACGGACUCUACCCUCCUCACUUCAUAUAUAUUAGUGUUUAUAAUAGCGGUUUUAUAAGAAGUGCUGAAGGUAUUGGUCCUGCUAUAUCUUGCUUCCACUACCGGAUUUGUGUACGAAAUAUUAAUUCUUGAGAUUUGUCAAUGAUUUUAGGACGCAAUGAUACCUUCAACUACCGGAUUGUAUAUAUAAGUUAGUCUUAGCCAGUUAUAUAUCAGAGGAGGAAGCACGCAUUAAAUAAUAAAUAACUCAUGUUGAUUCAAUUGGCAACCUGGCCUCUAAAAAGAAAAGGACUCUGUUCUCAAAAAAUGAAAAAAAGUAGCCUGCUAAUAACAAUGUCGACACUUUACAUCUGAGCAGCUAGCUCCGUGAUGCUUUAUCUGGCUAGUGAACUACCUACCUAUGUUAUUUAAACAUUUUUGCUGCCUAUAAAUUGGGCAUCAUUUCAGCGGACCACCACAGCACCUGAGCUUGCCAUCUUUUCCUGUUCUAUCUCACUCAUUUGUCCUGUAGCUACUAGCUAAGCCACCAUAUCAUCCAUGGCUUCCGGUGCCUCCACCACGUUGAAGAUUGCCUCUAUCGCCGCUUGCAUCCUGCUGGUUCUGCUGUCCAAUGGCCACCCUACAGUGGCGACCGUUGAUUGUACUGCGGCUUGCAAAGAGCCGUGCGAGAGCUUUUCUAAGGGAUUCUGCGCGGGUGGAGCCACCAGCGGUUGUGCGACUAAGGCAGCAGCUACAGCAUGCCGCAAUUCGGCGUUCUCGCAGUGUGCGAACAACUGCUACACAGUUUGCACCGCCGGGACCAUCGCGCCUUGCGCUUGAAGAUGCAUUUGUGUUCCUACUUCCACAUUAUUGUUACUGGUGAGUGUGUGCAAGCAGGCCUGCCGUCCAUGGGAGGAGGCACGCAAGCACGCAUGAUAAGCCACUGUCGUUUUUCCACUUUAUCAUUUACAUAUUUAAGGCAAUGUACGUGCCUAGCUCCUGUGUGGUUGAGCAUGUCAUCUUGGAAUUUUGUCCAAAGUUUAACAUACCAUGUUGUAUUGUUGUGUAUGGGUAUCAAUAUAAUUUAUCAACUAUUUUUCGUUUACCAUAGACAUUUCUAUGUUUAUUUGCAAGGGUUAGGGAAAUUUGUCCUUGAUAGUGUACUAACCGCGUCUGCCAACUGAACAGAUCAACUUUCUCAACAGCCUAUCUCCUACUUGAAAAAAUAUUCGCUUUAGAAAUGGUUUGUUUCUUUUCUGUGUAGCUCUAUCACCCAUCACCGUGAGGGUUACAAAACUCGGCGCAAGGGUUCCAAGCUGUGGCGCCACAAACCACAUAAGCUGUGGCGCAAGGGUUCUAGCUGGCUAGUCACAAACAACUAUUUCAUCCCGGAUGUCUUCCAUGCCCAUGGAGCUGCCGCUUUCUUGAUCGAGUAAUCUAUGCCCAUGAAAGAGUUCGGUAUUUGUCUGAUCGAGGAAGACGAGGUAGCACAUUUAUGUGAAAGCAGUACUGGCGGACAUGAUGGUCGGUGGCCUAUUGAUUAUCUUCCAACUCCUUUAUGCCAUUAUCAGUACUACAGAAAUCAUUUGUAGGGGUGAAAUGUUUUUUUUUUAGGGUGGACCAAAAGGUCUGCCACCCCCAGGGGCGGAGCUACAGUCAACCAUCGAUGAUUUGGUCGCGAGCUCUUAUAUCCUUCCCAGGAGAACUGCCCAUACGUUGCUACGGAUAAAAAUAAUGUAUAUAAUUACAUUAAUCAUGAUUCGUUAUUUCAAAUGUGUGACAUAUUAUUGAAUUUACGUAUCUUUCUAUGCAUUUUUCGAACAAAGAGAUAUUUUUAUAAUAAUUUUAUCAGAUUAACAUGAGACAUAAUCUUCUAUGGUAUAUUAUGUACUCUAGUAUGUAAAUCUUAUGUUUGUUUGUGUAGUCUUCUACGUUGCUCGCUUUUUAUAAUAAAAGUAGAGAGAGGUGUGCGCCUAUGAACAACAAAAACCCAAAAAUGUACACAAUAAUCAAUAAAUUAUAAUUAUUAUUUUUUCCUAGAAUAAAAAUAUGGACUCAUCGAGCCCAUGAAAAGCGCAAGGAGGUGGCCCGGCAGCCCCAUCCAUCCAUCCAUUGUUAUCCAUACUUGCUAAACAAAUGAAUUAAAAACAUAAUUUUAUCCACACAAGAGACGGAUUAAUUGUUUGGUACUGAACUUUCUUGGACGUUGCUGUUGCUGGAUUCGGCAUUAGGAAGGCGUCGCUCGGCCGUGCAGACGUGCCAUUGUGGCUUUGUGGAGGCACCCCUACGUUGUGUCGGAGCGGAGCUGCAGGCAGCGUAAGCGGCCGGGUAGCACGCCACAACAUGCUAGAGACAGCGCCGAGCCUUGAGCCUUCGACUGGGGCUGCUUAUAGCGCCAACACCGCUCUGUAUCUUGCUCAGUGGAUGGGCGGACGACGGCGAGCGGCGCCUAGGAGAACUGCAAAUGCUCCUGCACACAUGCCCCAUGGGCCGGAACUGCACACUAACCCCCGCGAACGAUGGUAGUAGGGCAACAAAGCUGGCCAUGGCGCUACUCGUUGAGCUUUCCGUGUGCGCGAACAGGCAUUUGAUAUGUUCCCUACAAAAUUAAAGGUUGUUUGAUUCAAUGGUCAAAUAGUGCGAGCAUGUUAAUUGAUGCGAGUGUAUUGUGGGAACUGCCAAGGAACUGCAGGGCAUCGAGCAAGCAGUGGUGUUGCUCGGAAGUACCAGCACUAACACGCUUUCCGAUGUGUCUCCAGCGGGGGUGGCAGCGUCUACCUGCUCGGCAGCAGUAGUGUCACCCUAUUCUGGGCAUCUCCCCACGCGUCUUGGCCAUCGUUACCUCUGGCAUCGUUAAGGUAUGGCUUCCUUUCAGCCUCGGCCGUUUCUUUGUCCAGUGACCGGUUAAAAGAUCAUUAUCUAAUCAACCAUUCACGUCACCCAUAGUGUAGGCAACAGGCCAUUCUAUUGCGAUCCGCUGUCGCCUAUCGCUUCCCUUCAGAAUUUGAAGUCAGAAAUUCUUUUGUUUCAAUUUUGCUACCUCCACUAGUUUUCUUAAAUCAGAAUCAUGUUGAAACCAGAAGAGCCUUGUUAGCUUGUUUGAUCUAUACUUCGUUGUAGCAAAUGUAAAAUGACAACUGGUUGUUUCAUAUUCGAUCUGCAAGUCUUCUUCUCAUUCACACGAUGGAUGGCCAUAGGCACAAAGAGAAUUGAAGUAGUAGACCAUAAUCACUAUAGUAAAAGCUUAAAAUCUCAAAAUAUGUCAUCAUUUAUUUUUCAUUAUGUUAUCCAUAGAACUAUAGUAUGAGUUAGAAUAUUGCAUGGACAUCAGAUCAGCUACAACAUUUCCUAGCUUCGCCCUUCGCCACCCCUGCAGCAGCUAGCCCAAUCCAGGAAAUGUAUUUCCCAGGUGGGGGUGAGCAGACCCUGGAAAUAAGCUGGGGACGGACCAGCACGUCAACCGUCUCUGAAAAUAGCCCAUUUCAGAGGUGGGCAACUCCAUGGUCCGUCCUAGCAGAUUGAAUUACAGCAGCAGACGACACGAAGCAUCACCCUGCUGCUCAACGAAAUUUUGUAUGGACAACGCGCAAAUGAAAAGGCAAGUGGAAAGCAUAAGGUCCAUUCUGCUCCGCACAUAUAUCUUAUCUCAACCACAGCUUUCCAUGUCAUCUCCUUAGAGAAACUCCGACAGAUUGAUUUUCCACAUUCCCCUUUAUCCUCUUAUAGGGCAUUCCCUUUCACGAUUUCUGAAUUUUGAAGACUAGUGGGGCAAGAAAUUUUGUAUAGUAACAAAGAUAAUCUCAGCCCCACUUGCUACACAUACAUGCACGGUAAAUAGAAAGGGUUAUUUUCUAUGUCAAAGGCAUGCUCAGCUUCAAAGUCGUUCUGUUGUUAGCAUCGUUGUGUUGUUUCUGAUAACGUGCAGGAGGAAGCGAAAACACAGAGUAGAAAGAGGAUGAGAAAUUAAAGAAGACAAUGAAGCUCACGUUCACGUCUACAUGAGGGAGCUCUCACACAAGCAAGUCCAUUCAUCCUCUGUCUCCAUGCUGUUGAUGAUGACAUGUCACAUGUCCUUUGCCUUGACGUCGGCGGCAGGCCGGCAGCCCAAUGAACCCAUGACGAACAGCAUGAGCAUGACCAGCUAACUUCAUUGCUGAGUACAACAUGUGGUUAUCCUUGCUAUAACUAAUGUUGGUCAGAAGAAGAAGCUGCUAUAAAGUUGUUCUGAAGACGCUGAGUUCUAGGCGUACGCAAGCCCCGGUUGAUUGCCUGCGAAGUUUGGAACCUUCGUUUCCAGGAUUAAGCUGUAAAUCUCCGAUAGACUCUCUUUAUAUCUCUUUAUGUGAUACUGUUACUGUUAUUCACUGAUGAUGUGACUAUAUGUAUGAAACUUGAUCAUGUCAUACAUACAGUUAGCACUUGGUUUUGCUGUUCUAAAAUCAGAUGUGACACCUAUGAACCCAUGACGAACAGCAUGAGCGUAACCAGCUAACUUCAUUGCUGCUGCCUUUCGUAGAUGUUGGUGAACAUGACGUGUCUUUCAUCUCCACGAUGGCGACGGAUCCAAAGAUCGAAGAACAUGCAUCAACGCGAUCCGUAUGGCGUGUUUUCUGGUAUUUCCACCCCAUGAUGUAACGCCGACCGGGUUCCAUACGAGGCCUACGGCCACUCUGUUCACUUUCAUCAUGUGCUCCGAUGAGAGUUCAUCACCGUGAUAAAAGACGGAGACGAGGGCACACAGUCGUAGCUGCAAGUAAGGCCAACAGGCUCAAGGCCAUGGCUUUACAGCCAGCAGUCUUGCCUUGCAUGCACUCACGGACUAUUACCGGACUAGCAAUUGGUACUUUGACGCACUACAUGGACCCUUACAAAAUUAAAAAAAUGAACGUCAACAAGCAAAUGAAACUGCGUGAACUGAAGUAGGGAAAUGAAGACCACGUACAGUUCUUAUUGAAGCUGAAAUGUAUGUCAUAAAAGUAUUAUUGUUAGAUUGAAGUCAAUUUAAAUAUUUAAACGAGUAACGAGGGCUCGGAUUAGUAGAAGGUGUUAGUGAGGCCCUCCAACAGACCACUCAAUGAUUUUUAGAUCCAACUGUUUAUAUAGUAAGUUCGGAUAUUUAAUUAAUAAAUUGAAGUUGCCUUAAGAUAUGCAUAGUAAAUCACAAGACCAAAGUGGAAUAACCAUUAGACAACUAAUAAAACCAUAAUUAAGUUUUUCUCUACUUAAUUUUAGCAAUAUUGCUUAGGUUUUCUAUUUCGUCUAAAAAUAUCUUAAGCGGCUCAUAUGUCCGAAUUACCCACACAGUGAAUAAAUGUCAUUCCAGUUCAAGGAUUCAUGUGCAGUUAUCACACACUAGUGUGAACCCAUCAAGUGUGUGUCUUGCUUCCCUUUUCAAUCAACAAGCUACCUCCCUGAUUUGAAUAUAAUAAACUUAAAUGCUUCAGUUUCUAUGGUCCAUUGUUAUGUGAUGGACAUGAAAAAUGAAAAAUAUAGCCUACAAUGUUCAAAAUGCAUCUGAAAUACUAGGGUAUAAAAUAAGCUCACUGCCAUCCAAGUACAAGGGUUAACAACUAGAAAUAUAACCUUUAUUGCUAUCUGUAAAGAAAAUAUGCCUGUUGAAUUACAUGUCAGGAAAGGUGAAUGCACGGAUUGACGGCUAGUAUUAGCUAAUUUUGUUGUCUUUUUUGUUAAUAACUAGGUUUCCAAUGCCAAACUCUGCGUAAGGGUUCAGCAACUGGCUACAUAUUGGAAAGGAAUUACUGUUGGUGGCUAGCCCUCAUAAGAGAUAACUAUUUCAUCCCUGAUGCCUUCCAUGCCUAUGGAUGUACCGCGUGCUCGAGUAAGCUAUGCUUGCAGAUGGAUCUUAAACCUGAUGUCAAAUUGUGGAUAAUUGAAAGAGUUUGCUGUUUGUCUGCUUUAGGGAAGAUGGGUAGCACGUUUAUAUGCCAUUAAUUCUCAUGAAAGAGUGCAUAUACCAUGUUUGUCGCAGCAAGAUGAGGCUGUAGAGUAGUAGACGUGUAGAACAAUGGUACAGGUUGUAUGAAUAAUUUAUUGAAGGGAAUCAUAGACGCCACAGCCACUGAAGCUGUUGGGGCAUGAUUAGCCAAUGGUCUAAUUCCUGAUAUCUCCGUAUCCUAAUUUUCUGAAGCCUUACGGACUCUACCCUCCUCACUUCAUAUAUAUUAGUGUUUAUAAUAGCGGUUUUAUAAGAAGUGCUGAAGGUAUUGGUCCUGCUAUAUCUUGCUUCCACUACCGGAUUUGUGUACGAAAUAUUAAUUCUUGAGAUUUGUCAAUGAUUUAAGGACGCAAUGAUACCUUCAACUACCGGAUUGUAUAUAUAAGUUAGUCUUAGCCAGUUAUAUAUCAGAGGAGGAAGCACGCAUUAAAUAAUAAAUAACUCAUGUUGAUUCAAUUGGCAACCUGGCCUCUAAAAAGAAAAGGACUCUGUUCUCAAAAAAUGAAAAAAAGUAGCCUGCUAAUAACAAUGUCGACACUUUACAUCUGAGCAGCUAGCUCCGUGAUGCUUUAUCUGGCUAGUGAACUACCUACCUAUGUUAUUUAAACAUUUUUGCUGCCUAUAAAUUGGGCAUCAUUUCAGCGGACCACCACAGCACCUGAGCUUGCCAUCUUUUCCUGUUCUAUCUCACUCAUUUGUCCUGUAGCUACUAGCUAAGCUACCAUAUCAUCCAUGGCUUCCGGUGCCUCCACCACGUUGAAGAUUGCCUCUAUCGCCGCUUGCAUCCUGCUGGUUCUGCUGUCCAAUGGCCACCCUACAGUGGCGACCGUUGAUUGUACUGCGGCUUGCAAAGAGCCGUGCGAGAGCUUUUCUAAGGGAUUCUGCGCGGGUGGAGCCACCAGCGGUUGUGCGACUAAGGCAGCAGCUACAGCAUGCCGCAAUUCGGCGUUCUCGCAGUGUGCGAACAACUGCUACACAGUUUGCACCGCCGGGACCAUCGCGUCUUGCGCUUGAAGAUGCAUUUGUGUUCCUACUUCCACAUUAUUGUUACUGGUGAGUGUGUGCAAGCAGGCCUGCUGUCCACGGGAGGAGGCACGCAAGCACGCAUGAUAAGACACUGUCGUUUUUCCACUUUAUCAUUUACAUAUUUAAGGCAAUGUACGUGCCUAGCUCCUGUGUGGUUGAGCAUGUCAUCUUGGAAUUUUGUCCAAAGUUUAACAUACCAUGUUGUAUUGUUGUGUAUGGGUAUCAAUAUAAUUUAUCAACUAUUUUUCGUUUACCAUAGACAUUUCUAUGUUUAUUUGCAAGGGUUAGGGAAAUUUGUCCUUGAUAGUGUACUAACCGCGUCUGCCAACUGAACAGAUCAACUUUCUCAACAGCCUAUCUCCUACUUGAAAAAAUAUUCGCUUUAGAAAUGGUUUGUUUCUUUUCUGUGUAGCUCUAUCACCCAUCACCGUGAGGGUUACAAAACUCGGCGCAAGGGUUCCAAGCUGUGGCGCCACAAACCACAUAAGCUGUGGCGCAAGGGUUCUAGCUGGCUAGUCACAAACAACUAUUUCAUCCCGGAUGUCUUCCAUGCCCAUGGAGCUGCCGCUUUCUUGAUCGAGUAAUCUAUGCCCAUGAAAGAGUUCGGUAUUUGUCUGAUCGAGGAAGACGAGGUAGCACAUUUAUGUGAAAGCAGUACUGGCGGACAUGAUGGUCGGUGGCCUAUUGAUUAUCUUCCAACUCCUUUAUGCCAUUAUCAGUACUACAGAAAUCAUUUGUAGGGGUGAAGUGUUUUUUUUUAGGGUGGACCAAAAGGUCUGCCACCCCCAGGGGCGGAGCUACAGUCAACCAUCGAUGAUUUGGUCGCGAGCUCUUAUAUCCUUCCCAGGAGAACUGCCCAUACGUUGCUACGGAUAAAAAUAAUGUAUAUAAUUACAUUAAUCAUGAUUCGUUAUUUCAAAUGUGUGACAUAUUAUUGAAUUUACGUAUCUUUCUAUGCAUUUUUCGAACAAAGAGAUAUUUUUAUAAUAAUUUUAUCAGAUUAACAUGAGACAUAAUCUUCUAUGGUAUAUUAUGUACUCUAGUAUGUAAAUCUUAUGUUUGUUUGUGUAGUCUUCUACGUUGCUCGCUUUUUAUAAUAAAAGUAGAGAGAGGUGUGCGCCUAUGAACAACAAAAACCCAAAAAUGUACACAAUAAUCAAUAAAUUAUAAUUAUUAUUUUUUCCUAGAAUAAAAAUAUGGACUCAUCGAGCCCAUGAAAAGCGCAAGGAGGUGGCCCGGCAGCCCCAUCCAUCCAUCCAUUGUUAUCCAUACUUGCUAAACAAAUGAAUUAAAAACAUAAUUUUAUCCACACAAGAGACGGAUUAAUUGUUUGGUACUGAACUUUCUUGGACGUUGCUGUUGCUGGAUUCGGCAUUAGGAAGGCGUCGCUCGGCCGUGCAGACGUGCCAUUGUGGCUUUGUGGAGGCACCCCUACGUUGUGUCGGAGCGGAGCUGCAGGCAGCGUAAGGGGCCGGGUAGCACGCCACAACAUGCUAGAGACAGCGCCGAGCCUUGAGCCUUCGACUGGGGCUGCUUAUAGCGCCAACACCGCUCUGUAUCUUGCUCAGUGGAUGGGCGGACGACGGCGAGCGGCGCCUAGGAGAACUGCAAAUGCUCCUGCACACAUGCCCCAUGGGCCGGAACUGCACACUAACCCCCGCGAACGAUGGUAGUAGGGCAACAAAGCUGGCCAUGGCGCUACUCGUUGAGCUUUCCGUGUGCGCGAACAGGCAUUUGAUAUGUUCCCUACAAAAUUAAAGGUUGUUUGAUUCAAUGGUCAAAUAGUGCGAGCAUGUUAAUUGAUGCGAGUGUAUUGUGGGAACUGCCAAGGAACUGCAGGGCAUCGAGCAAGCAGUGGUGUUGCUCGGAAGUACCAGCACUAACACGCUUUCCGAUGUGUCUCCAGCGGGGGUGGCAGCGUCUACCUGCUCGGCAGCAGUAGUGUCACCCUAUUCUGGGCAUCUCCCCACGCGUCUUGGCCAUCGUUACCUCUGGCAUCGUUAAGGUAUGGCUUCCUUUCAGCCUCGGCCGUUUCUUUGUCCAGUGACCGGUUAAAAGAUCAUUAUCUAAUCAACCAUUCACGUCACCCAUAGUGUAGGCAACAGGCCAUUCUAUUGCGAUCCGCUGUCGCCUAUCGCUUCCCUUCAGAAUUUGAAGUCAGAAAUUCUUUUGUUUCAAUUUUGCUACCUCCACUAGUUUUCUUAAAUCAGAAUCAUGUUGAAACCAGAAGAGCCUUGUUAGCUUGUUUGAUCUAUACUUCGUUGUAGCAAAUGUAAAAUGACAACUGGUUGUUUCAUAUUCGAUCUGCAAGUCUUCUUCUCAUUCACACGAUGGAUGGCCAUAGGCACAAAGAGAAUUGAAGUAGUAGACCAUAAUCACUAUAGUAAAAGCUUAAAAUCUCAAAAUAUGUCAUCAUUUAUUUUUCAUUAUGUUAUCCAUAGAACUAUAGUAUGAGUUAGAAUAUUGCAUGGACAUCAGAUCAGCUACAACAUUUCCUAGCUUCGCCCUUCGCCACCCCUGCAGCAGCUAGCCCAAUCCAGGAAAUGUAUUUCCCAGGUGGGGGUGAGCAGACCCUGGAAAUAAGCUGGGGACGGACCAGCACGUCAACCGUCUCUGAAAAUAGCCCAUUUCAGAGGUGGGCAACUCCAUGGUCCGUCCUAGCAGAUUGAAUUACAGCAGCAGACGACACGAAGCAUCACCCUGCUGCUCAACGAAAUUUUGUAUGGACAACGCGCAAAUGAAAAGGCAAGCGGAAAGCAUAAGGUCCAUUCUGCUCCGCACAUAUAUCUUAUCUCAACCACAGCUUUCCAUGUCAUCUCCUUAGAGAAACUCCGACAGAUUGAUUUUCCACAUUCCCCUUUAUCCUCUUAUAGGGCAUUCCCUUUCACGAUUUCUGAAUUUUGAAGACUAGUGGGGCAAGAAAUUUUGUAUAGUAACAAAGAUAAUCUCAGCCCCACUUGCUACACAUACAUGCACGGUAAAUAGAAAGGGUUAUUUUCUAUGUCAAAGGCAUGCUCAGCUUCAAAGUCGUUCUGUUGUUAGCAUCGUUGUGUUGUUUCUGAUAACGUGCAGGAGGAAGCGAAAACACAGAGUAGAAAGAGGAUGAGAAAUUAAAGAAGACAAUGAAGCUCACGUUCACGUCUACAUGAGGGAGCUCUCACACAAGCAAGUCCAUUCAUCCUCUGUCUCCAUGCUGUUGAUGAUGACAUGUCACAUGUCCUUUGCCUUGACGUCGGCGGCAGGCCGGCAGCCCAAUGAACCCAUGACGAACAGCAUGAGCAUGACCAGCUAACUUCAUUGCUGAGUACAACAUGUGGUUAUCCUUGCUAUAACUAAUGUUGGUCAGAAGAAGAAGCUGCUAUAAAGUUGUUCUGAAGACGCUGAGUUCUAGGCGUACGCAAGCCCCGGUUGAUUGCCUGCGAAGUUUGGAACCUUCGUUUCCAGGAUUAAGCUGUAAAUCUCCGAUAGACUCUCUUUAUAUCUCUUUAUGUGAUACUGUUACUGUUAUUCACUGAUGAUGUGACUAUAUGUAUGAAACUUGAUCAUGUCAUACAUACAGUUAGCACUUGGUUUUGCUGUUCUAAAAUCAGAUGUGACACCUAUGAACCCAUGACGAACAGCAUGAGCGUAACCAGCUAACUUCAUUGCUGCUGCCUUUCGUAGAUGUUGGUGAACAUGACGUGUCUUUCAUCUCCACGAUGGCGACGGAUCCAAAGAUCGAAGAACAUGCAUCAACGCGAUCCGUAUGGCGUGUUUUCUGGUAUUUCCACCCCAUGAUGUAACGCCGACCGGGUUCCAUACGAGGCCUACGGCCACUCUGUUCACUUUCAUCAUGUGCUCCGAUGAGAGUUCAUCACCGUGAUAAAAGACGGAGACGAGGGCACACAGUCGUAGCUGCAAGUAAGGCCAACAGGCUCAAGGCCAUGGCUUUACAGCCAGCAGUCUUGCCUUGCAUGCACUCACGUACUAUUACCGGACUAGCAAUUGGUACUUUGACGCACUACAUGGACCCUUACAAAAUUAAAAAAAUGAACGUCAACAAGCAAAUGAAACUGCAUGAACUGAAGUAGGGAAAUGAAGACCACGUACAGUUCUUAUUGAAGCUGAAAUGUAUGUCAUAAAAGUAUUAUUGUUAGAUUGAAGUCAAUUUAAAUAUUUAAACGAGUAACGAGGGCUCGGAUUAGUAGAAGGUGUUAGUGAGGCCCUCCAACAGACCACUCAAUGAUUUUUAGAUCCAACUGUUUAUAUAGUAAGUUCGGAUAUUUAAUUAAUAAAUUGAAGUUGCCUUAAGAUAUGCAUAGUAAAUCACAAGACCAAAGUGGAAUAACCAUUAGACAACUAAUAAAACCAUAAUUAAGUUUUUCUCUACUUAAUUUUAGCAAUAUUGCUUAGGUUUUCUAUUUCGUCUAAAAAUAUCUUAAGCGGCUCAUAUGUCCGAAUUACCCACACAGUGAAUAAAUGUCAUUCCAGUUCAAGGAUUCAUGUGCAGUUAUCACACACUAGUGUGAACCCAUCAAGUGUGUGUCUUGCUUCCCUUUUCAAUCAACAAGCUACCUCCCUGAUUUGAAUAUAAUAAACUUAAAUGCUUCAGUUUCUAUGGUCCAUUGUUAUGUGAUGGACAUGAAAAAUGAAAAAUAUAGCCUACAAUGUUCAAAAUGCAUCUGAAGUACUAGGGUAUAAAAUAAGCUCACUGCCAUCCAAGUACAAGGGUUAACAACUAGAAAUAUAACCUUUAUUGCUAUCUGUAAAGAAAAUAUGCCUGUUGAAUUACAUGUCAGGAAAGGUGAAUGCACGGAUUGACGGCUAGUAUUAGCUAAUUUUGUUGUCUUUUUUGUUAAUAACUAGGUUUCCAAUGCCAAACUCUGCGUAAGGGUUCAGCAACUGGCUACAUAUUGGAAAGGAGUUACUGUUGGUGGCUAGCCCUCAUAAGAGAUAACUAUUUCAUCCCUGAUGCCUUCCAUGCCUAUGGAUGUACCGCGUGCUCGAGUAAGCUAUGCUUGCAGAUGGAUCUUAAACCUGAUGUCAAAUUGUGGAUAAUUGAAAGAGUUUGCUGUUUGUCUGCUUUAGGGAAGAUGGGUAGCACGUUUAUAUGCCAUUAAUUCUCAUGAAAGAGUGCAUAUACCAUGUUUGUCGCAGCAAGAUGAGGCUGUAGAGUAGUAGACGUGUAGAACAAUGGUACAGGUUGUAUGAAUAAUUUAUUGAAGGGAAUCAUAGACGCCACAGCCACUGAAGCUGUUGGGGCAUGAUUAGCCAAUGGUCUAAUUCCUGAUAUCUCCGUAUCCUAAUUUUCUGAAGCCUUACGGACUCUACCCUCCUCACUUCAUAUAUAUUAGUGUUUAUAAUAGCGGUUUUAUAAGAAGUGCUGAAGGUAUUGGUCCUGCUAUAUCUUGCUUCCACUACCGGAUUUGUGUACGAAAUAUUAAUUCUUGAGAUUUGUCAAUGAUUUUAGGACGCAAUGAUACCUUCAACUACCGGAUUGUAUAUAUAAGUUAGUCUUAGCCAGUUAUAUAUCAGAGGAGGAAGCACGCAUUAAAUAAUAAAUAACUCAUGUUGAUUCAAUUGGCAACCUGGCCUCUAAAAAGAAAAGGACUCUGUUCUCAAAAAAUGAAAAAAAGUAGCCUGCUAAUAACAAUGUCGACACUUUACAUCUGAGCAGCUAGCUCCGUGAUGCUUUAUCUGGCUAGUGAACUACCUACCUAUGUUAUUUAAACAUUUUUGCUGCCUAUAAAUUGGGCAUCAUUUCAGCGGACCACCACAGCACCUGAGCUUGCCAUCUUUUCCUGUUCUAUCUCACUCAUUUGUCCUGUAGCUACUAGCUAAGCCACCAUAUCAUCCAUGGCUUCCGGUGCCUCCACCACGUUGAAGAUUGCCUCUAUCGCCGCUUGCAUCCUGCUGGUUCUGCUGUCCAAUGGCCACCCUACAGUGGCGACCGUUGAUUGUACUGCGGCUUGCAAAGAGCCGUGCGAGAGCUUUUCUAAGGGAUUCUGCGCGGGUGGAGCCACCAGCGGUUGUGCGACUAAGGCAGCAGCUACAGCAUGCCGCAAUUCGGCGUUCUCGCAGUGUGCGAACAACUGCUACACAGUUUGCACCGCCGGGACCAUCGCGCCUUGCGCUUGAAGAUGCAUUUGUGUUCCUACUUCCACAUUAUUGUUACUGGUGAGUGUGUGCAAGCAGGCCUGCCGUCCACGGGAGGAGGCACGCAAGCCCGCAUGAUAAGCCACUGUCGUUUUUCCACUUUAUCAUUUACUUAUUGAAGGCAAUGUACGAUGCCUAGCUCCUGUGUGGUUGAGCAUGUCAUCUUGGAAUUUUGUCCAAAGUUUAACAUACCAUGUUGUAUUGUUGUGUAUGGGUAUCAAUAUAAUUUAUCAACUAUUUUUCGUUUACCAUAGACAUUUCUAUGUUUAUUUGCAAGGGUUAGGGAAAUUUGUCCUUGAUAGUGUACUAACCGCGUCUGCCAACUGAACAGAUCAACUUUCUCAACAGCCUAUCUCCUACUUGAAAAAAUAUUCGCUUUAGAAAUGGUUUGUUUCUUUUCUGUGUAGCUCUAUCACCCAUCACCGUGAGGGUUACAAAACUCGGCGCAAGGGUUCCAAGCUGUGGCGCCACAAACCACAUAAGCUGUGGCGCAAGGGUUCUAGCUGGCUAGUCACAAACAACUAUUUCAUCCCGGAUGUCUUCCAUGCCCAUGGAGCUGCCGCUUUCUUGAUCGAGUAAUCUAUGCCCAUGAAAGAGUUCGGUAUUUGUCUGAUCGAGGAAGACGAGGUAGCACAUUUAUGUGAAAGCAGUACUGGCGGACAUGAUGGUCGGUGGCCUAUUGAUUAUCUUCCAACUCCUUUAUGCCAUUAUCAGUACUACAGAAAUCAUUUGUAGGGGUGAAGUGUUUUUUUUUAGGGUGGACCAAAAGGUCUGCCACCCCCAGGGGCGGAGCUACAGUCAACCAUCGAUGAUUUGGUCGCGAGCUCUUAUAUCCUUCCCAGGAGAACUGCCCAUACGUUGCUACGGAUAAAAAUAAUGUAUAUAAUUACAUUAAUCAUGAUUCGUUAUUUCAAAUGUGUGACAUAUUAUUGAAUUUACGUAUCUUUCUAUGCAUUUUUCGAACAAAGAGAUAUUUUUAUAAUAAUUUUAUCAGAUUAACAUGAGACAUAAUCUUCUAUGGUAUAUUAUGUACUCUAGUAUGUAAAUCUUAUGUUUGUUUGUGUAGUCUUCUACGUUGCUCGCUUUUUAUAAUAAAAGUAGAGAGAGGUGUGCGCCUAUGAACAACAAAAACCCAAAAAUGUACACAAUAAUCAAUAAAUUAUAAUUAUUAUUUUUUCCUAGAAUAAAAAUAUGGACUCAUCGAGCCCAUGAAAAGCGCAAGGAGGUGGCCCGGCAGCCCCAUCCAUCCAUCCAUUGUUAUCCAUACUUGCUAAACAAAUGAAUUAAAAACAUAAUUUUAUCCACACAAGAGACGGAUUAAUUGUUUGGUACUGAACUUUCUUGGACGUUGCUGUUGCUGGAUUCGGCAUUAGGAAGGCGUCGCUCGGCCGUGCAGACGUGCCAUUGUGGCUUUGUGGAGGCACCCCUACGUUGUGUCGGAGCGGAGCUGCAGGCAGCGUAAGCGGCCGGGUAGCACGCCACAACAUGCUAGAGACAGCGCCGAGCCUUGAGCCUUCGACUGGGGCUGCUUAUAGCGCCAACACCGCUCUGUAUCUUGCUCAGUGGAUGGGCGGACGACGGCGAGCGGCGCCUAGGAGAACUGCAAAUGCUCCUGCACACAUGCCCCAUGGGCCGGAACUGCACACUAACCCCCGCGAACGAUGGUAGUAGGGCAACAAAGCUGGCCAUGGCGCUACUCGUUGAGCUUUCCGUGUGCGCGAACAGGCAUUUGAUAUGUUCCCUACAAAAUUAAAGGUUGUUUGAUUCAAUGGUCAAAUAGUGCGAGCAUGUUAAUUGAUGCGAGUGUAUUGUGGGAACUGCCAAGGAACUGCAGGGCAUCGAGCAAGCAGUGGUGUUGCUCGGAAGUACCAGCACUAACACGCUUUCCGAUGUGUCUCCAGCGGGGGUGGCAGCGUCUACCUGCUCGGCAGCAGUAGUGUCACCCUAUUCUGGGCAUCUCCCCACGCGUCUUGGCCAUCGUUACCUCUGGCAUCGUUAAGGUAUGGCUUCCUUUCAGCCUCGGCCGUUUCUUUGUCCAGUGACCGGUUAAAAGAUCAUUAUCUAAUCAACCAUUCACGUCACCCAUAGUGUAGGCAACAGGCCAUUCUAUUGCGAUCCGCUGUCGCCUAUCGCUUCCCUUCAGAAUUUGAAGUCAGAAAUUCUUUUGUUUCAAUUUUGCUACCUCCACUAGUUUUCUUAAAUCAGAAUCAUGUUGAAACCAGAAGAGCCUUGUUAGCUUGUUUGAUCUAUACUUCGUUGUAGCAAAUGUAAAAUGACAACUGGUUGUUUCAUAUUCGAUCUGCAAGUCUUCUUCUCAUUCACACGAUGGAUGGCCAUAGGCACAAAGAGAAUUGAAGUAGUAGACCAUAAUCACUAUAGUAAAAGCUUAAAAUCUCAAAAUAUGUCAUCAUUUAUUUUUCAUUAUGUUAUCCAUAGAACUAUAGUAUGAGUUAGAAUAUUGCAUGGACAUCAGAUCAGCUACAACAUUUCCUAGCUUCGCCCUUCGCCACCCCUGCAGCAGCUAGCCCAAUCCAGGAAAUGUAUUUCCCAGGUGGGGGUGAGCAGACCCUGGAAAUAAGCUGGGGACGGACCAGCACGUCAACCGUCUCUGAAAAUAGCCCAUUUCAGAGGUGGGCAACUCCAUGGUCCGUCCUAGCAGAUUGAAUUACAGCAGCAGACGACACGAAGCAUCACCCUGCUGCUCAACGAAAUUUUGUAUGGACAACGCGCAAAUGAAAAGGCAAGCGGAAAGCAUAAGGUCCAUUCUGCUCCGCACAUAUAUCUUAUCUCAACCACAGCUUUCCAUGUCAUCUCCUUAGAGAAACUCCGACAGAUUGAUUUUCCACAUUCCCCUUUAUCCUCUUAUAGGGCAUUCCCUUUCACGAUUUCUGAAUUUUGAAGACUAGUGGGGCAAGAAAUUUUGUAUAGUAACAAAGAUAAUCUCAGCCCCACUUGCUACACAUACAUGCACGGUAAAUAGAAAGGGUUAUUUUCUAUGUCAAAGGCAUGCUCAGCUUCAAAGUCGUUCUGUUGUUAGCAUCGUUGUGUUGUUUCUGAUAACGUGCAGGAGGAAGCGAAAACACAGAGUAGAAAGAGGAUGAGAAAUUAAAGAAGACAAUGAAGCUCACGUUCACGUCUACAUGAGGGAGCUCUCACACAAGCAAGUCCAUUCAUCCUCUGUCUCCAUGCUGUUGAUGAUGAUAUGUCACAUGUCCUUUGCCUUGACGUCGGCGGCAGGCCGGCAGCCCAAUGAACCCAUGACGAACAGCAUGAGCAUGACCAGCUAACUUCAUUGCUGAGUACAACAUGUGGUUAUCCUUGCUAUAACUAAUGUUGGUCAGAAGAAGAAGCUGCUAUAAAGUUGUUCUGAAGACGCUGAGUUCUAGGCGUACGCAAGCCCCGGUUGAUUGCCUGCGAAGUUUGGAACCUUCGUUUCCAGGAUUAAGCUGUAAAUCUCCGAUAGACUCUCUUUAUAUCUCUUUAUGUGAUACUGUUACUGUUAUUCACUGAUGAUGUGACUAUAUGUAUGAAACUUGAUCAUGUCAUACAUACAGUUAGCACUUGGUUUUGCUGUUCUAAAAUCAGAUGUGACACCUAUGAACCCAUGACGAACAGCAUGAGCGUAACCAGCUAACUUCAUUGCUGCUGCCUUUCGUAGAUGUUGGUGAACAUGACGUGUCUUUCAUCUCCACGAUGGCGACGGAUCCAAAGAUCGAAGAACAUGCAUCAACGCGAUCCGUAUGGCGUGUUUUCUGGUAUUUCCACCCCAUGAUGUAACGCCGACCGGGUUCCAUACGAGGCCUACGGCCACUCUGUUCACUUUCAUCAUGUGCUCCGAUGAGAGUUCAUCACCGUGAUAAAAGACGGAGACGAGGGCACACAGUCGUAGCUGCAAGUAAGGCCAACAGGCUCAAGGCCAUGGCUUUACAGCCAGCAGUCUUGCCUUGCAUGCACUCACGUACUAUUACCGGACUAGCAAUUGGUACUUUGACGCACUACAUGGACCCUUACAAAAUUAAAAAAAUGAACGUCAACAAGCAAAUGAAACUGCAUGAACUGAAGUAGGGAAAUGAAGACCACGUACAGUUCUUAUUGAAGCUGAAAUGUAUGUCAUAAAAGUAUUAUUGUUAGAUUGAAGUCAAUUUAAAUAUUUAAACGAGUAACGAGGGCUCGGAUUAGUAGAAGGUGUUAGUGAGGCCCUCCAACAGACCACUCAAUGAUUUUUAGAUCCAACUGUUUAUAUAGUAAGUUCGGAUAUUUAAUUAAUAAAUUGAAGUUGCCUUAAGAUAUGCAUAGUAAAUCACAAGACCAAAGUGGAAUAACCAUUAGACAACUAAUAAAACCAUAAUUAAGUUUUUCUCUACUUAAUUUUAGCAAUAUUGCUUAGGUUUUCUAUUUCGUCUAAAAAUAUCUUAAGCGGCUCAUAUGUCCGAAUUACCCACACAGUGAAUAAAUGUCAUUCCAGUUCAAGGAUUCAUGUGCAGUUAUCACACACUAGUGUGAACCCAUCAAGUGUGUGUCUUGCUUCCCUUUUCAAUCAACAAGCUACCUCCCUGAUUUGAAUAUAAUAAACUUAAAUGCUUCAGUUUCUAUGGUCCAUUGUUAUGUGAUGGACAUGAAAAAUGAAAAAUAUAGCCUACAAUGUUCAAAAUGCAUCUGAAGUACUAGGGUAUAAAAUAAGCUCACUGCCAUCCAAGUACAAGGGUUAACAACUAGAAAUAUAACCUUUAUUGCUAUCUGUAAAGAAAAUAUGCCUGUUGAAUUACAUGUCAGGAAAGGUGAAUGCACGGAUUGACGGCUAGUAUUAGCUAAUUUUGUUGUCUUUUUUGUUAAUAACUAGGUUUCCAAUGCCAAACUCUGCGUAAGGGUUCAGCAACUGGCUACAUAUUGGAAAGGAGUUACUGUUGGUGGCUAGCCCUCAUAAGAGAUAACUAUUUCAUCCCUGAUGCCUUCCAUGCCUAUGGAUGUACCGCGUGCUCGAGUAAGCUAUGCUUGCAGAUGGAUCUUAAACCUGAUGUCAAAUUGUGGAUAAUUGAAAGAGUUUGCUGUUUGUCUGCUUUAGGGAAGAUGGGUAGCACGUUUAUAUGCCAUUAAUUCUCAUGAAAGAGUGCAUAUACCAUGUUUGUCGCAGCAAGAUGAGGCUGUAGAGUAGUAGACGUGUAGAACAAUGGUACAGGUUGUAUGAAUAAUUUAUUGAAGGGAAUCAUAGACGCCACAGCCACUGAAGCUGUUGGGGCAUGAUUAGCCAAUGGUCUAAUUCCUGAUAUCUCCGUAUCCUAAUUUUCUGAAGCCUUACGGACUCUACCCUCCUCACUUCAUAUAUAUUAGUGUUUAUAAUAGCGGUUUUAUAAGAAGUGCUGAAGGUAUUGGUCCUGCUAUAUCUUGCUUCCACUACCGGAUUUGUGUACGAAAUAUUAAUUCUUGAGAUUUGUCAAUGAUUUUAGGACGCAAUGAUACCUUCAACUACCGGAUUGUAUAUAUAAGUUAGUCUUAGCCAGUUAUAUAUCAGAGGAGGAAGCACGCAUUAAAUAAUAAAUAACUCAUGUUGAUUCAAUUGGCAACCUGGCCUCUAAAAAGAAAAGGACUCUGUUCUCAAAAAAUGAAAAAAAGUAGCCUGCUAAUAACAAUGUCGACACUUUACAUCUGAGCAGCUAGCUCCGUGAUGCUUUAUCUGGCUAGUGAACUACCUACCUAUGUUAUUUAAACAUUUUUGCUGCCUAUAAAUUGGGCAUCAUUUCAGCGGACCACCACAGCACCUGAGCUUGCCAUCUUUUCCUGUUCUAUCUCACUCAUUUGUCCUGUAGCUACUAGCUAAGCCACCAUAUCAUCCAUGGCUUCCGGUGCCUCCACCACGUUGAAGAUUGCCUCUAUCGCCGCUUGCAUCCUGCUGGUUCUGCUGUCCAAUGGCCACCCUACAGUGGCGACCGUUGAUUGUACUGCGGCUUGCAAAGAGCCGUGCGAGAGCUUUUCUAAGGGAUUCUGCGCGGGUGGAGCCACCAGCGGUUGUGCGACUAAGGCAGCAGCUACAGCAUGCCGCAAUUCGGCGUUCUCGCAGUGUGCGAACAACUGCUACACAGUUUGCACCGCCGGGACCAUCGCGCCUUGCGCUUGAAGAUGCAUUUGUGUUCCUACUUCCACAUUAUUGUUACUGGUGAGUGUGUGCAAGCAGGCCUGCCGUCCACGGGAGGAGGCACGCAAGCCCGCAUGAUAAGCCACUGUCGUUUUUCCACUUUAUCAUUUACUUAUUGAAGGCAAUGUACGAUGCCUAGCUCCUGUGUGGUUGAGCAUGUCAUCUUGGAAUUUUGUCCAAAGUUUAACAUACCAUGUUGUAUUGUUGUGUAUGGGUAUCAAUAUAAUUUAUCAACUAUUUUUCGUUUACCAUAGACAUUUCUAUGUUUAUUUGCAAGGGUUAGGGAAAUUUGUCCUUGAUAGUGUACUAACCGCGUCUGCCAACUGAACAGAUCAACUUUCUCAACAGCCUAUCUCCUACUUGAAAAAAUAUUCGCUUUAGAAAUGGUUUGUUUCUUUUCUGUGUAGCUCUAUCACCCAUCACCGUGAGGGUUACAAAACUCGGCGCAAGGGUUCCAAGCUGUGGCGCCACAAACCACAUAAGCUGUGGCGCAAGGGUUCUAGCUGGCUAGUCACAAACAACUAUUUCAUCCCGGAUGUCUUCCAUGCCCAUGGAGCUGCCGCUUUCUUGAUCGAGUAAUCUAUGCCCAUGAAAGAGUUCGGUAUUUGUCUGAUCGAGGAAGACGAGGUAGCACAUUUAUGUGAAAGCAGUACUGGCGGACAUGAUGGUCGGUGGCCUAUUGAUUAUCUUCCAACUCCUUUAUGCCAUUAUCAGUACUACAGAAAUCAUUUGUAGGGGUGAAGUGUUUUUUUUUUAGGGUGGACCAAAAGGUCUGCCACCCCCAGGGGCGGAGCUACAGUCAACCAUCGAUGAUUUGGUCGCGAGCUCUUAUAUCCUUCCCAGGAGAACUGCCCAUACGUUGCUACGGAUAAAAAUAAUGUAUAUAAUUACAUUAAUCAUGAUUCGUUAUUUCAAAUGUGUGACAUAUUAUUGAAUUUACGUAUCUUUCUAUGCAUUUUUCGAACAAAGAGAUAUUUUUAUAAUAAUUUUAUCAGAUUAACAUGAGACAUAAUCUUCUAUGGUAUAUUAUGUACUCUAGUAUGUAAAUCUUAUGUUUGUUUGUGUAGUCUUCUACGUUGCUCGCUUUUUAUAAUAAAAGUAGAGAGAGGUGUGCGCCUAUGAACAACAAAAACCCAAAAAUGUACACAAUAAUCAAUAAAUUAUAAUUAUUAUUUUUUCCUAGAAUAAAAAUAUGGACUCAUCGAGCCCAUGAAAAGCGCAAGGAGGUGGCCCGGCAGCCCCAUCCAUCCAUCCAUUGUUAUCCAUACUUGCUAAACAAAUGAAUUAAAAACAUAAUUUUAUCCACACAAGAGACGGAUUAAUUGUUUGGUACUGAACUUUCUUGGACGUUGCUGUUGCUGGAUUCGGCAUUAGGAAGGCGUCGCUCGGCCGUGCAGACGUGCCAUUGUGGCUUUGUGGAGGCACCCCUACGUUGUGUCGGAGCGGAGCUGCAGGCAGCGUAAGCGGCCGGGUAGCACGCCACAACAUGCUAGAGACAGCGCCGAGCCUUGAGCCUUCGACUGGGGCUGCUUAUAGCGCCAACACCGCUCUGUAUCUUGCUCAGUGGAUGGGCGGACGACGGCGAGCGGCGCCUAGGAGAACUGCAAAUGCUCCUGCACACAUGCCCCAUGGGCCGGAACUGCACACUAACCCCCGCGAACGAUGGUAGUAGGGCAACAAAGCUGGCCAUGGCGCUACUCGUUGAGCUUUCCGUGUGCGCGAACAGGCAUUUGAUAUGUUCCCUACAAAAUUAAAGGUUGUUUGAUUCAAUGGUCAAAUAGUGCGAGCAUGUUAAUUGAUGCGAGUGUAUUGUGGGAACUGCCAAGGAACUGCAGGGCAUCGAGCAAGCAGUGGUGUUGCUCGGAAGUACCAGCACUAACACGCUUUCCGAUGUGUCUCCAGCGGGGGUGGCAGCGUCUACCUGCUCGGCAGCAGUAGUGUCACCCUAUUCUGGGCAUCUCCCCACGCGUCUUGGCCAUCGUUACCUCUGGCAUCGUUAAGGUAUGGCUUCCUUUCAGCCUCGGCCGUUUCUUUGUCCAGUGACCGGUUAAAAGAUCAUUAUCUAAUCAACCAUUCACGUCACCCAUAGUGUAGGCAACAGGCCAUUCUAUUGCGAUCCGCUGUCGCCUAUCGCUUCCCUUCAGAAUUUGAAGUCAGAAAUUCUUUUGUUUCAAUUUUGCUACCUCCACUAGUUUUCUUAAAUCAGAAUCAUGUUGAAACCAGAAGAGCCUUGUUAGCUUGUUUGAUCUAUACUUCGUUGUAGCAAAUGUAAAAUGACAACUGGUUGUUUCAUAUUCGAUCUGCAAGUCUUCUUCUCAUUCACACGAUGGAUGGCCAUAGGCACAAAGAGAAUUGAAGUAGUAGACCAUAAUCACUAUAGUAAAAGCUUAAAAUCUCAAAAUAUGUCAUCAUUUAUUUUUCAUUAUGUUAUCCAUAGAACUAUAGUAUGAGUUAGAAUAUUGCAUGGACAUCAGAUCAGCUACAACAUUUCCUAGCUUCGCCCUUCGCCACCCCUGCAGCAGCUAGCCCAAUCCAGGAAAUGUAUUUCCCAGGUGGGGGUGAGCAGACCCUGGAAAUAAGCUGGGGACGGACCAGCACGUCAACCGUCUCUGAAAAUAGCCCAUUUCAGAGGUGGGCAACUCCAUGGUCCGUCCUAGCAGAUUGAAUUACAGCAGCAGACGACACGAAGCAUCACCCUGCUGCUCAACGAAAUUUUGUAUGGACAACGCGCAAAUGAAAAGGCAAGCGGAAAGCAUAAGGUCCAUUCUGCUCCGCACAUAUAUCUUAUCUCAACCACAGCUUUCCAUGUCAUCUCCUUAGAGAAACUCCGACAGAUUGAUUUUCCACAUUCCCCUUUAUCCUCUUAUAGGGCAUUCCCUUUCACGAUUUCUGAAUUUUGAAGACUAGUGGGGCAAGAAAUUUUGUAUAGUAACAAAGAUAAUCUCAGCCCCACUUGCUACACAUACAUGCACGGUAAAUAGAAAGGGUUAUUUUCUAUGUCAAAGGCAUGCUCAGCUUCAAAGUCGUUCUGUUGUUAGCAUCGUUGUGUUGUUUCUGAUAACGUGCAGGAGGAAGCGAAAACACAGAGUAGAAAGAGGAUGAGAAAUUAAAGAAGACAAUGAAGCUCACGUUCACGUCUACAUGAGGGAGCUCUCACACAAGCAAGUCCAUUCAUCCUCUGUCUCCAUGCUGUUGAUGAUGACAUGUCACAUGUCCUUUGCCUUGACGUCGGCGGCAGGCCGGCAGCCCAAUGAACCCAUGACGAACAGCAUGAGCAUGACCAGCUAACUUCAUUGCUGAGUACAACAUGUGGUUAUCCUUGCUAUAACUAAUGUUGGUCAGAAGAAGAAGCUGCUAUAAAGUUGUUCUGAAGACGCUGAGUUCUAGGCGUACGCAAGCCCCGGUUGAUUGCCUGCGAAGUUUGGAACCUUCGUUUCCAGGAUUAAGCUGUAAAUCUCCGAUAGACUCUCUUUAUAUCUCUUUAUGUGAUACUGUUACUGUUAUUCACUGAUGAUGUGACUAUAUGUAUGAAACUUGAUCAUGUCAUACAUACAGUUAGCACUUGGUUUUGCUGUUCUAAAAUCAGAUGUGACACCUAUGAACCCAUGACGAACAGCAUGAGCGUAACCAGCUAACUUCAUUGCUGCUGCCUUUCGUAGAUGUUGGUGAACAUGACGUGUCUUUCAUCUCCACGAUGGCGACGGAUCCAAAGAUCGAAGAACAUGCAUCAACGCGAUCCGUAUGGCGUGUUUUCUGGUAUUUCCACCCCAUGAUGUAACGCCGACCGGGUUCCAUACGAGGCCUACGGCCACUCUGUUCACUUUCAUCAUGUGCUCCGAUGAGAGUUCAUCACCGUGAUAAAAGACGGAGACGAGGGCACACAGUCGUAGCUGCAAGUAAGGCCAACAGGCUCAAGGCCAUGGCUUUACAGCCAGCAGUCUUGCCUUGCAUGCACUCACGGACUAUUACCGGACUAGCAAUUGGUACUUUGACGCACUACAUGGACCCUUACAAAAUUAAAAAAAUGAACGUCAACAAGCAAAUGAAACUGCAUGAACUGAAGUAGGGAAAUGAAGACCACGUACAGUUCUUAUUGAAGCUGAAAUGUAUGUCAUAAAAGUAUUAUUGUUAGAUUGAAGUCAAUUUAAAUAUUUAAACGAGUAACGAGGGCUCGGAUUAGUAGAAGGUGUUAGUGAGGCCCUCCAACAGACCACUCAAUGAUUUUUAGAUCCAACUGUUUAUAUAGUAAGUUCGGAUAUUUAAUUAAUAAAUUGAAGUUGCCUUAAGAUAUGCAUAGUAAAUCACAAGACCAAAGUGGAAUAACCAUUAGACAACUAAUAAAACCAUAAUUAAGUUUUUCUCUACUUAAUUUUAGCAAUAUUGCUUAGGUUUUCUAUUUCGUCUAAAAAUAUCUUAAGCGGCUCAUAUGUCCGAAUUACCCACACAGUGAAUAAAUGUCAUUCCAGUUCAAGGAUUCAUGUGCAGUUAUCACACACUAGUGUGAACCCAUCAAGUGUGUGUCUUGCUUCCCUUUUCAAUCAACAAGCUACCUCCCUGAUUUGAAUAUAAUAAACUUAAAUGCUUCAGUUUCUAUGGUCCAUUGUUAUGUGAUGGACAUGAAAAAUGAAAAAUAUAGCCUACAAUGUUCAAAAUGCAUCUGAAGUACUAGGGUAUAAAAUAAGCUCACUGCCAUCCAAGUACAAGGGUUAACAACUAGAAAUAUAACCUUUAUUGCUAUCUGUAAAGAAAAUAUGCCUGUUGAAUUACAUGUCAGGAAAGGUGAAUGCACGGAUUGACGGCUAGUAUUAGCUAAUUUUGUUGUCUUUUUUGUUAAUAACUAGGUUUCCAAUGCCAAACUCUGCGUAAGGGUUCAGCAACUGGCUACAUAUUGGAAAGGAGUUACUGUUGGUGGCUAGCCCUCAUAAGAGAUAACUAUUUCAUCCCUGAUGCCUUCCAUGCCUAUGGAUGUACCGCGUGCUCGAGUAAGUUAUGCUUGCAGAUGGAUCUUAAACCUGAUGUCAAAUUGUGGAUAAUUGAAAGAGUUUGCUGUUUGUCUGCUUUAGGGAAGAUGGGUAGCACGUUUAUAUGCCAUUAAUUCUCAUGAAAGAGUGCAUAUACCAUGUUUGUCGCAGCAAGAUGAGGCUGUAGAGUAGUAGACGUGUAGAACAAUGGUACAGGUUGUAUGAAUAAUUUAUUGAAGGGAAUCAUAGACGCCACAGCCACUGAAGCUGUUGGGGCAUGAUUAGCCAAUGGUCUAAUUCCUGAUAUCUCCGUAUCCUAAUUUUCUGAAGCCUUACGGACUCUACCCUCCUCACUUCAUAUAUAUUAGUGUUUAUAAUAGCGGUUUUAUAAGAAGUGCUGAAGGUAUUGGUCCUGCUAUAUCUUGCUUCCACUACCGGAUUUGUGUACGAAAUAUUAAUUCUUGAGAUUUGUCAAUGAUUUUAGGACGCAAUGAUACCUUCAACUACCGGAUUGUAUAUAUAAGUUAGUCUUAGCCAGUUAUAUAUCAGAGGAGGAAGCACGCAUUAAAUAAUAAAUAACUCAUGUUGAUUCAAUUGGCAACCUGGCCUCUAAAAAGAAAAGGACUCUGUUCUCAAAAAAUGAAAAAAAGUAGCCUGCUAAUAACAAUGUCGACACUUUACAUCUGAGCAGCUAGCUCCGUGAUGCUUUAUCUGGCUAGUGAACUACCUACCUAUGUUAUUUAAACAUUUUUGCUGCCUAUAAAUUGGGCAUCAUUUCAGCGGACCACCACAGCACCUGAGCUUGCCAUCUUUUCCUGUUCUAUCUCACUCAUUUGUCCUGUAGCUACUAGCUAAGCCACCAUAUCAUCCAUGGCUUCCGGUGCCUCCACCACGUUGAAGAUUGCCUCUAUCGCCGCUUGCAUCCUGCUGGUUCUGCUGUCCAAUGGCCACCCUACAGUGGCGACCGUUGAUUGUACUGCGGCUUGCAAAGAGCCGUGCGAGAGCUUUUCUAAGGGAUUCUGCGCGGGUGGAGCCACCAGCGGUUGUGCGACUAAGGCAGCAGCUACAGCAUGCCGCAAUUCGGCGUUCUCGCAGUGUGCGAACAACUGCUACACAGUUUGCACCGCCGGGACCAUCGCGCCUUGCGCUUGAAGAUGCAUUUGUGUUCCUACUUCCACAUUAUUGUUACUGGUGAGUGUGUGCAAGCAGGCCUGCCGUCCACGGGAGGAGGCACGCAAGCACGCAUGAUAAGCCACUGUCGUUUUUCCACUUUAUCAUUUACUUAUUGAAGGCAAUGUACGAUGCCUAGCUCCUGUGUGGUUGAGCAUGUCGUCUUGGAAUUUUGUCCAAAGUUUAACAUACCAUGUUGUAUUGUUGUGUAUGCGUAUCAAUAUAAUUUAUCAACUAUUUUUCGUUUACCAUAGACAUUUCUAGUUUAUUUGCAAGGGUUAGGGAAAUUUGUCCUUGAUAGUGUAUUAACCGCAUCUGCCAACUGAACAGAUCAACUUUCUCAACAGCCUAUCUCCUACUUGAAAAAUAUUCGCUUUAGAAAAGGUUUGUUUCUUUUCUGUGUAGCUGUAGCCACCGUGAGGGUUACAAAACUCGGCGCAAGGGUUCCAAGCUGUGGCACCACAAACCACAUAAGCUGUGGCACAAGGGUUCUAGCUGGGUGGUCACAAACAACUAUUUCAUCCCGGAUGUCUUCCAUGCCCAUGGACCUCACUACGGGAAACAGAACCUUUGCCGAGUGCCCCAGGCACUCGGCAAAGGCAUAAAAACACUCGGCAAAGCCUUUGCCGAGUGUAACACUCGGCAAAGAGCACACGGCAAAUGUUGUGUCGGCAAAGCAUAGUUCGCCGAGUGUCAAAACUCGGACACUCGGCAAACUUGUCACCGACGGCCAAAAAACACUCGGCGAAAAGAUGUACUCGGCGAAUUGCGGACUGACGGCGUCGGGUAACGGCGGGUUUGCCGAGUGCCAAACGGGAGGCACUCGGCAAACACCGGGUCUUUGCUGAGUGCCAACACUCGGCAAAGACCAGGAGUUUGCCGAGUGCCACGCGCCUGGCACUCAGCAAACACGGUCCCUUUGCCGAGUGCCGGCUCCCGGGCACUCGGCAAAGCCGGCUCCCUUUGCCAAGUGCCCUGACAUUAGCACUCGGCAAACCGGCCCCCUUUGCCGAGUGCCUUGACCAGAGCACUCGGCAAAGGACCUUUCCUACACCUGGGAAAUGCCCCUUUGCCGAGUGCUAUGGUCAAUGCACUCGGCAAAGGACCCUCUUUGCCGAGUGUUACACUCGGCAAAGUGACCAGAACCGCCCUUUUUUCGAUAUUUUGCCAUGUAUAACGGACCCCUCUCAAUUCACAAUACACAUAUCACAGGCAUUUGUAAUAAACAACCACAUGGAUAAUUCACAACCACAGGCAUAAUUCAUAAACACCACAGGCAUAGUUCAACAUAAGCACGAAAUAAUCCAUAAAACCAAGUUCUUCUCACAAUUUAGUUUCCACAUUGUUCACAAUCAAGUCUACUUCCGUGGAGGCCAAGGAGACCACUGCGACAAAUCUUGAUCUUCAUUAUUCAAAGCCGCCGAUUGAUUCUGCACAUAGGAUAGGACAUUCUGAGGUAACAUCUAAAGUUGUCAAAUUUAAACUAUUGAAACUUAAGCACAAUGUGUCAAGUGACUCACAGGAGUAGUCGUGGGUGGCUGAGGCGGAGGGAACAUCAUCGGCGGUGGCGGAGGCAAAGACUGUCCCAUGCUCGUAGCAAAGUUCUGCAUGUACUGGAACAUCUGCUCCAUCCUAAUCCGGUUUUCCUCCUCCAUCCUCCGCCGCAUUUCCUCCAUCUGCGACUUAAUCUCCUCUUGUGCCUUCCUUGAUUCUUCCACCUGGGCCUACAAUAUUUCAUUGCAAUGUUAUAAUGCAAAGCUAAAGUAUAACAACAAACGAACGAUGAAUGGAAGAGAAAGAACCUGUAGAGCCUCCAUCUGGAACUGUGCAGCGGUGGGUCGUGGGCGUACCGCCGGGCUCGAGUCCGUGCUCCUAGCUCGGAUCUGGGAGAGAGUGGGAGUAGAGGCCGUGUCGAUGACGCCGUCGCCAAUCCAAUAACGGCCAUGCUUCUUGCCUCCUCCCACCCUCAUCACGAUUUCUCCAUCAAUGUCCUCGGAGCUCGGAUCGAAGUCUGGCCCGUGAACUUCCCUAGCCACCUUUGUAUACUUGCUGACGCGGCUGUAUAUGCUAGGGUGGCUGUACGCCUCCGACGGGUCGUCUGGGUUGAAAUCUAUAUCGGACGUCGCCUUGCCCUUUUUGGAGAGGACCCAUGCCUUGAGCUGGGAGCAAGGUCGGCCAUCAUGUGACGCCGACUGCGGCAAAAAACAAAAUCAUUAAAAAUUACAUAGAACUGAACGUUACAAUAAAGAAUUGAAGUUGCGUACCCAUUUUUCUCUAUAUUCAUCAAGGCUUAGGCUACCUUGAUGGUGUGAUGCAGUCGGCAUCUGCAAACGCCGCUGCCGGCAAGAAAGGUGGGUCUCCAACCACCCGGGCUCCAACCACACGUCGACCAUCCUCUCCCAGCACGGCAUAUGCGCACGACACCACCACGGAGGCACCUACAUCAUCAAGCGUGUGACGUAUGAAAAAGAAAAUGAGCCUAAUUAAUCAUAAAUAGUAAGCAUCAACAUUCUAUACUUACCCUCAUGAAUUGAUCCUUAGUCAUGUUCAUUGUUCUUGCCUCCUCUUUUCUAACCUUCGUACGAUUGUAUUGAGCGUUGAAUUCUAUGAUGGCCUGGAUGCGCGCCUCGUAAUGCAUGUCCCUCACGAGCUUCUUGGCGGCUACAUCACAGAUGGCCUUCGCCUUGGCCUCGAACCCCUCCUGGCAUCUAUAGAAGUCUUGCAUAUACACGCGUAAACAGUUAUUAUUUCAAGAAUGUCGAAAGUAGCUGAUGUAUUGAGCAAUUUAGUACGAGGAGUACUUACCCACAGCUCGGCCUUGACCCGCUCCGCUAUGUUGGGGAAUCUUCUCUGUUGACGAUCAGGGACGUCGGGGGCAGCGACGUAGUGGUCCCACGUGUAGGCCGGCUGCAGCUGUCCGGCGUACACCACCAAGCCAGGGAAGUGAACCCUGCACAAAAGGCCAAGGAUCCCGUUGGCCUUACGGUUGUGGUCACCCCCGCUGAGCUUAACUCAACUCCUGCACAAGUAAUUAAUAUGAAUUAUUAGUUUUUGUAACUUACAACAUAAGAACAAUUUUAAGAAUAUUUAAAGUUACUUACUUGGUCCCAACCGGUUUAAUGAGCGAGCGUAAAUGCUCAGGUAUCGGCCGCUUCGGGAGGGAUGAGGGACCUCGCAACCAUAUCUUGGCCUGGGUAUCCCCUGCCUCCCCGUCCCCCUCCUGCUCCUGCUGCUCCUGCUCCUCCUCCUCCGCCUCCUCGUCCCCAGAGGAGUGUGCGGAAGGUACCUCCUCCUCCUCCUCCUCCUCCUCCUCCUCGUCCUCCUCCACCUCAGGUUCAGGCGACGGGGGCCUCGCCGCUUUACCCUUCCCUCGAGGCCUCUGGACCACCUCCUGCUCCUCCUCCUCCUCCUCCUCCUCAACCCUACGUCGAGGCCUGCCUCGACGCCUCCCUCGACCGCUCCCUGAACGUGACCCUGACCCUGAACGAGUCCCUGCCGCGGCCAGUCUCUCGCAAAUUGACAUGAGCUUCCUGAUACCGCCCACCAUUGCUUAAUGACCUGCAAUUAAAAAGAGUACACGAGUCAGCAUAGGCAAACAAAACAUAAUUACAAAUAUAUACAAAUUAUAAUUAAAUUAUAGCUAAAUUAUUACGAAUCAUACAUGUAUUAGAAAUAAUCAUCAUGAUCGGGAUUAGCUGGAUCAUAAGUCUCAUCAUCACUAUCACGCGUGUCGAUAUAGUCAAGCUCGUGCUCCAAAGAAGGAAUGUCGUCAUCACUGUCAUUAUCUAACUGUAAUCGUUGAAGUAAUUCUAAGUCCUUCACAUUCUGAACCUUGUCUCCACCGUCCUCUACAGCAACCCUCUCGUUGUCUACUUCCAUUCCGAUCGCUUCGGUUAAAUCUAUCACAAAACUCCCUUCGAGCCCAUCUUCUUGGAAUAACUCUCCUUCGUACGUGUCGGGGUCUAUAUUGUAAUCUUCAUUGUUUGGUACAGGUAGUUUACCGUGUGGCGAUACCUUGUACACAACAUCCCAACCCUUAAGACGGCUGUCGGUUUGGCACGGGUAUGACAAAUAAUAAACUUGCGUGGCCUAUUGAGCCACAAUAUAGACAUCGUCUCCUGGUAACUUCGAGCCCAUUCGUGCUUCAUACGGGAGGUGUAGAAUCAUAUGCUGCAUUGGAUUGAAGAAGCCUGGAGGAAAGAUCUUCUCCAACUUACAGAGCAACACAGGCGCCAUUGUUUCCAUUUCUGCAACCACGGUACGAGAUAACUCCUUCGCACAAAGCCGGCGGAAGAAAUUGCUCAACUCCGCUAGCACCUGCCACACAUGCUCAGGGACAUAGCCUCGAACCAUCACCGGAAGGAGGCGCUCAAGCCAUAUAUGGUAAUCAUGACUCUUGAGCCCGUUGAUUCGCAUAGUUGCUAAAUUCACUCCCCUCUUCAAGUUCGCUGCAUAGCCAUCAGGGAACAUUAAAGUUUGGAACCAUUCUAGAACCUCCCUCCUUUGGGCCCUCGUCAGAAUGAAAUCGGCCUUAGGCUUCCUCCACGACUUGCCAGCUCUUGGAGGCGCCAUGUUUAGCUGUGGUCUGUUGCACAAUGUCGCUUGAUCCACUCUAGCCUUAACGUUAUCCUUUGUCUUGUCAGGAAUGUCCAUUAUUGUACCAAAAAUUGCCUCGGCGAUAUUUUUUUCCGUGUGCAUUACAUCAAUGUUAUGUGGAACAAGGAGAUCCUCAAAAUAUGGAAGCUUCCACAAGCACGACUUCUGCGUCCAAGCAUGUUGCUCGCCAUAUCCCAAAAAACCACCUUCUUCAUUAUUGAACUCAAGAGCGUCUAACUGAGCACGAACUGCGGCCCCUGUCAUCAUCGGCGGUGCGGGGGCUGUAACUACAACAUCUUUGGUAAAGUUCUUCAUGUCUCGUCUAAAUGGAUGGUCAGGAGGGAGGAAUUGUCGAUGUUUGUCGAACGAGGAAUAUUUGCCCCCUUUCGACAACCAAAUGAACUUCAAAGAUGCUUUACAUACUGGGCAUGGGAACUUCCCGUGAACACACCAUCCGGAGAAAAUCCCAUAUGCUGGCAAGUCAUGCAGUGAGUACUGGUACCAAACAUGCAUCUUGAAGUUUGUCUUUGUGGAUCGGUCAUAGGUCCAUACCCCUUCCUCCCAAGCACGGAGCAAAUCAUCAAUCAAAGGCUCCAUAUACACACUCAUAUUAUUCCCCGGAUGCUCUGGAAUUAUCAACGACAAGAAUAUAUUAUGUCGUUGAAAUAGGACGCCGGGUGGGAGAUUCAGUGGGAUAACGAAAAUGGGCCAACAGGUGUACGGGGCGGCCACCAUUCCAUAGGGAUUGAACCCAUCAGUUGCCAACGCAACGCGUACGUUACGGGCUCUAGAGCUUUUGCAGGAUAAAUCGCAUCAAAGCUUCUCCAGGCUUCAACAUCGGAUGGGUGUACCAGCUUCUCUGGAUUAUAGCGACGGCCAUUUUUGUGCCAUGUCAUCUGUUUCGCGGAUUCUUCAGUCAUGAAAAGCCGUUGGAUCCUCGGUAUGAAAGGAAGAUACCGUAGAACCUUCACAGGAAUUGCGAGCUGCUUUUUCUGACCGUCACCAUAGUCAACCUCCAGAAAUCUAGACGAUUCACACUUCACACAGUAUUUUGCUUCCGCAUACUCUUUCCUAAAUAAGAUGCAUCCCUUCGGGCAAGCAUGUAUAUGCUCGUAUGGCAUCUUAAGUGCACGAAGGAGUUUCUGUGCCUCAUACAUGCUCUUUGGCAAGAUGUGACCAACCGGGAGCAGGCUUCCAAAAACUGUCAACAUAAUAUCAAACGCGUCUCGACUCAAACUAAACUGAGACUUCACAGCCAUUAGGCGUGCAAUGGCAUCUAGCUGAGAAACCUUGGUAUGGCCGUGAAGGGGAUGCUGUGCCGCAGACAACAUUUCGUAAUAAGCCUUAGCGGUAGCCUCUGGCUCCUCCUCCCUACGUGCCUCUUCGAAGUGUGCUUCAUGAAAGUCAUUUAACAUGUCUCCCACCCCGGCAUCAUCAUCAAAUUCCUCGAUUCGUUGUCUCAAGACCUCCUCUCUCCCACGGUCAGAUUCACCAUGGUAGAUCCACCUGGUGUAGUCUGACGUAAAUCCGUUCUUCACCAGAUGUUUGCCCAUCUCCAGCUUGGUUUGCCGACGCAUGUUUCCACAUUUGCUGCAAGGACACCAAGUCGAUCGAGCUCCAUUGACACUUGCAAAUGCCCGUUCCAAGAAAGCAUCAGUCUUGUCAAGCCAUUCAUUGGUCAACGUAUUCUGACUAGUGCGACCCGUGUACAUCCACUGACGAUCCUCCAUCCUCUACCAUUUAAAUAAGUAAUACAAAAUUCACAUUGCAUAUACACGCUCCUAUAUUGUCUACUAGGUAAAGAUAGGUCCUAAUCCCACCCGAGGAUGUGUAGGUGGGUUUAGUAUCCAUGGUCUACUCCGACCCGAGAUAAAAUUUCGGCAGCACCUCCCCGCUGUUCUCCAAAUACACGUCCUUGAUAGGAGAUUGUGUAUCUAGAGAACAACAGGGAGGUGCUGCCGAAAUUUUAUCUCGGGUCGGAGUAGACCAUGGAUACUAAACCCACCUACACAUCCUUGGGCUGUCCAAAAAACGUGGACAAUUCGAAACAGAUACGAUUAUAGAUAUGCAAAGAUCUGCAUAUUUCCAACCGUAUCUCUUUCGAACGGGAGACGCCUAACUAGGUUACGUGAUAUACGAACAUUAUACGGAAAGAGAGGUGUAGCAUGCCUCACCUUGCUAUCCUGCAAAGUGAUGAGUCGAGGACAGUCCUUGUAAGCCUCUCCUGCAACAAAAGAAACAAAACACUGUUUAAGUCAAAAUUCCGGCAGCAUCUCCCCUGCACGGGGAGGUUUCCAAAACCUGCAACAUAAUAAACGGCACGAUGGCCGACAACCACAAUCUCACCAAAGAGUUGGCACGAUGGCCAACAACCACAACCACACCUCUAUUCUUUUCAACCUUUUGUAAUUUCUACUAUUCCUUCUUCUCGAAUUUUCUAAAUCCAUACCUCUAAUUUAUAAAAUAAAUGCUACCUCUCUAGUAUUUUCAACAUUUAAUUUCUAAUUUCCAAUUUUCAUGCAUACUCUAAUUUACGAUGUGUAGCGGCAACAUAAACUUACCGGAGGGGUGACGGAGGAGCGGGCACGGGGCGGCGGCGGGGGUGCGGCCUGGCGGCGACGGCGCGGGGUGGCCGAGGGUUGGGGCCGGGGGUCGGGGCCGGCUGGCGCGGGGCGGCUAGGGGCGGCCGGGGCCGGCGGCGGGCGUGUGCGGGGCAGGCCGGCAGCGGGACGCCCGGGGCCGGCGUUGGGCGGCCGGGGCAGGCCGCGGGCGGCGCGGGCCGGGGACGGCCGGGGCCGGCCGCGGGCGGCGCGGGCCGGGGGCGGCGUCGGGCGUCCGGAGCGGCGUCGGGCCGGGGCGGCGCGGGCGGCGUCGGGGCGGCGUCGGGCGGCGCGCGUGGCGGCGGGGCGGGCGGCGCGCGGCGGCGGCGUGGGGCGGGCGGCGCGGGCGGCGGCGUCGGGCGGCGGCGGUGGCGUGGGGCGGGCGGCGCGGGCGGCGGCGUGGGGCAGGCGGCGGCGUGGGGCGGGCGGCGCGGGCGGCGGCGUGGGGCAGGCGGCGGCGGCGGGCGGCGCGGGCGGUCAGCGGGACGGGCGGCCGGGGCGGCGCGUGCGUGUAUGUGUGGUUGUGUGCGUGAGGACUUAGCCGAUUGGGAUUGGGUGGAUAUCCGAAAACUUUGCCGAGUGCCCGUGAUGUAGCACUCGGCACACCCUUUGCCGAGUGCUAGAUCAGGGGCACUCGGCAAAGUGUAUUUUUUUCCCCGAAAUUCGUACUGAGGCUUACACGUGGACCCGGUGUCACCUUUGCCGAGUGCCCUUGAUCUAGCACUCGGCAUACCCUUUGCCGAGUGCUAGAUCCGGGGCACUCGGCAAAGUGUAUUUUUUUCCCCGAAUUUCGUACUGACACUGUGACGUGGACCCGGGGUGACUUUGCCGAGUGCCCUAUUUAUGACACUCGGCAAACCAUGCCUUUGCCGAGUGCCCUACUUAGCACUCGGCAAACACCUACCUAUAUUGCAUGUGCAACAACACUUUUAGUAAUUAAAAGUAUGUAAACUUUGUGUAAACCUAGUCAAAUUCACUAAACAUUGCGUAUUCCAUUUUUUUAAGUAAUAUUGUACCAUUAUUUCAUGGAUUUAUAGCUCAUAUUAAAUUUAUAUCUAUUAAAUUCAUAUACGUGCAAUUAAUGAAUAAAAAUUACCAAACGGAUCUGAAAAUUUCCCAAAAUUUGACAUGAACCUAUCUAUGUUCUCUAUAGCCUAUAAAAAAAAAUUUGGACUAAAUGAGAAUUACAUUUAUCGAUUCAUCUCAAAAUCUUACCGGAUCCUUUGAACUUCUACGAAUCUUCUCCGGAGAUGCUUCGAAUUCUAAACAUCAUAUGUCAAAACUUGUGCGAAACCUUGUCAAUUUUUUACCACAGCCUCUGCAUACGAAAUCAUAGCAUCUUGCAAAAUCUCAUGAUUUUCAAACUUCGUUUGUAUUUUUGAGAAUUAAACAAUCAUUUGGCCACACGUUCGUAGUCGUGUUUCCUUAGCAAAAUGUUCGAAAUUUCUUUUCAUUUUCUGGGUGAGACCUCAAUUUAGACUCACUAACAUGAAUAUCAUUUUUCCACUCAUAUUAUUCCAUUAUUCCAACCACCUGCAGUUCAAAUUUGACUUAAAUCAAAAAAUUACUCUAAAUGAAAUUAAUUGAUUAAAUAUAGCAAACAAAACAAAAAAUAGUCCAUCUUCUACCAUGCAGUGACAAAUGCCAUACAUGUGGAGUGUAAAAAGUUUGGGGGGUGGAGGAGGGGAAAAAAAUUAUUUUUGCCGAGUGUGUCAAAAGACACUCGGCAAAGACUAUAGUUUGCCGAGUGUCCCAUCAUGACACUCGGCAAACUAGUGCCUUUGCCGAGUGUGUCAAAAGACACUCGGCAAAGACUAUAGUUUGCCGAGUGUCCCAUCAUGACACUCGGCAAACUAGUGCCUUUGCCGAGUGCCCCAUCAUGACACUCGGCAAAGACUAACGUCCGUCACGGAGUGGCGCCGCCGGCAGCACGGGGAAGUCACGUGGGCGUCAGUUUGCCGAGUGUGAAAGUUUGCCGAGUGCCUGUUGGGUGUUUGCCGAGUGUUUUUUGGGUGGCACUCGGCAAACCGGUCUUUCGCCGAGUGUUUUAUUUUUGCCGUGUGUUUUUGAUGUUACACUCGGCAAAACGGUACUUCGCCGAGUGCCCGAAAAAAAGCACUCGGCGAAGUAAUUACACUCGGCGACAUUAAGCUUUCCCGUAGUGCCUGCCGCUUUCUUGAUCGAGUAAUCUAUGCCCAUGAAAGAGUUCGGUAUUUGUCUGAUCGAGGAAGACGAGGUAGCACAUUUAUGUGAAAGCAGUACUGGCGGACAUGAUGGUCGGUGGCUAUUGAUUAUCUUCCAACUCCUUUAUGCCGUUAUCAGUACUACAAAAAUCAUUUGUAGGGGUGAAGUGUUUUUUUUUAGGGUGGACCAAAAGGUCUGCCGCCCCCAGGGGCGGAGCUACAGUCAACCAUCGAUGAUUUGGUCGCGAGCUCUUAUAUCCUUCCUAGGAGAACUGCCCAUACGUUGCUACGGAUAAAAAUAAUGUUUAUAAUUACAUUAAUCAUGAUUCGUUAUUUCAAAUGUGUGACAUAUUAUCGAAUUUACGUAUCUUUCUAUGCAUUUUUCGAACAAAGAGAUAUUUUUAUAAUAAUUUUAUCAGAUUAACAUGAGACAUAAUCUUCUAUGGUAUAUUAUGUACUCUACUAUGUAAAUUUUAUGUUUGUUUGUGUAGUCUUCUACGUUGCUCGCUUUUUAUAAUAAAAGUAGAGAGAGGUGGGCGCCUGUGAACAACAAAAACCCAAAAAUGUACACAAUAAUCAAUAUAUUAUAAUUAUUAUUUUUUCCUAGAAUAAAAAUAUGGACUCAUCGAGCCCAUGAAAAGCGCAAGGAGGUGGCCCGGCAGCCCCAUCCAUCCAUCCAUUGUUAUCCACACUUGCUAAACAACUGAAUUAAAAAUAUACUUUUAUCCACACAAGAGACGGAUGAAUUGUUUGGCACUGCACUUUCUUGGACGUUGCUGUUGCUGGAAUUGGCAUUAGGAAGGCGUCGCUCGGCCGUGCAGAGGUGCCAUUGUGGCUUUGUGGAGGUGCCCCUACGUUGUGCCGGAGCGGAGCUGCAGGCAGCGUAAGCGGCCGGGUAGCACGCCACAACAUGCUGGAGACAGCGCCGAACCUCGAGCGUUCAACUGGGGCUGCUUAUAGCGCCAACAGUGCUCUGUAUCUUGCUCAGUGGAUGGGAGGACGACGGUGAGCGGCGCCUUGGAGAACUGCAAAUGCUCCUGCACACAUGCCCCAUGGGCCGGAACUGCACACUAACCCCCGCGAACGAUGGUAGUAGGGCAACAAAGCUGGCCAUGGCGCUGCUCGUUGAGCUUUCCGUGUGCGCGAACAGGCAUUUGCUAUGUUCCCUACAAAAUUAAAGGUUGUUUGAUUCAACGGUCAAAUAGUGCGAGCAUGUUAAUUGAUGCGAGUGUAUCGUGGGAACUGCAAAAGAACUACAGGGCAUCGAGGAAGCAGUGUUGUUGCUCGGAAGUACCAGCACUGACGCGCUUUCCGAUGUGUCUCCAGCUUGAGUGGCUGCGUCUGCCCGCUCGGCAGCAGUUUCACCCUAUUCUGGGCAUCUCCCCACGCGUCUUGGCCAUCGUUACCUCUGGCAUCGUUAAGGUAUGGCUUCCUUUCAGCCUCGGCCGUUUCUUUCUCCAAUGCGCGAGUGCGAGGGCGAGCUCUGGCAGCAUGCUGCCUCCCACGGCAAUCUUGCCCAGGGCGAUCAGGUUGCACUGCCUUGCGGCGGCUUCAAGCGUGUCGAUCGGUAGCAGGCACUCCGAGCUCUCCUUGUGCAUAUGGGGCACCUUCACUCACGCCACCACUGUGAGGCCUGCCAGGUGUGCCACUUCAUUGUUCACAUGGUUACAAAGGCGGUGGCGUGGAAGUGUGGUGGCACGGACGAGGAAGAAAAAAUGACAGACCACGAUGAACGCAUUAAUUUAGUCCUCCGGGCAGAUUAAGAAAAAGAUUAGGGACUUUUAUACAAAACAUGCUUGACGGUUGGAAAAAACAUAUGUCACUUUAGUAUUAGGCAAGGAUGUGAUUAUAUGAUUAUAUGGACUGAUACCGGUUAAAAGAUCAUUAUCUAAUCAACCAUUCACGUCGCCCAUAGUGUAGGCAACAGGCCAUUCUAUUGCGAUCCUCUGUCGCCUAUCGCUUCCCUUGACAAUUGAAUUUGAAGUCAGAAAUUCUUUUGUUUCAAUUUUGCUAGGUCCACUAGUUUUCUUAAAUCAGAAUCAAGUUGAAACCAGAAGAGCCUUGUUAGCUUGUUUGAUCUAUACUUCUUUGUAGCAAAUGUAAAAUCACAACUCAUAUAAUGGUUGUUUCAUAUUCGAUCUGCAAGUCUUCUUCUCAUUCACACGAUGGAUGGCCAUAGGCACAAAGAGAAUCGAAGUAGUAGACCAUAAUCACUAUAGUAAAAGCUUAAAAUCUCAAAAUAUGUCAUCAUUUAUUUUUCAUUAUGUUAUCCAUAUAACUAUAGUAUGAGUUAGAAUAUUGCAUGGACAUCAGAUCAGCUACAACAUUUCCUAGCUUCGCCCUUCGCCGCCCCUGCAGCAGCUAGCCCAAUCCAGGAAAUGUAUUUCCCAGGUGGGGGUGAGCAGACCCUGGAAAUAAGCUGGGGACGGACCAGCACGUCAACCGUCUCUGAAAAUAGCCCAUUUCAGAGGUGGGCAACUCCAUGGUCCGUCCUAGCAGAUUGAAUUACAGGAGCUGACGACACGAAGCAACACCCUGCUGCUCAACCAAAUUUUGUAUGGACAAGGCGCAAAUGAAAAGGCAAGCGGAAAGCAUAAGGUCCAUUCUGCUCCGCACAUAUAUCUUAUCUCAACCACAGCUUUCCAUGUCAUCUCCUUAGAGAAACUCCGACAGAUUGAUUUUCCACAUUCCCCUUUAUCCUCUUAUAGGGCAUUCCCUUUCACGAUUUCUGAAUUUUGAAGACUAGUGGGGCAAGAAAUUUUGUAUAGUAACAAAGAUAAUCUCAGCCCCACUUGCUACACAUACAUGCACGGUAAAUAGAAAGGGUUAUUUUCUAUGUCAAAGGCAUGCUCAGCUUCAAAGUCGUUCUGUUGUUAGCAUCGUUGUGUUGUUUCUGAUAACGUGCAGGAGGAAGCGAAAACACAGAGUAGAAAGAGGAUGAGAAAUUAAAGAAGACAAUGAAGCUCACGUUCACGUCUACAUGAGGGAGCUCUCACACAAGCAAGUCCAUUCAUCCUCUGUCUCCAUGCUGUUGAUGAUGACAUGUCACAUGUCCUUUGCCUUGACGUCGGCGGCAGGCCGGCAGCCCAAUGAACCCAUGACGAACAGCAUGAGCAUGACCAGCUAACUUCAUUGCUGAGUACGACAUGUGGUUAUCCUUGCUAUAACUAAUGUUGGUCAGAAGAAGAAGCUGCUAUAAAGUUGUUCUGAAGACGCUGAGUUCUAGGCGUACGCAAGCCCCGGUUGAUUGCCUGCGAAGUUUGGAACCUUCGUUUCCAGGAUUAAGCUGUAAAUCUCCGAUAGACUCUCUUUAUAUCUCUUUAUGUGAUACUGUUACUGUUAUUCACUGAUGAUGUGACUAUAUGUAUGAAACUUGAUCAUGUCAUACAUACAGUUAGCACUUGGUUUUGCUGUUCUAAAAUCAGAUGUGACACCUACGAACCCAUGACGAACAGCAUGAGCGUAACCAGCUAACUUCAUUGCUGCUGCCUUUCGUAGAUGUUGGUGAACAUGACGUGUCUUUCAUCUCCACGAUGGCGACGGAUCCAAAGAUCAAAGAACAUGCAUCAACGCGAUCCGUAUGGCGUGUUUUCUGGUAUUUCCACCCCAUGAUGUAACGCCGACCGGGUUCCAUACGAGGCCUACGGCCAGUCUGUUCACUUUCAUCAUGUGCUCCGAUGAGAGUUCAUCACCGUGAUAAAAGACGGAGACGAGGGCACACAGUCGUAGCUGCAAGUAAGGCCAACAGGCUCAAGGCCAUGGCUUUACAGCCAGCAGUCUUGCCUUGCAUGCACUCACGGACUAUUACCGGACUAGCAAUUGGUACUUUGACGCACUACAUGGACCCUUACAAAAUUAAAAAAAUGAACGUCAACAAGCAAAUGAAACUGCAUGAACUGAAGUAAGCUAUUUCAUCCCUGAUGCCUUCCAUGCCUAUGGAUGUACCGCGUGCUCGAGUAAGCUAUGCUUGCAGAUGGAUCUUAAACCUGAUGUCAAAUUGUGGAUAAUUGAAAGAGUUUGCUGUUUGUCUGCUUUAGGGAAGAUGGGUAGCACGUUUAUAUGCCAUUAAUUCUCAUGAAAGAGUGCAUAUACCAUGUUUGUCGCAGCAAGAUGAGGCUGUAGAGUAGUAGACGUGUAGAACAAUGGUACAGGUUGUAUGAAUAAUUUAUUGAAGGGAAUCAUAGACGCCACAGCCACUGAAGCUGUUGGGGCAUGAUUAGCCAAUGGUCUAAUUCCUGAUAUCUCCGUAUCCUAAUUUUCUGAAGCCUUACGGACUCUACCCUCCUCACUUCAUAUAUAUUAGUGUUUAUAAUAGCGGUUUUAUAAGAAGUGCUGAAGGUAUUGGUCCUGCUAUAUCUUGCUUCCACUACCGGAUUUGUGUACGAAAUAUUAAUUCUUGAGAUUUGUCAAUGAUUUUAGGACGCAAUGAUACCUUCAACUACCGGAUUGUAUAUAUAAGUUAGUCUUAGCCAGUUAUAUAUUCGAGGAGGAAGCACGCAUUAAAUAAUAAAUAACUCAUGUUGAUUCAAUUGGCAACCUGGCCUCUAAAAAGAAAAGGACUCUGUUCUCAAAAAAUGAAAAAAAGUAGCCUGCUAAUAACAAUGUCGACACUUUACAUCUGAGCAGCUAGCUCCGUGAUGCUUUAUCUGGCUAGUGAACUACCUACCUAUAUUAUUUAAACAUUUUUGCUGCCUAUAAAUUGGGCAUCAUUUCAGCGGACCACCACAGCACCUGAGCUUGCCAUCUUUUCCUGUUCUAUCUCACUCAUUUGUCCUGUAGCUACUAGCUAAGCCACCAUAUCAUCCAUGGCUUCCGGUGCCUCCACCACGUUGAAGAUUGCCUCUAUCGCCGCUUGCAUCCUGCUGGUUCUGCUGUCCAAUGGCCACCCUACAGUGGCAACCGUUGAUUGUACUGCGGCUUGCAAAGAGCCGUGCGAGAGCUUUUCUAAGGGAUUCUGCGCGGGUGGAGCCACCAGCGGUUGUGCGACUAAGGCAGCAGCUACAGCAUGCCGCAAUUCGGCGUUCUCGCAGUGUGCGAACAACUGCUACACAGUUUGCACCGCCGGGACCAUCGCGCCUUGCGCUUGAAGAUGCAUUUGUGUUCCUACUUCCACAUUAUUGUUACUAGUGAGUGUGUGCAAGCAGGCCUGCCGUCCACGGGAGGAGGCACGCAAGCACGCAUGAUAAGCCACUGUCGUUUUUCCACUUUAUCAUUUACUUAUUGAAGGCAAUGUACGUGCCUAGCUCCUGUGUGGUUGAGCAUGUCAUCUUGGAAUUUUGUCCAAAGUUUAACAUACCAUGUUGUAUUGUUGUGUAUGGGUAUCAAUAUAAUUUAUCAACUAUUUUUCGUUUACCAUAGACAUUUCUAUGUUUAUUUGCAAGGGUUAGGGAAAUUUGUCCUUGAUAGUGUACUAACCGCGUCUGCCAACUGAACAGAUCAACUUUCUCAACAGCCUAUCUCCUACUUGAAAAAAUAUUCGCUUUAGAAAUGGUUUGUUUCUUUUCUGUGUAGCUCUAUCACCCAUCACCGUGAGGGUUACAAAACUCGGCGCAAGGGUUCCAAGCUGUGGCGCCACAAACCACAUAAGCUGUGGCGCAAGGGUUCUAGCUGGCUAGUCACAAACAACUAUUUCAUCCCGGAUGUCUUCCAUGCCCAUGGAGCUGCCGCUUUCUUGAUCGAGUAAUCUAUGCGCAUGAACGAGUUCGGUAUUUGUCUGAUCGAGGAAGACGAGGUAGCACAUUUAUGUGAAAGCAGUACUGGCGGACAUGAUGGUCGGUGGCCUAUUGAUUAUCUUCCAACUCCUUUAUGCCAUUAUCAGUACUACAGAAAUCAUUUGUAGGGGUGAAGUGUUUUUUUUUAGGGUGGACCAAAAGGUCUGCCGCCCCCAGGGGCGGAGCUAUAGUCAACCAUCGAUGAUUUGGUCGCGAGCUCUUAUAUCCUUCCCAGGAGCCCAUACGUUGCUACGGAUGAAAAUAAUGUAUAUAAUUACAUUAAUCAUGAUUCGUUAUUUCAAAUGUGUGACAUAUUAUCGAAUUUACGUAUCUUUCUAUGCAUUUUUCGAACAAAGAGAUAUUUUUAUAAUAAUUUUAUCAGAGUAACAUUAGACAUAAUCUUCUAUGGUAUAUUAUGUACUCUAGUAUGUAAAUCUUAUGUUUGUUUGUGUAGUCUUCUACGUUGCUCGCUUUUUAUAAUAAAAGUAGAGAGAGGUGUGCGCCUGUGAACAACAAAAACCCCAAAAUGUAGACAAUAAUAAAUAUAUUAUAUUUAUUAUUUUUUCCUAGAAUAAAAAUAUGGACUCAUCGAGCCCAUGACAAGCGCAAGGAGGUGGUCCGGCAGCCCCAUCCAUCCAUCCAUUGUUAUCCACACUUGCUAAACAAAUGAAUUAAAAACAUAAUUUUAUCCACACAAGAGACGGAUGAAUUGUUUGGUACUGCACUUUCUUAGACGUUGCUGUUGCUGGAUUGGGCAUUAGGAAGGCGUCGCUCGGCUGUGCAGAGGUGCCAUUGGGGCUUUGUGGAGGCACCCCUACGUUGUGUCGGAGCGGAGCUACAGGCAGCGUAAGCGGCCGGGUAGCACGCCACAACAUGCUAGAGACAGCGCCGAGCCUUGAGCCUUCGACUGGGGCUGCUUAUAGCGCCAACACCGCUCUGUAUCUUGCUCAGUGGAUGGGCGGACGACGGCGAGCGGCGCCUAGGAGAACUGCAAAUGCUCCUGCACACAUGCCCCAUGGGCCGGAACUGCACACUAACCCCCGCGAACGAUGGUAGUAGGGCAACAAAGCUGGCCAUGGCGCUGCUCGUUGAGCUUUCCGUGUGCGCGAACAGGCAUUUGAUAUAUUCCCUACAAAAUUAAAGGUUGUUUGAUUCAACGGUCAAAUAGUGCGAGCAUGUUAAUUGAUGCGAGUGUAUUGUGGGAACUGCCAAGGAACUGCAGGGCAUCGAGCAAGCAGUGGUGUUGCUCGGAAGUACCAGCACUGACGCGCUUUCUGAUGUGUCUCCAGCGGGGGUGGCAGCGUCUGCCUGCUCGGCAGCAGUUUCACCCUAUUCUGGGCAUCUCCCCACGCGUCUUGGCCAUCAUUACCUCUGGCAUUGUUAAGGUAUGGCUUCCUUUCAGCGUCGGCCGUUUCUUUCUCCAAUGACCGGUUAAAAGAUCAUUAUCUAAUCAACCAUUCACGUCGCCCAUAGUGUAGGCAACAGGCUAUUCUAUUGCGAUCCGCUGUCGCCUAUCGCUUCCCUUCAGAAUUUGAAGUCAGAAAUUCUUUUGUUUCAAUUUUGCUAGCUCCACUAGUUUUCUUAAAUCAGAAUCAAGUUGAAACCAGAAGAGCCUUGUUAGCUUGUUUGAUCUAUACUUCGUUGUAGCAAAUGUAAAAUGACAACUCAUAUAAUGGUUGUUUCAUAUUCUAUCUGCAAGUCUUCUUCUCAUUCACACGAUGGAUGGCCAUAGGCACAAAGAGAAUUGAAGUAGUAGACCAUAAUCAAUAUAGUAAAAGCUUAAAAUCUCAAAAUAUGUCAUCAUUUAUUUUUCAUUAUGUUAUCCAUAGAACUAUAGUAUGAGUUAGAAUAUUGCAUGGACAUCAGAUCAGCUACAACAUUUCCUAGCUUCGCCCUUCGCCGCCCCUGCAGCAGCUAGCCCAAUCCAGGAAAUGUAUUUCCCAGGUGGGGGUGAGCUGGAAAUAAGCUGGGGACGGACCAGCACGUCAACCGUCUCUGAAAAUAGCCCAUUUCAGAGGUGGGCAACUCCAUGGUCCGUCCUAGCAGAUUGAAUUACAGGAGCAGACGACACGAAGCAUCACCCUGCUGCUCAACCAAAUUUUGUAUGGACAACGCGCAAAUGAAAAGGCAAGCGGAAAGCAUAAGGUCCAUUCUGCUCCGCACAUAUAUCUUAUCUCAACCACAGCUUUCCAUGUCAUCUCCUUAGAGAAACUCCGACAGAUUGAUUUUCCACAUUCCCCUUUAUCCUCUUAUAGGGCAUUCCCUUUCACGAUUUCUGAAUUUUGAAGACUAGUGCGGCAAGAAAUUUUGUAUAGUAACAAAGAUAAUCUCAGCCCCACUUGCUACACAUACAUGCACGGUAAAUAGAAAUGGUCAUUUUCUAUGUCUAAGGCAUGCUCAGCUUCAAAGUCGUUCUGUUGUUAGCAUCGUUGUGUUGUUUCUGAUAACGUGCAGGAGGAAGCCAAAACACAGAGUAGAAAGAGGAUGAGAAAUUAAAGAAGACAAUGAAGCUCACGUUCACGUCUACAUGAGGGAGCUCUCACACAAGCAAGUCCAUUCAUCCUCUGUCUCCAUGCUGUUGAUGAUGACAUGUCACAUGUCCUUUGCCUUGACGUCGGCGGCAGGCCGGCAGCCCAAUGAACCCAUGACGAACAGCAUGAGCAUGACCAGCUAACUUCAUUGCUGAGUACGACAUGUGGUUAUCCUUGCUAUAACUAAUGUUGGUCAGAAGAAGAAGCUGCUAUAAAGUUGUUCUGAAGACGCUGAGUUCUAGGCGUACGCAAGCCCCGGUUGAUUGCCUGCGAAGUUUGGAACCUUCGUUUCCAGGAUUAAGCUGUAAAUCUCCGAUAGACUCUCUUUAUAUCUCUUUAUGUGAUACUGUUACUGUUAUUCACUGAUGAUGUGACUAUAUGUAUGAAACUUGAUCAUGUCAUACAUACAGUUAGCACUUGGUUUUGCUGUUCUAAAAUCAGAUGUGACACCUACGAACCCAUGACGAACAGCAUGAGCGUAACCAGCUAACUUCAUUGCUGCUGCCUUUCGUAGAUGUUGGUGAACAUGACGUGUCUUUCAUCUCCACGAUGGCGACGGAUCCAAAGAUCAAAGAACAUGCAUCAACGCGAUCCGUAUGGCGUGUUUUCUGGUAUUUCCACCCCAUGAUGUAACGCCGACCGGGUUCCAUACGAGGCCUACGGCCAGUCUGUUCACUUUCAUCAUGUGCUCCGAUGAGAGUUCAUCACCGUGAUAAAAGACGGAGACGAGGGCACACAGUCGUAGCUGCAAGUAAGGCCAACAGGCUCAAGGCCAUGGCUUUACAGCCAGCAGUCUUGCCUUGCAUGCACUCACGGACUAUUACCGGACUAGCAAUUGGUACUUUGACGCACUACAUGGACCCUUACAAAAUUAAAAAAAUGAACGUCAACAAGCAAAUGAAACUGCAUGAACUGAAGUAAGCUAUUUCAUCCCUGAUGCCUUCCAUGCCUAUGGAUGUACCGCGUGCUCGAGUAAGCUAUGCUUGCAGAUGGAUCUUAAACCUGAUGUCAAAUUGUGGAUAAUUGAAAGAGUUUGCUGUUUGUCUGCUUUAGGGAAGAUGGGUAGCACGUUUAUAUGCCAUUAAUUCUCAUGAAAGAGUGCAUAUACCAUGUUUGUCGCAGCAAGAUGAGGCUGUAGAGUAGUAGACGUGUAGAACAAUGGUACAGGUUGUAUGAAUAAUUUAUUGAAGGGAAUCAUAGACGCCACAGCCACUGAAGCUGUUGGGGCAUGAUUAGCCAAUGGUCUAAUUCCUGAUAUCUCCGUAUCCUAAUUUUCUGAAGCCUUACGGACUCUACCCUCCUCACUUCAUAUAUAUUAGUGUUUAUAAUAGCGGUUUUAUAAGAAGUGCUGAAGGUAUUGGUCCUGCUAUAUCUUGCUUCCACUACCGGAUUUGUGUACGAAAUAUUAAUUCUUGAGAUUUGUCAAUGAUUUUAGGACGCAAUGAUACCUUCAACUACCGGAUUGUAUAUAUAAGUUAGUCUUAGCCAGUUAUAUAUUCGAGGAGGAAGCACGCAUUAAAUAAUAAAUAACUCAUGUUGAUUCAAUUGGCAACCUGGCCUCUAAAAAGAAAAGGACUCUGUUCUCAAAAAAUGAAAAAAAGUAGCCUGCUAAUAACAAUGUCGACACUUUACAUCUGAGCAGCUAGCUCCGUGAUGCUUUAUCUGGCUAGUGAACUACCUACCUAUAUUAUUUAAACAUUUUUGCUGCCUAUAAAUUGGGCAUCAUUUCAGCGGACCACCACAGCACCUGAGCUUGCCAUCUUUUCCUGUUCUAUCUCACUCAUUUGUCCUGUAGCUACUAGCUAAGCCACCAUAUCAUCCAUGGCUUCCGGUGCCUCCACCACGUUGAAGAUUGCCUCUAUCGCCGCUUGCAUCCUGCUGGUUCUGCUGUCCAAUGGCCACCCUACAGUGGCAACCGUUGAUUGUACUGCGGCUUGCAAAGAGCCGUGCGAGAGCUUUUCUAAGGGAUUCUGCGCGGGUGGAGCCACCAGCGGUUGUGCGACUAAGGCAGCAGCUACAGCAUGCCGCAAUUCGGCGUUCUCGCAGUGUGCGAACAACUGCUACACAGUUUGCACCGCCGGGACCAUCGCGCCUUGCGCUUGAAGAUGCAUUUGUGUUCCUACUUCCACAUUAUUGUUACUGGUGAGUGUGUGCAAGCAGGCCUGCCGUCCACGGGAGGAGGCACGCAAGCACGCAUGAUAAGCCACUGUCGUUUUUCCACUUUAUCAUUUACUUAUUGAAGGCAAUGUACGUGCCUAGCUCCUGUGUGGUUGAGCAUGUCAUCUUGGAAUUUUGUCCAAAGUUUAACAUACCAUGUUGUAUUGUUGUGUAUGGGUAUCAAUAUAAUUUAUCAACUAUUUUUCGUUUACCAUAGACAUUUCUAUGUUUAUUUGCAAGGGUUAGGGAAAUUUGUCCUUGAUAGUGUACUAACCGCGUCUGCCAACUGAACAGAUCAACUUUCUCAACAGCCUAUCUCCUACUUGAAAAAAUAUUCGCUUUAGAAAUGGUUUGUUUCUUUUCUGUGUAGCUCUAUCACCCAUCACCGUGAGGGUUACAAAACUCGGCGCAAGGGUUCCAAGCUGUGGCGCCACAAACCACAUAAGCUGUGGCGCAAGGGUUCUAGCUGGCUAGUCACAAACAACUAUUUCAUCCCGGAUGUCUUCCAUGCCCAUGGAGCUGCCGCUUUCUUGAUCGAGUAAUCUAUGCGCAUGAACGAGUUCGGUAUUUGUCUGAUCGAGGAAGACGAGGUAGCACAUUUAUGUGAAAGCAGUACUGGCGGACAUGAUGGUCGGUGGCCUAUUGAUUAUCUUCCAACUCCUUUAUGCCAUUAUCAGUACUACAGAAAUCAUUUGUAGGGGUGAAGUGUUUUUUUUUAGGGUGGACCAAAAGGUCUGCCGCCCCCAGGGGCGGAGCUACAGUCAACCAUCGAUGAUUUGGUCGCGAGCUCUUAUAUCCUUCCCAGGAGCCCAUACGUUGCUACGGAUGAAAAUAAUGUAUAUAAUUACAUUAAUCAUGAUUCGUUAUUUCAAAUGUGUGACAUAUUAUCGAAUUUACGUAUCUUUCUAUGCAUUUUUCGAACAAAGAGAUAUUUUUAUAAUAAUUUUAUCAGAGUAACAUUAGACAUAAUCUUCUAUGGUAUAUUAUGUACUCUAGUAUGUAAAUCUUAUGUUUGUUUGUGUAGUCUUCUACGUUGCUCGCUUUUUAUAAUAAAAGUAGAGAGAGGUGUGCGCCUGUGAACAACAAAAACCCCAAAAUGUAGACAAUAAUAAAUAUAUUAUAUUUAUUAUUUUUUCCUAGAAUAAAAAUAUGGACUCAUCGAGCCCAUGACAAGCGCAAGGAGGUGGUCCGGCAGCCCCAUCCAUCCAUCCAUUGUUAUCCACACUUGCUAAACAAAUGAAUUAAAAACAUAAUUUUAUCCACACAAGAGACGGAUGAAUUGUUUGGUACUGCACUUUCUUAGACGUUGCUGUUGCUGGAUUGGGCAUUAGGAAGGCGUCGCUCGGCUGUGCAGAGGUGCCAUUGGGGCUUUGUGGAGGCACCCCUACGUUGUGUCGGAGCGGAGCUACAGGCAGCGUAAGCGGCCGGGUAGCACGCCACAACAUGCUAGAGACAGCGCCGAGCCUUGAGCCUUCGACUGGGGCUGCUUAUAGCGCCAACACCGCUCUGUAUCUUGCUCAGUGGAUGGGCGGACGACGGCGAGCGGCGCCUAGGAGAACUGCAAAUGCUCCUGCACACAUGCCCCAUGGGCCGGAACUGCACACUAACCCCCGCGAACGAUGGUAGUAGGGCAACAAAGCUGGCCAUGGCGCUGCUCGUUGAGCUUUCCGUGUGCGCGAACAGGCAUUUGAUAUAUUCCCUACAAAAUUAAAGGUUGUUUGAUUCAACGGUCAAAUAGUGCGAGCAUGUUAAUUGAUGCGAGUGUAUUGUGGGAACUGCCAAGGAACUGCAGGGCAUCGAGCAAGCAGUGGUGUUGCUCGGAAGUACCAGCACUGACGCGCUUUCUGAUGUGUCUCCAGCGGGGGUGGCAGCGUCUGCCUGCUCGGCAGCAGUUUCACCCUAUUCUGGGCAUCUCCCCACGCGUCUUGGCCAUCAUUACCUCUGGCAUUGUUAAGGUAUGGCUUCCUUUCAGCGUCGGCCGUUUCUUUCUCCAAUGACCGGUUAAAAGAUCAUUAUCUAAUCAACCAUUCACGUCGCCCAUAGUGUAGGCAACAGGCUAUUCUAUUGCGAUCCGCUGUCGCCUAUCGCUUCCCUUCAGAAUUUGAAGUCAGAAAUUCUUUUGUUUCAAUUUUGCUAGCUCCACUAGUUUUCUUAAAUCAGAAUCAAGUUGAAACCAGAAGAGCCUUGUUAGCUUGUUUGAUCUAUACUUCGUUGUAGCAAAUGUAAAAUGACAACUCAUAUAAUGGUUGUUUCAUAUUCUAUCUGCAAGUCUUCUUCUCAUUCACACGAUGGAUGGCCAUAGGCACAAAGAGAAUUGAAGUAGUAGACCAUAAUCAAUAUAGUAAAAGCUUAAAAUCUCAAAAUAUGUCAUCAUUUAUUUUUCAUUAUGUUAUCCAUAGAACUAUAGUAUGAGUUAGAAUAUUGCAUGGACAUCAGAUCAGCUACAACAUUUCCUAGCUUCGCCCUUCGCCGCCCCUGCAGCAGCUAGCCCAAUCCAGGAAAUGUAUUUCCCAGGUGGGGGUGAGCAGACCCUGGAAAUAAGCUGGGGACGGACCAGCACGUCAACCGUCUCUGAAAAUAGCCCAUUUCAGAGGUGGGCAACUCCAUGGUCCGUCCUAGCAGAUUGAAUUACAGGAGCAGACGACACGAAGCAUCACCCUGCUGCUCAACCAAAUUUUGUAUGGACAACGCGCAAAUGAAAAGGCAAGCGGAAAGCAUAAGGUCCAUUCUGCUCCGCACAUAUAUCUUAUCUCAACCACAGCUUUCCAUGUCAUCUCCUUAGAGAAACUCCGACAGAUUGAUUUUCCACAUUCCCCUUUAUCCUCUUAUAGGGCAUUCCCUUUCACGAUUUCUGAAUUUUGAAGACUAGUGCGGCAAGAAAUUUUGUAUAGUAACAAAGAUAAUCUCAGGCCCACUUGCUACACAUACAUGCACGGUAAAUAGAAAUGGUCAUUUUCUAUGUCUAAGGCAUGCUCAGCUUCAAAGUCGUUCUGUUGUUAGCAUCGUUGUGUUGUUUCUGAUAACGUGCAGGAGGAAGCCAAAACACAGAGUAGAAAGAGGAUGAGAAAUUAAAGAAGACAAUGAAGCUCACGUUCACGUCUACAUGAGGGAGCUCUCACACAAGCAAGUCCAUUCAUCCUCUGUCUCCAUGCUGUUGAUGAUAACAUAUCACAUGUCCUUUGCCUUGACGUCGGCGGCAGGCUGGCAGCCCAAUGAACCCAUGACGAACAGCAUGAGCAUGACCAGCUAACUUCAUUGCUGAGUACGACAUGUGGUUAUCCUUGCUAUAACUAAUGUUGGUCAGAAGAAGAAGCUGCUAUAAAGUUGUUCUGAAGACGCUGAGUUCUAGGCGUACGCAAGCCCCGGUUGAUUGCCUGCGAGGUUUGGAACCUUCGUUUCCAGGAUAAAGCUGUAAAUCUCUGAUAGACUCUCUUUAUAUCUCUUUAUGUGAUACUAUUACUGUUAUUCACUGAUGAUGUGACUAUAUGUAUGAAACUUGAUCAUGUCAUACAUACAGUUAGCACUUGGUUUUGCUGUUCUAAAAUCAGAUGUGACACCUACGAACCCAUGACGAACAGCAUGAGCGUAACCAGCUAACUUCAUUGCUGCUGCCUUUCGUAGAUGUUGGUGAACAUGACGUGUCUUUCAUCUCCACGAUGGCGACGGAUCCAAAGAUCGAAGAACAUGCAUCAACGCGAUCCGUAUGGCGUGUUUUCUGGUAUUUCCACCCCAUGAUGUAACGCCGACCAGGUUCCAUACGAGGCCUACGGCCACUCUGUUCACUUUCAUCACGUGCUCCGAUGAGAGUUCAUCACCGUGAUAAAAGACGGAGAUGAGGGCACACAGUCGUAGCUGCAAGUAAGGCCAACAGGCUCAAGGCCAUGGCUUUACAGCCAGCAGUCUUGCCUUGCAUGCACUCACGGACUAUUACCGGACUAGCAAUUGGUACUUUGACGCACUACAUGGACCCUUACAAAUUAAAAAAAUGAACGUCAACAAGCAAAUGAAACUGCAUGAACUGAAGUAGGGAAAUGAAGACCACGUACAGUUCUUAUUGAAGCUGAAAUGUAUGUCAUAAAAGUAUUAUUGUUAGAUUAAAGUCAAUUUAAAUAUUUAAACGAGUAACGAGGGCUCUGAUUAGUAGCAGGUGUAGUGAGGCCCUCCAAUAGACCAAUCAACGAUUUUUAGUUCCAACUGUUUAUAUGGUAAGUUCGGAUAUUUAAUUAAUAAAUUGAAGUUGCCUUAAAAUAUGCAUAGUAAAUCACAAGACCAAAGUGGAAUAACCAUUAGACAACUAAUAAAACCAUCUUUAAGUUUUUCUCUACUUUUAGCAAUAUUGCUUAGGUUUUCUAUUUCGUCUAAAUAUAUCUUAAGCGGCUCAUAUGUCCGAAUUACCCACACAGUGAAUAAAUGUCAUUCCAGUUCAAGGAUUCAUGUGCAGUUGUCACACACUAGUGUGAACCCAUCAAGUGUGUGUCUUGCUUCCCUUUUCAAUCAACAAGCUACCUCCCUGAUUUGAAUAUAAUAAACUUAAAUGCUUCAGUUUCUAUGGUCCAUUGUUAUGUGAUGGAUAUGAAAAAUGAAAAAUAUAGCCUACAAUGUUCAAAAUGCAUCUGAAGUACUAGGGUAUAAAAUAAGCUCACUGCCAUCCAAGUACAAGGGUUAACAACUAGAAAUAUAACCUUUAUUGCUAUCUGUAAAGAAAAUAUGCCUGUUGAAUUACAUGUUCGGGAAAGGUGAAUGCACGGAUUGAUGGCUACUAUUAGCUAAUGUUGUUGUCUUUUUUGUUAAUAACUAGGUUUCCAAUGCCAAACUCUGCGUAAGGGUUCAGCAACUGGCUACAUAUUGGAAAGGAGUUAGUGUUGGUGGCUAGCCCUCAUUAGAGAUAACUAUUUCAUCCCUGAUGCCUUCCAUGCCUAUGGAUGUACCGCGUGCUCGAGUAAGCUAUGCUUGCAGAUGGAUCUUAAACCUGGUGUCAAAUUGUGGAUAAUUGAAAGAGUUUGCUGUUUGCCUGCUUUAGGGAAGAUGGGUAGCACGUUUAUAUGCCAUUAUUUCUCAUGAAAGCGUGCAUAUACCAUGUUUGUCGGAGCAAGAUGAGGCUGUAGAGUAGUAGACGUGUAGAACAAUGAUACAGGUUGUAUGAAUAAUUUAUCGAAGGGGAUCAUAGACGCCACAGCCACUGAAGCUGUUGAGGCAUGAUUAGUCAAUGGUCUAAUUCCUGAUAUCUCCGUAUCCUGAUUCUCUGAAGCCUUACGGACUCUACCCUCAUCACUUCAUGUAUAUUAGUGUUUAUAAUAGCGGUUUUAUAACAAGUGCUGAAGGUAUUGGUCCUGCUAUAUCUUGCUUCCACUACCGGAUUUGUGUACAAAAUAUUAAUUCUUGAGAUUUGUCAAUGAUUUUAGGAAGCAAUGAUACCUUCAACUACCGGAUUGCAUAUAUAAGUUAGUCUUAGCCAGUUAUAUAUCAGAGGAGGAAGCACGCAUUAAAUAAUAAAUAACUCAUGUUGAUUCAACUGGUAACCUGGCCUAUGUCACUCGGAUACACCGUUUCUCUGAGGUGUUCCAGGAGGCAUAAGUUGUGGAACAAUUCCGCAACUCUUUAGAUGAUUGCUAAACUCAUCAGAUCGUAAGGCCUUAAUUUUUUUGCGAUGCUGAUUUUCAACUUCAUUCUGAAAUUCCUUGAACUUUUCAAAGGUUUCGGACUUGUACCUCAUCAAGUAGACAUAGCCAUAUCUACUAAAAUCAUCAGUGAAAGUUAUGAAGUAUUGGAAUCCUCCUCUAACCUUCGUGCUCAUUGGUCCGCAUACAUCACUAUGUACGAGUUUCAACAAGUCUACUGCUCUCUCAGGAAAUCUUGUGAAAGGUGUCUUGGUCAUCUUGCCUAGCAAGCAAGCCUCACAUAUCUCGUAUGAUUCAAAAUCAAACGAAGUUAGAAGUCCAUCAGAAUGGAGCUUUUUCAUGCGCUUUUCACUUAUAUGACCCAAAUGACAAUGCCACAAGUAGGUAGGACUCAAAUCAUUAGGCCGAGGCCUUUUAGCACUUACGUUACAGACAGGUGAACCAUGAAGAUUUAAAACAAAUAAUCCAUUCACAAUGGGCGCAAAAGCCAUAAACAUAUCAUUCUUAGAGAUCACACAACCAUUGUUUUCACUCGCAAAUCAAUAACCAUCCUUCAUCAAGCAUGAAGGAGACAAAAUGUUUCGACUUAAGCUAGGAAUGAAAUAACAAUUAUUCAACUCCAUAAUAAAUCCUGACAGGAGGUGGAGUUGCAUCGUCCCGACGGUCAACGCAGCAACUUCUUGCAUUAUUGCCCACGCGGAAAUCAACUUCUCCUCUUUCCACACUUCUACUUCUUAUCAUUCCCUGCAUCGAAUUGCAAAUAUGAGCAACCGAUCUGGUAUCAAAUACCCAAGAAUUAAUAAUUAUCUAUAACAUUAACAACAAGCGUACCUGAGGUAGAAGUAUUCUUACUUCCACCAUUCUUCAACGAAGCUAGGUAUUGCUUGCAGUUUCUCUUCCAGUGACCAGGUUCGUGACAAUAAAAGCACUCUUUGUCUGGAGUAGGCCCAGCUUUAGCCUUGGGCGCUGGGUUUGGCUUAGACACUCCAGCCUUACCCUUCUUCUUCCAAAAAUUGCCCUUCUUAUUGAAGGUAGGCUUGUUCUGUACAGCCAUCACAUGGUUGGUACUAGCGCUUUUCUUAAUGUCUACCUCUGCUGUCUUGAGCAUACCAUAUAGUAUAUUCAGACCCUUCUCCGUCCCAUGCAUAUGGUAGUUCGAGAUGAAGUUCCCAUAGCUAGGCGGAAGAGAUGAAAGAAUGAAGUCAGUGGCCAACUCUUUGCCCAUUGGGAAGCCCAUCUUCUCCAAUCGCUGAGUGUAACCAACCAUCUUGAUUACAUUUGGUCCUACUGCUGCGCCUUCUGCUAGCUUGCACUCCAGAAAGGCUUUGGACACAUUGAACCUUUCAGUCCUAGCCUGUGUCUAGAACAUGUCCUUGAGCGCCACGAUCAUAUCGUGUGCCUCAUGAUUUGUUUCGAACUGCAUCUGCAGCUCGGGUUCCAUGCAAGCAAGCAUAAGGCAGCUUACCUCAAGAUUAGCAUCAAAUGCCUUCUUGUAAGCAGCCUUAACGGCAGCAGAUGAAUCAUCAGCAGGUACUGGUGGUAGUGGGGUGUCUAGAACAUCUUCCUUUUUAUCGGCCCUGAGAACAAUUCUCAGGUUACGGAUCCAAUCCGAGUAGUUUGUUCCAUUCAACUUGUCCUCUCAAGGACCGAACGCAAAGCAAAUGGUGUGGUGUUGCUAGGUGCCAUUUAAUCUACAACAAAAGUAAUGCAAAAUACACUAAGACAAACAUAUCCAUGAUAGAGCAAAUCACAUUAAACUAUGUUAACAGAAUCUACUCCCACUAAAAUCAAUAUCCCUCUAUUGAUACUUAGUGAUUCAGGAUCCACAACUAACAAGUCUACUAGUGAGCUUUAGCAUCACCGCUAGCAAACAAAGUAGAUCGGUAAGCAACUUUUCCUAAUCAUAUCACAUAUGACUCCUGUUGUUGGGUGACAUCUCCAUGUCUCGGCGCCCAACCUUUAUGCCCCAAGGUCCUUAAACGUUAAGUUAACCUUGUUAAGCAAACCAACCCUUAUGCAUGUAAGUGUGCGACACAAACCCGUCUAAUCAAGAAAAACUAGUGGCACCCUAAUUUCAUAGACCCACCACUAAUUGUACAAGACAUGGGACGGUGCAAGUUUUAGUUGGGAGGGCAUACUAACUUAAACUUUGUGAGGGAUCGUUCUACUUCUAACAUCACAGCAUGCAGAAAGUAAAACAUAAACAGAAUAGCAUUCACACAGUUGUGACACAGUAUGGCCCGUUUUCUUAUGGUGAUCUUCAUCUCCAUAGAACCUGUUCACCAUGGUGAUCUCCAUCUCCAUGUUCCAUGUGCGCCAUCCUCUUGGUGAUGAGUCCUCCAAGAACUAGAACAUGCUAUUACGCCUAAUAGCUAGUAAAAAGCUAGUAAUGAAGAUUACAUAGUUGGUUGGAUCAUCACAGAUUGGUACGCAGACCAUUAAAUACAUUAAGGUGACAACACAUAUGGCUCCUGCCGUGUUGCCGUACGCACGACACGCAGGUCACGAAUGAGUUACACACAUGCAUCACAUACACAAAGGGGCCAUACUGAUCACAAGAUACAUACAUCUUGCAAAACAGAGUUAAGCGUCCUAACGUUCCAAACUUUGGAGGCCCGAAACUCCAUCUUCCAAGACAAAUUUGGGAAAUCUAAUUUCGCCGAAAAUGGCGAAGCGGUCGAAUUUCAUGUGUAACUUUUUCUGUAGAUCAAUUUUUAUAUAAAAUUCGCCCCGAUCCGAGAUCGUAUCGAAAAGUUACGGCUGAUUUACCGAAGCAUACGCACACGGCAAAAUCCCGACCCCGGCAGUAGAUCCCAUCUACUAUUGCACAUCUCAUGUGCCUGGCGUAUGAACCUAGAUUUCGAUUCGACCAAUCACAUUGAUCUUCGCACACUGCAACUGGAAUUACGUGUAUCACCUAACUCCGAUGGUGGAAACCCGACCGGUAGGAGUAUGUCGUUACACUACCAUAGCAGCAAGAACAGGAAACCAGGACAGAGAUCAAAUUGAAAACUCGCAUAUCUCCAUAUGCACACAUCCCGAAUCCAAAACUAAACAGCUACGGCUCUGAUACCACUGUCGGGAUACGAGGUAGGCUACACUAGCGCAAAUCAAAAAUUUUCUACCGCGUAAACCAGGGAAACUGCCGUAUAAGGAUCACGGGAUUACCACUCGACGCACUACUAGUGCGGAAGAUGUAGAUUCACGUCGAUGCAGCGAAGUCGAUCAACGUAGUCGUACGUAGUCGAUCACGUCGACGUCCAACAGCUCCUCAGCAGCUCGUCCACGUGCAGCAAGAUCUCCCUCGUGCCGCGGCUUGUCGGCGGCUCGUCACGGCUCGUCGGCGGCUCGUCCAAGUGCUGCAGGCGCAACACCUCCAAGGUAUCCACACGUGCAGGGAGGAAGCGUCACAAGCCGGACUGCUAGAUCCGUGAGUUGCAACAGGCGUGGGAGGCGCGGCUGAUGAGUUUCGUCAAAAAGGUGUAAACCUUAGGGCGCCCCCACCCCUCUAUUUAUAGAGGUUCCUAACGGGCCUCUGGGUCCAAGGCCCAUUAGUACUUCUAAACCUAAUCCAACUCGGAUCACAUCCGAAUUGGGCUUCCAGCCCCUUAAGUGUGUGACCCUAUGGGUUCGGAUACGUAUAGACAUGGCCCGAGUACUCUUACUCGGCCCAAUAGUCGGUAGCGGCCUCUAGCAAGACGUGCCAACUCCUAUAUGCACACGAAGAUCAUAUCAGACGAACCAUCACAACAUUAUAUACAUGCUAUUCCCUUUGCCUCACAAUAUUUGGUCUAGCUUCAAGCCGACCGCUCUUUCUCGAUCCUAUGAUUCGGAAUCCCUUUGUAGGUUAACUCUUAACCGUACGUAGCAUGGCCAUGCAUUUUUGGAUCCGAUCACUCGAGGGGCCCAGAGAUAUCACUCUCAAUCAGAGAGGGGAAAAUCCCAUCUUGAUUAACCAUGUCUCAUAGCAUGCUUCUUGACAAACCCGAAAGCUACCUUUAUAACUACCCUGUUACGGCGUAGCGUUUGAUAGCCUCUAAGUAGGUCGAUCCACAUCUUGAAUACAUGCGACAAUCUCAGGUCUAAGGACAAAGCGUAUAUGAUGUUUAAAGAGAGAACUACUUCUCAUGUUGGGUCAGUCCUAGCACAUGUCUCCACAUGAACCCACAUUAUUAGUUCAACAUCUCCAUGUCCAUGACUUGUGAAACAUAGUCAUCAACUAAUACAUGUGCUAGUCUAAUAUUCAUGUGUGUCCUCACAUGAACUCCGACUAGGGACAACUUUAGAAUAACCAUACAAGUAAAGAGUUUCACACACAAUUCAUGUAAUUGCAAAUCAAUUCAAGUAGUCUUUAAUGGAUAUUCAAGGAACACAAAAUAAAUCAUGGAUACAAAUGGAAUAUCAUCAUCUCUAUGAUUGCCUCUAGGGCAUACCUCCAACAAUUUGCAGGGUCAUGCACCAUGCGUGCGGCGACCCAUCCAUCGGACAGCGCAUGGCAUUGCACAAGACGUACUGGGAGGAUAUGCAGUGGAAUGAGCCAGACAGGUACUACGCCCUCCUCGCUCUGCUAGUUGGUGUGGGGAACCUGGAGGCCUGCACCAUCAAAGGGAUUGUAGAUUUCUUCGCCGUCCCCCGGCCAUCCCUCCAAAAGCUUUCCCGCACCACACCGGGUGGGCAUGAUAUGAGGGCCUAUCUUUACGCCCUGAUGAUAUACAGGAACAACAGUGCAAUCAUGGACGAUGACAUUGCGAAGAGAUAAAUCUACCACGUCGAAUGCAAGGAUGGUUCGGCAGUGAGCGGGAGCACAAGCUCAAAGAAGCUGCGCAACGAUGCCUGUCAGGUGUGCCGCGAGGAGGCCGCCUACCUAGUCAAUAGAGUUACAUGGGGCGGGCAUGGUGAUCCGCUUUCACCGGCACCAGUUUGAGGCGACUUCCCUUGCAUUGGAGGCGACUGCGGCAAGGUUAAGGGCUGGGAACAAGCUACGCUUUAUUGCAACGAGGACUAUAGGAUACGCCAUGAAAUUGUAGCGUUCAAAAGGAGAAUGGAGAUCGAUAACUAAUUGUAGGAUUUCUUUUGCUUUUGCCUAAUGUUGUCCAUGACUCGUUGGCUGAACUUGUAGUGCUGGAACUAUGUUUGUGGUUAAUUUGGCUCAACUUGUAGUCACUACAAGGUUUUGUCUAUCCAAUGGAGUUGUAUUUUCGCAAUGUGUUUUUGUGUCUAAGCACACCUUACACCUCCCUACAUAUAGGUGUUAUGAUGCACAUAUAAAAAGAACCCACACUUGGGUACCUUCAUUUGUCCUUGGAUUUCAAUUGUGGGACCCACUACAUCCCGCUAGGUUGUGCCUCAAAUUUUUAGUACUAGUGCAAUGUUUCCUCCAUUCUUUUUUUCCUAAACCCUCAAAUAUAUCUCAGCCUCUACCCCACUUGCCCCCAAAACUGCGCUGGCUGCGUUAGGGGGGGCAACGGUUCCUCUCUGCCCAAGCGACUCCAUCCAUGGCAACUCCUCCUUCCAUGGCGACUCCUUCCAUGGCCGGCGAUGGAGAACCCAGCACACGACCAAGUACGGUCAGAGUCGAGGAAGCCGAUAUUGAAAACAAAUGUUACAGGUUCGCAUCCACCUUUAACGCCUUCUAGGUUAGGGCAGAAAAUUUCUACACAUUAAUUGCGUACAAUCGAUUUGAUGCUGCCUCAUUGGCGCAUGCUUUUAUAAAUCACAGAUCUGAUUACUACUGAUUAGUUUUUCGCAUAGCACUAGUAGUACUACAUCUUCAUUCAUUGAUGCAAGGGUUUUGAUAUCUAUGUGCACAUACAGAUCAGAGGAGUUGACAGGCUAGAUGGAUGUGGCAGGUAAUGGUACAGUGCCUGGGGGCAGAAGGACAAGAUGUGCGCCUGGUUAAGGUAAUAUUGAUAGCGCACAAUUAGACUUUGUCAGCUUGUGGGAUUACAAAGAUCAACUUCGAUAUGGUGCGUGGGACUACUACUACUACAAGAAGAGAAUAGGAAAUGCUGAUGCAUCUGUUCAGUCAAUUGGUUACCCCAAAGAUGUAGAGUGUAUGUUUCAGUACAUGGAUUCAUCUGAAGAAAGGAAACUAAGGUUGAUACUAUCAAAACAAGAAUUGGUUGGAGCUGUCAACAUUACACCCCUGAAACAACCAAGGGUGAAUGAGUCUGAUGAUGUUACUGAUGCUGAUACUAGUAAUGAUGAAUCACUUGAUGAAUACAAAGAUUGUCUUCAAGACCAAGACCUAGAUUGUGGUAUGUAUGCUGUUUGUACUACACUAUGCACAUGUGUCUAUAACUGUACAAUGUACUCACAUAGUUGUGUUGGUAACUUGCAGAUCUAUACGAUAACUACAGGGAAGAAAUAGUAAAAACAUACUCUAAAUGGUUAAGGCAGAAAGGCCUUAUGAGAGAUAUUUGUAAAUCCUUUUUCCUCUGAACUAAUUCUUAUUUUUGAUGAAAAUUGUACAAUCCUCUAAGUGCACUUGUUUUUUAUUUGUUCAGUGGCUUAUAAUAGAGGUCAAGCAAAGCUUACAGAAGUACGUGAUGAGAGCAAUAGUAGUAGCGCCACGCCACCAUCACAAUGGCCAGCACAUGCUAGGAAACCAAAGCAGACAACAGGUUCUAAAAGCUUCACACCUUCUGCAGUUUUUUAUGCUCUUAUUGUGCACGACUUAAUGUAAGUUUCUAUUUUUUGAUUGUAAGUAAGUGGCAAGAAAAUGGACCGAGGAUGCUUGAAAGGGCUAGCUGUGGUGGCCAAGAGAUCGAAGUCUGGCUCAUAGAAACUGAAAAUCAAAUUUUCCAAAAAUGUGGGUGGUCCCUGUGGAGAUAACAGACGUACCUUUGUGGAUGAGGUUGUUCUGUUUAUAAAGUAGAAGGCUCCAUUAAUUGGAGUUAGAAAUUGGAAAGAUGUGUGUCAGCAUGUCAAGGAUGAUAUCGUAGAAUCUGUAAUGGUAUGUCAAUGGCCACCUCAUCCUUCAUUAUAAUGUUACAUAUUAGUCUUGUUCCCUCUAUUUUCUUGGAAACAUAUAUUUUGAAUGUAGCAUACAUAACAAGUUUUCUUUCCCACUAGGAUCAUUGGGACCUUGAGACCACUGAGAGUCCGAACAAAAAGAUAUGGAAGGUUGCCAAUGAACGCUACAAAAGUUGGCGAUCUGUUUUGCAUUCUACAUACAAGGCAUACAACAAUUAUGAUGAGAGAAGGAGACAUAAGCCUGAAGACAUAGACAUUGUGAAGUGGCACUAUUUGAACAUGUACUUUGGAACUAAGGACUUCAAGGUACGCCCUCUUUUGUAAGUAAAAGAACACAAUCAUGAGUUCAACUUUUCAUCGCUAACCAUUACUUUACGGGAUGACUGUGUAGAGUAGGAGCAGCAUGAACUCUUUGAAUCGUAGCCAACUGAGAACAAAUCACUCGGGGGGUUCCAAACCUUUCUCGUAGUGGAGUUGGGAAAAGGUAAAGAUUUGUUUACUUAUUCUCAACUUUCAGUACAUUACACAAUGAUAUAUUAAUAGCGUUUAAUGUUGUAAUCAUAGAGAGAUCCAGUAACUGGCGAUGAGCCACCCCUUUUGGAACUUUGGAAGACUACUCAUACUAGGGAAGAAAGAUGGACAAAUCACCUAGCUGAAAGUAUUUAUGUGUGUACUGAGUGCUAAUUUGAUCAUAACAUUGAUUCGGCAUUACAAGCUAUUUUUUGGUAUGAAAACAUGACCAAAUUAAUGUUACAAUUAAUUGUUUCUUGCCAUCAGACAUGUACAUCUAGAAAAUUAUCUCAACACAAUCAGAUGAAGAAGACCAACAAGUCAUACUUCUGGACUUGCUAAGGAAGACCAAGUUUUCUAGGAAACGUACAGGGAAACAACAGGAGCCAAAUAUAGAAGGUCACGUGGCCAUGGUUACUUGUCGAAUCCAAAACGAAAGCAAGAAGCCCUUCAGGAGAGAAUGAUUCAGGAGAGAAUAGAGAGGCCCGAAGAACAAGAAUGUCAGUUACAGGAAAAAAUGCAAAAGCAUGAAGCUAAAAAGGAAGCAGAGAUAGAACAACUUAAAGUUGCACUUAGCCAAGAAUUGAUGGGGGAAGUUGCUAGAAUGAUCGCGCCUUAUCGUCAGGCUUUACUGCAAGAGGUAACCAGAAUAUAAUUUGUGCAUGUUGAUUUAUAUUGUGUUCUAAAUUUUCAUAAUGUCACUAAUGUCUAGCCUCCCCUCUUUUAAAAUCCGCAGCGUACCCCAGCAAACAACAAUAAUACAACUGAAGUUGAUGCUAGGACCACCGAGGAUAACAUUGAUGCAAGGCCAGUACUGGACAGCCAAGAAAUAAGGAACCAUGUAUCGACAAUAAUUGGUUGUGAUUGAAAAUAUAUAUACAUAUGUCGCUAAUCUCUUGCCUACCCGCUUUUAAAUUGUGCAGCAUACCCCUCAAACCAACAAUAAAACAACUGAUGAUGAAGCUGGGAGCACUGAGGAAAACCUUGCUGCAACACAAGUAGUGCAUAGUCAAGAAACAUCAAACCAGGUAACAAUAUCGAACAAGCAUUCCAAUCAUGAUGGUUUUUUGCAUUAAAUUUCAGCUAAAAUUGUUCCAAAAACUUUAUUAUGAUCCAGAAUGCUCCAAGAACGAUUGUCACAACUGAAAAAAGCACUUUGGCACCAACCAGAAAUGCUAAAACUGCCAACGUUGCAAAGAGUCUGUUCAAUGAGAAUCACGGUAAAGGUGUAGGAGCUGUUGCAGGAUCCAGAUUCAUUAGUACACAUCAGCUUAUAUCUGGUGCUAAAACUCGAGCAGGCAAAAAGAAAGUACAACAAGUACAAACUGGAAGUGUGCUUUCAAUAUUGCUGCAUAUUGAUUCCAAGACAAAGUAGCUUCAUAAGUUUUAAUUCACUUGUUUGUUUCUCUUUGCUUCAGCAGGCUAGUGAAGCUACGGAGGGGCAAUAAGACUCAAGGUUGCCUACAGGUUACAAGCAGAACUUCAAGCAAAGUUGAUCAUCAUGAAUGCUGGGAGUGAUCAAGAUUAUAGAUGUGUACGAAUAAUAUAGGUGUUCUACAUACUUUAUUAUUGGGAGUCAUGUGGAUGAAUGGACAAGAAUAUUUUCCGUUGUAUUAAAAAAUAUGACGACGACAUAUUUCCCGUUGCAAUAUCCAUUGAGCGUAUAACCACGACCCGUAUUGUGUUGCACUAUCCUGUACGCAUAUAACCACGACAUAUUUUGAUGCGAUAUGGUUGAUGCAUAUAACGACGGCACAUACCUCGUUGUGAUACCUCGUGAGCAUAUUACAACGCUUUCUCAUCAUUGCGAUAUCCAUUGAGCGUAUAACCAUGACCCGUAUUGUGUUGCAAUAUCCUGUAUGCAUAUAACCAUGAUAUAUUUUGUUGCGAUAUGGUUGAAGCAUAUAACGACAGCACAUACCUCGUUGCGAUACCUUGUAAGCAUAUUACAAUGCUUUCUCGUCGUUGCGAUAUAAUUUAAGCAUAUAACGAUGACCCAUAUUUCGUUGCGAUACCCUUUAAGCAUGUUGCAAUGCCAUAUUUUGUUGGAAUAUGGUUGACGCAUAUAGCCAUGACUAGUAUUUCGUUGAGAUAUCCUCUUAGCAUAUUGCAAUAGGAUAAGUCUUGUAUUGCAACAACAUUCUUGUGUUGCAUUAACGCUUGUUUGCAACAGCGCAAUGUCAUUGCAACAGCCACUAUAGCAACGACGCCUGCCGUUGCAAUUAACAAAAUUGCAACGACAAUGGACGUUGUAAUAUCCACUUAUUACUACGACACACAUCGUUGCAACAACUCACCCUUAUGCCCAAGGCUUCCUGUGUCAUUGUAAUACCCUAUUACAACGCAAGUUUACGCAACGACAUGAAUUUUAAGGCAACGACACAAAAUUAUCGCAAUAGCUCGCUAUUGCAAUGAAAUGACCCCUAUUGCAAUGAUUUCGUGCUGUGGUGCUAGUGACAAGACCUUGUAGUGAAUGAUUUGGCUGCUAGCGUCACUUGACCUACCCAACUCCCUCCGGGUUGGACGGUUGAGUGGGAUUCCUCCUCAGACGGCGAGGAUAGGGGUCAUUGAUGUCAUGAUCGGCUUCGUCAUGAUAUCGUGUAUCGACGUUUAGUUUCCGCAUGUUUUACUUCUUUGUUGUUUGAAACCGUGCAAACUCUGAUCUAAUAAAUUAUUGAUCUUUCUAUAAUAUGAACGGAAUGUUUUAAUCUCUGUAAGCACUAACCUUUGUGUGAGCAAUGCUUAUCGAUCCUGUAUAUGUGGUUUAUCAGAGGAAAUCCAACGGUCGACUAAGUUGACUUGUUUAAGGUGCUUGAUCGCGUGUUAGGUGACUUAAGUGCACUUUAGCCAGGUUAAUUUUAGGCCAUUCCGCCACAACAUGGAUACUUUUUCCUCUUGGUUGCAUCAACACCUUAUAGGUAACUCUGAGAUUCACCCACAGCUCGCUUGGUUAGCUAAGGGACCUUCUAGCAGAAUCGUGAAAUUCCAAGGCUACAAGAUAAAUGAUUAUACAUUUUACACGAGAGCCCAAGACCAAAAAAGCACGAACCAAAAUAGUGGUGUCCGCAUAGAUGUCAUUCACAGCACCGGUAGCAAGGACUCCUAUUAUGGUUUCAUAGAGGAGAUAUGGGAACUCGAAUACAGACCGCUGAACAUCCCUCUGUUUUGUUGCUAAUGGGUGAAGCUAACUGGCGUAACCAAAGAUCAGCAUGGAAUGACAAUAGUGGACCUGACCAAGACUGGAUACAAUGAUGAACCAUUCAUACUUGCCAAUGAUGUGCAUCAAAUUUUCUAUGUGAAGGACAUGUCUAGCAAACCAAAAAAAAUUCAGAAGAGCCAUGGAAGCCAAAGCGCCACAUAGUGCUUCUAGGUAAGAGAAAAAUCAUGGGAGUCAAAGAACAAAAUAGAGCAAUCAGAUCAUUAUGAUUAGUUUGAUGGCAUGCCUCCAUUCUCUAUUGAAGUUGACCCAAGCAUCAUGCCAAAGAAGAGGCUCCGUACUUACGCCAUGAUCAUGACCAAGGAACUUUCAUGAAGAAGUUUCUUAACGUUACAUUGUAAUGCACUAAAUAUGCUUCACCUUUAUGUAAAGUUACAUUGUAAAGUUCUAUGAUUUCAUGUACUACUUGAUACAAUUUUUAAUUUAAUGUAUCUAUGAUUUCAUGUGUGUUUAAAUUAGGUGAGGUGAAGAAUUAUUCAAGAUAUGUUUUUUGAUAUAUUUUUGCAUGUUUGAAAAAUAUAAAGUUUUUAUGUUUUUCUAUAACAAAGCCAGUUCAAAACAUAUAUUAAUUUGUAUGUUUAAAUUAGUUGAGGUAAAGAUUUAUUCGAUCAAUAUGAACAAUGUUAACCACAUACAUCAAUUGAAUUUUUCACACGUUGAAAUUAUUUAAUUGAAUAAUUUCUUGAUGAUAGUGAUGUAGUAAAAUAAUUAUUUUAUAAACUAAAAGAACUAGUAUAGAAUUAAUGACUCAUUCAAACUUAUUGUUAAUAUACUUGCUAAUUUAAUAUAGUUUUGCAUGUUCCAAAUAUAUAAAGUUCUUAUUUUUUCCUUCCUAAAAUCCAGUGAAAACAUAUAUAAAAUCUAUUUGCAAAAAACAGGCGAGAACUGAAAAAUGGAAAACGAAUCUUUUGUCCUAGAUGCAAAUUGCAUCUAGGACAAAAUGUCCCCCCUUUAGGCCCGGUUGCAAUUUGCAACUAGGAUAAAAGGGUAAUUUUCGCCUCCCACGCGAACGUACCCUUUUGUCCUGGUUGUAAAUUGCAACCGGGACUAAAGGGGGGGCCUUUUGUCCGGUUGCAAUUGGCACCCAGGACAAAAGGACCCUUUAGUCCAGGUUGCAAUUUGCAACCGGGAUAAAAAGGGUCGUAAAAGUAACAUUCAUCUUCUCCCCCCUCCACCCUUCAACACUUAGCGAAAUUUUCACCACUCUCCAAGAUCUACCGCGCCCGUCCGCCUCUGAUGCCGCCAGUCUCUCAUCCCCGCCCGUCCGCCUCCAUCGCCGGCCGCCGUGCUACUCAUCACCCGCCUCCAUCCCACCGUCGCCCAGCGCCUCGGCCGCUGUCGCCUGCGCCACGACUGCCGCCUCCUCCAUCGCCCGACCCGCCACCGCCUCCUCCGUCGCACCCUCUCGUCGCCGCCGCCUCCGGUGCGCCCCCUCAUUGUCACCUCCCUCUGCGCCGCCUCUGUGGUGAAACCGCCCAACUUAAGCUGGUUUAAGUGCACCUAAUCGCUGUCGGGACAACAAUUAUUCGAAACACACCUAAAACAGCAUAAGUCCAGUAGUCCGUCGAGUGUCCCUAGGACUCCUCGAAAGAUCCACGACGUGUCUCAUAGCCAUACACCAGGAUCGCUUCCUCGAUGGGAAGGCAUCAACAAACAUUACAUUUUUACAUACAUACCGGGGUACGAAUUAUUACAUACCAUAGUUUGAAACAAACUUCAUAGUGCAGGUUAGCGCGGUUCUAAGAGUUCAAAACAUGAACCAGUCUAGGUGAAAGAUAAACAUUUAAGUUUUAUUUCUAGGGUAUUUCGAGACUCGUAAAAUACCCUAGUUCUUCGGAGCUUCUUCCUCAGCGGACUCCUGUUGUGGCUCUGAAAUAGCAACGAGGGAUAACCCUGAGUAUAGGGUACUCAGCAAGACUAACCCGACUAACCAAUAUAAUAGCUUUUCUGGAAUUGCAUGAAAGCCUUUCAGUGUACUGGCUGACUCAUAGUUUUGCCAAAAGAGCUUACUAAAGUGAAACCUUAACUUUGUCUUUUACUUCAAUUGAGUUAUUACCUAUCCAAUCUAGAUAAUGAAAAAGAAAUACUUUUGCAAACAGUAGGAAAUUAAGUCAUACAACAAAUUAAUUGGAAAGACAUUGCAUUCAUGAGAUUACACUACGAUGCUUAACAGCGAUCUAGUGCAUUCAUAACCGAGAAUUGUGGCGAUCCGGAUCAAUUACAUCCUGUAGGAGAGCACCCUGAUCACCAGCUAUGUACAACUGUCCGGGUCGUACAUAACGACCUUUCGAUUAGCAUACCCAAAGAUUGGGAAUAAGACUACCCGAACCCAGGGAUGCACCCCCACAUGGGACCCCCUGUCUGGCCCGAUCUCCAUGUGAGUUUUUAGGCUAUGCCCCUGCCAAUCUCCAGCACGUCAAGCACGGGUACGAAAUAUUCCGGAUCAGAGAGUUUACUAAACUACCGGGCUUUACUGGUCCCAUACCCAGUAAGCAACCAGGUGACAUUCACUUGAUCAAAGGUUAAGACAACGAUCGGGCCUUAACCAAAUUAAUCUAGCAGACAGAACUAACAUCUCUAGCUUCUAUCGGAUUUCCAAAUUUCCAAGCUAACUUUCCAUAUCUAGCAUGUAUGACCCAACAAUUUACCUUAAGGUUCGGUAACCAAGUUACUUUCAGUAUCUAAGCAUUGCUAAAGCAUGGGUUAAUUACUAAUUAUUGAACAAGUGGCAAAGAUGUCCUUAAAACAAGGCAGGAUCAUGCACAAGAAUAGGUUUCAAUCAACUCCUAGACUUAAUGCAUUGAUAAAAGAAAUAACCAAUAAUUGAACACAUGAAAUAAUAACUCCAAAACAGAUAGGUAUAGAUGCACCGGGGUUUGCCUGGGAUCAACAAAUGUUAGUUCUUCGGAAAACCCCUUUAGUAAAAGAGGCACUUCAACAUUUCUCGGACUCUGUCAAUCUUCAGAUGAAUUCCACGAAUUCCACUUCAGAAGCUUCGAUGUCUAUGAUUUAGUACAUGCAGGAGUUAGAGACGCAAACUUUUGAAUACAUGACUAUACAACUUUCCUUCAUGAUAAAGUUGCAAGCCAACAAGUGACUAUACAACCUAUCUUCACAAUAAAGUUGCAAGCCAACACUAAUCUACCCAUAACAUCUAACCCACGAUUUUUUAAUCUCUUAACUAACCUGCCUUAAGCCCUUUCUUUUAUUUUAGAAAAGCAUUACAAAUAUUUUCUAAUCUCAAAAGUUAUUUCCUAUGAUUUAAUAAUAAUUUGUGAAUAAGAAAACAUUAUUCAAUAUUUUAUGCAUUUAAUAAAGGUUAAGCAUUUAUUUAAAUACCUUAAUGAAAAGGCAUUAAAUAAAUACCUAAAUUUUAUUAUUUUUCCUAGGGUAUAAAAAUUUGAAUGCAUAAAGGAAAAUAAAAUAAUCCUAACAAAAUUGGUCUCACUAAUUUUGGACACUCCUAGAAAUUUCUGUGAUUUAAACGGUGUAAACCGAAUUUUAAUGUUCUUUAUCUAUAAAAGGAAAACCUAAUGUUUAUCCAAAUAACCCCGGCCUAACCUUUCUCACUCGUACUAGGCCCGUUAAGCUGGCCCACCUACUCCCGGUCUCUACCUUAUUCUACUCGCCGGCCCAACGAGCGCCCAAACUCUAACGAGCCUCCUUACGACCGGCCUGCUCUCCGCACAGGCCAACAGCCCAACUUCCUCCUCCCUACCCAUGCCUGACGCAAGGGCCUUUUUUUUUUGGGGCCAGCCCACCCCGUUUCUUUCCCCCUUCACUUCCACCUGGGCCUCCAACCGACAAGCCCCUCUCCUCCUCUCAACUCCCCUGGCGCAUAGGCCAGAACAGGGGCGCGACAGGCAGGGGGCGGGGCUCGCCGACGGUGCCUCCCCGGCGGCGUGGCCGGGCUGGGGGCAUCCUGAAACCGGGGCGCACCCACGGGCGGUGGCGGCCCUCCAGGAGGCGGCCUGUGCCGAGCCCUCCACGGUGGCGGCGGCAAAGGCCGGCUGCCGGCCGGCGCAAAGCCCGACGGUGGCGCAAAAACGGCCUUCGGUGCCCCCCCCUAUGGACCCUAUUCGACUCAGCAAGCUCUGCAACCCAAGGAAUCGAGCAAAAGGGGCAUCACAGAGAGGCUCACCAAAGAACUAUGGUGGCGGCUGGCGGAUUAAAAUGGUGGCGAUUCGGAGCUUUGACGAUGAGGAAACAGAAAUCGGAGGGGCGUGGGCGUUGCGGUGGGGCUAGCGAAGCGUCUGGCGGGCGGAUUCGCGAAGAGAAGUGACGGAGCGAGGGUGUUGGCCAGCGGCGGCGUUGCUUUCCCGAGCUUUGGCUCGCAUGGCAGUAGAAAUGGCAAAGGGUUAAAUGGGAUGAGGGUGAGGUGGUAAAGAUACAUAACUUUUACCGUGCAUGUGUGCCACCUCGAUGACCUGCAGGCCUGCGUGGGCGCGGACGUGGUUGUUGCGCUGGUCGACGAGCAGAGGUGCCGGCGGCGGCACGGCUCUGUCCCCUAUUUCUUCUUUCUCUUCUUCGAAAUUCAGACCUCCACAUCGACCAAUUUCAAAUCCAAUCUCUCGAAGAUCCCUUCAGCAGUCUUGUAGAGUAAUCCAUGUACUUCAAUUGAUAGAUUGGCCGCUACCUGAAAUGAGCACCCUAACACCGAGAUUUUGAAGCUCAAAGUUUGACCAGAACCUUCUGUAACUGAACCUCGGUCAUUCAGUCUCGUCAAGGUCCAAAAUAGCAACUUCUUCCCUACUUUGAGCUCAAUUUAAAUUGCUUAAACUCCUUCCAUACAGCUUGAACCUUGCCUAUCCUUGUUCUACUACUGUUGGUGCUAGAAAUCGGCUGAUCGAAUUCCCAGCGUCGGACACACGACCCGGGAGAAUCUGCUUAGCUCCUGUUCGAGUGAUCACCCUGGUGCGGUUCGUGCAGCGUGCCAGCCAAUCUGACCUGUUGAUUGGCAAGGAAAGAAACGUGUCAGAUCCCAGAGGUUGCGAUCGGCUAAGGUUCCGAUCUCGAGAUAGCUUAUCAGUGAAUCGGCCGAUUUGCUGUAAUAAGGAAAUCGGCUAUAAUGCAGCCGAUUACCGGGCAGCGUUAAUAAAGAAGACUGCUGGAGUAAUCUAAACAAUGCUUAUAGUAACAACACUAGGAAUAGAUCUAAAUCGGCUAUGCGUAAAAUAAUAGAUUGAAUAACAAGGCACAGGAAAGCCGAAAGUUCCAAUUCCUAGCUGGAUAACUGGUGAUAAAACUAGAACUACAGGUAAAACCUAGAAUUCUAGUGGAUAUCGAUAACUGGUGAAUAAAUCUAAAUGAAACGACAGCGAUGCGCCCGAAGUUAAAGCUUAGAUAUUACUCGGUAAACGAAACUUACAGAAUCAGCCGGAGGUCAAGUUGAUGCAGCCUAGCCAACUCGUAUGAACUCGUGAAAAAGAAGAAAAGUAUUGGCGAAAUCGCCUGCUUGAAAGUAAGUGUGAGGAAAUAGUAGUUUGUUGUAUUGAUUUGAUGAUGAUUACAGAUCUACAAGGGUGGCUAUUUAUAGCCUGUUACAAAUGACUUCUUAACCGACUAGAACUCUAUCUCUAAUUUUAAACAAAAAAUGAAUAUUUACAAGUACGACUCGUACUGGGUCAAUCAUCAUGCUGUCAUGGGCUGACUCCCUUUUUACCUUCAUAAUCCACUUCAAGCCCACACCGGCCCAAUUCCUCCAGCCUCCUAAUCGGCCGAUUUCUACCAACUCCAUCGGCAAGGGACAGCCGAUUACGGCCCACAUGUCGGGGGUUCUGACUACUCCGACCCUGGGACCUAAGGUCGGGCGAGGUGGAGUCCCUCCCUUAGAGGGUCGGGCGCAUCCGACCCCAGGACUCAGGGGUCGGGCGAGGCGGAGUUGCACCCUUAAAGGGCAAUUGGCCAAUCCUUGACUGUAGCACCAAUCGGCCGAUUUCCAACCGUGACCUCUGUGUCUUGCCGCAUCUCCUGAGUUCUUCCUUUCCUGACGCCGAUUUCAUACGUGUCAAAAUAUGGCGUCAACAACUACUAACAAAGAUUCCAUUUUGCGCAUGAACUCAUAUACCUUUUACAUUGGAUUUUUCUUAAAUUUGCUCCAAACAUUGCUAAUCAAUGCCGUUUUUCAGACAACAUUAUUUCGGCAAGAAGCCUGAAAUCUGUGCAUUUGCUGAAUUUUGGGCUUCGCUUUAAAUUCGAACCUUCCACUUUCUCUGGCCAACAACAUUUCAUUUACCUUCUCUAUAGUCCAUAUUUCACUAAUGUCCAAAAACAUCUGCUCACUUACAAGAACAAUUCUCCAGAAAUUGGCUCCAAAGUUGUGUACUCAAUAUUAAUUUCAGAGUUACGCGUUUUCGGAUGACUAAGUGACUUUGUUGAUUCCAUAUUCGAUUGUAUUUAUGAGAGCUUUAUAACUUGAUUUAGACUUCAGAUUCAUUCCUUUGAGUUCUGAAUACUCUCAAGACUCUAUUUCCUAUUUUUGCCAAAUUUAUCCAAAUUUGAAACUCCAAAUUGCAAAUUUGGUUGAACUCGGCUCAAAUUCGAUUUUGGCUCAAAUUACCUUCCUUUAAUCCAACUUCACCAUUAGCUUCUUAAUGUGAUACUUAAGUUGUCAUUAACACUGGGUGUUACAGCCUCCUUGUCGCCCACCUCCGUCCCCGCCGCCUCCGUGCCCGCCAUCGCCCGCCGCUCUAGCCGCCGUUGCCUGCCGCCCUGGCCUACCGCCACCUCCUCCGUCGCGCCCCCUCAUUGCCACCUCCCUCUGCGCUGCCUCCUCAUCGCCGCCUCUCCAUCGCCACCUCCGUCGUCUGUGCCAGCUCCGACCCCGCUGCCACCGGCAUGCGCCGCCCCGACCUCCUCGUCUUCUGCAUUGCCACUCCAUCGCCCCGUCCGCCGUAGCUCGCCGCCAAGCCUCUGCCACCUGCCACCCCGGUGACGUGCGGCGCCACCCCCAUCGCGACCCCCGGCCCUCUCCACACGUACAAUGGGGCCCUUGCUGACGCUAGGGCCCUUUUUUAUUUUUUUAGUUAGAAAAUCAGUAUGAUUAGUACAAAAUCAGUAGGAAAUUACUAUUAUUAGAUGAAAAUCAGUAGGAAAUUACAAUAAUUUAGUUCAGAUGCUUAGUAUAAUUUUGUAUACAUUUUGUAUAACUUUGAGAAAUUACUACCUUUUAUUAUAAAUGAUUCGAAAAUUAGUAGAAAUUUGUAGCAAUGCUUAAGAUUUAUUCAGGAUAAGUUCUUAGUAUGAUUUUGUACACAUUUAGUAUAAUUUUUAGUACAUUAAUAUUAUUUAGUACAAAUGCUUCAAAAAUUAGUAAAAAUUAGUAGAAAUUUGGUAGAAAUUCUUAGAAAUCAGUAGAAGUUUGUAGAAAUUUGGUAGACAUUCUUAGAAAUCAUUAGAAAUUUGUAGAUACACUUCAAAUUUGGUACAAAUUCUUAGAAAUUAGUAGAAAUUUGAAGAAACACUUCAAAUUUGGUAGAAUUGCUUAAAAUUAGUAGGAAUUAGUAGAAAUUUGGUAGAAAUUCUUAGAAAUUAGUAGAAACACUUCAUGUAGGAUUCGUUCAAGACAUUUCAUGUAAGUUUCAUUCAAGACUUUCAUGUAACUUUCUUGUAAGUUUUCAUGUAAGUUUCAUUAAAGACAUUUCAUGUAUGUUUCAUUCAAGAUAUUCAUGUAAAUUUCUUGUAGGUUUUCAUGUAAGUUUCAUUAAAGACAUUUUAUGUAAGUUUCAUUCAAGACAUUCAUGUAAAUUUCUUGUAAGUUUCAUGUAAGUUUCAUUUCGUGUAUGGUUUCAUGUGUAGAUUUCAAUCAGUUUGUUUUUUUUUCAUGGUUGUUCUAUGAUUUCAUGUAUAUACCUUAACGUACAUGUAACUAUGAUUUCAUGUGUGUUUAACGUAGUUGAGAUGGCAGACGACAAGACCGCAAGCUAUCUAAUGGAGCAGAUUAUUGCUGAUGGUAGUGGCUCCAACCUUCCCGUAACGUACAUCGAUAAAGAGGGUACCUAGGCGAACAUGUUCCUCAACAUGUCUAGCGAUGGCAAUGAAGAGCCUCAGCCCUAGCAAAACCUUAUCGUGAUGGAAGGUUCCAGCGAGGUAUAUAUCAUUUCCAUUGUUUUACCCCAUCUAUAAUGUCUUAUUCAUUAUUAUUAUAUACUAAUUAACGAAUCUUGAACUGUUAGCCCUCUGGAUCGAUGAACCGUCAUAAGCCCCGAGGCCGUACAAAGGUGAUGGAUGGAGGGCUUAUCAUCAUGGAAGUCACAGAAGAGGGCAAGCCGGUUGCUCCCGAAAACAUGGCAAAAAAGUACGUGAGCCAGAUCGAGGCAAUCGUAAGGGACAACGUGCCCAUCAACAUCAUGGAAUGGAGGGGUGAAAGUACUAAUGCAUACGCGCUCUCGGAUACAGAAAAGGAAAUGUUGUGGUUAGAUGUUAAGAAACAUUUCACAUUUUCCCGAAGGAUGUAAUGAAGAUUAUGUGAAAUCGUGGAUGCUGAAGAAGAUGGCCACACAAGAAGGGCUGAUGUCCACAAUUCAAUGAGUGGUGAGGGACCACUGGGAGUCAUUUGUUGAAUACAAGACGAGCGAAACGGUGCGAACAAGGUUCGCACCAACUUUGUAAAUGCUGGCAAGAAGGAGUACCAUCAUUGUCUAGGGCGAGGUGGUUACAACACUACAAUUUCUAGAUGGCGCAAGAUGGAACAAGACCUGAUUGAUUGGGGUAUCCUACCAGCAACUCUUGAAUAUCCUGAUCGAUCGAAAAAUUGGUAUUACGCUCAUGGAGGCAACAUGAGCCAAGAGGAUGGGACACUGAUCUUCAAUGAGACAAUAUGUCAGAAGGCCAAAAGGCUUAUCAAGAACAUUGAAGAUGACACGGCUGGGAGUUGAAGGUGGACCGAGAGAAUAAUGAGCUAACAUUGGCCCAAGAAUCCCGAGCACCUAGGAUAUUGCCGAGGGUACGGGGUCAUUCUGUGGAAGUUCGCUUUUCGAGGCGACAUGUACUCAUACAGAAGCCGCAAGCGAAGAAAGGAAUAGCAAGAGGAGAGCUGGCGGCGCAUGUUAGAAUCCAAAGUGCAUUCACAUGAAGUAAGAAUGCAGGAGGAAAUCAAUCAUCGAGUGGCCCUAGCAGUUGCGAAGUUGGCCCAAUCUAGAGCACUACCGGAUCCAAACGUUAGAUGAGCAACGGUUCUUUGUGGCUGUGAUCACGCAACGCACCUCAUGUGAAUGGCAUAAACUGGUCGGCAACGUCACCAUUAAGGUAUACUUAUACAUAAUAAUUAUGCAAUCUUCUCAAUCCAUCCACGCCUCGGGAGUUUAAUAACUUCUUUAUUUCUACUAUAUGUACAAGUGGCAUACGAGAGUGCCUUACCAAUCCUGCCAGGGUAGACAAGCGAUGCCAUGGAGGUUCUACCUGGCUACGCUAGCGUCAGCCUAGAGCUGCUCGUUGAUAGCCAAUAUGAAGGCCUAGAGCUCGACCUCCCGGGAGGCGAUAGGGAAAGGACACUAGGAGAUGCGCUUCACGGGAUCAUUCUAUGGUGCAAAUGUUACAUCAUCAUCCCCGGCAUGGAGGCAUCAUUGCUCCCCGUAGAUCCCCAGCAGCGACCAUCUCCUCAAAGCUCAAGAUCGUCAUCUCCAACACGGCCUUCUCCAGGACCGUCAUCUCCACCACAACUUGCUCCAGAACCAUCAUCUCCAGCACAACCAGCUCCAGGACUGUCGUCACCACCGGGACCGUCUCUUCCUGCUCGAUCACGGUCUCCAUCUCCAGCACAUCCUAGUGGUGCGAGCGACGAUGACAAUAACACCCCUUCCCAAUCACCAUCUCCAGGACUAAGAGCUGCAUCGAGCAAGGAACCUGUAGCAACACUUAAGAAGUCGCAACCACCGCCUCCCAAGCCAAGACAGAGAAAGAAGAAAACAAACGAGCCUGAAUUGACUCCUGACAAAUGUAGGGAGGAGAAAAUGCAUGAGGAUUGCUGGCCCAAACCAAAGCAGAAUGCAGGGAGCGGUUCAAGAAAAUGGCCGAAGAAAGAAAAGCAAAGGCGAUGGAGCCACCGCCAGUAGAUUGAAGACAAUUAAAUUUUUUUAUAAAGAUGUCAGAAGAAGCCAAGAAGAUGCUGCCACCUUAAACUACGAUCGGGUGUUAGUCAAGGCUGAUGAGAGGAAAAAAUGGAAAGGAAAGUCGUCUUCAAGGGGUACUAUCCUCCACCUUAGACAUCUACCGAAAAAGACUCUCAAAAGAAAGCAUCAAUGCUAGCAAUGCCCUUGGAUCAAUAAGACCAAGUAGUGAAAUUCAUACAAGAAACAGGAAUGUCCUUUUCUGAAUGUCUAGGGCAAAGUGAGCCACCAGCUGCAUAGCCAGUUGAACCGAAAUGGACCUUUUGAGCUAGGCAAGUCUCUGGUAAGGCCUGAGUUGAUAUGGAAACUAUCAACAAAGAUGUACAAAUUCCAUGAAUGGUACAUCAAGCAGUCCAUCGUUGACAGGGAAAUAUUCGACCUUAAGGUCAAACCAAUAGCCUGGUUGACGUCUCUCUCAUCAGCGCUUGGGCUCUGCAAGUGUUCGUUUAUCUAUGUGUAAAUUUUGGCUCAUAUCAUUAUUUUUUGUGCAUGCAUCGCCCUGCUAACUUCGUCUUCCAUUUUAUGUAGGAUGCUAAUUCAGAUGUGCUGACGAGAAGUGUACUUCCAUGUUGGCUUCAUGGAUCCAUCCCUAGUUAACCAACACAAGAUAUGGGAUUUUCCAGAGAAAACGUUGAUGGAAGUAUACAAUUUCCUGGACAAACAAAAUUACAGCAAGGAAUACAUCCUACUUCUAUACAACUUCAAGUAAGUGUGUGUAUACCAUCUAUUUUUAUUUUCUUUUUCCUUACCUGAUUAAUGUUAGUUAGCUCUAAUAUGAACAAUUACGUACGCAGUUUCCACUGGAUCCUCCUAAUAAUUGAGCCUGAUAGAAGCCACAUCACUGUCUUCGAUUCAUUGAGGAAACCACCGAAGGAGUACCAAGAUGUUCAAGACAUGCUAAACUUAAUAAUUCUGGACUUUAUCUCUGUGCAAAAGUUUGUUUCCUAAAUUUUCACCUAACACUGUAUCAUUCAUUAACACAAAGGUCCAUUCAAAGAAAAACUUACAUGGAACACAAACUUCCUGGCAUGUAUGAAGUUUGCAUAUUUUGUACAUUAUAUAGCAUGAAUAUUUCAUAACUUGUUUUUCCCCACUGUAGUGCUUAAGACAGGAACUCAAAAAUAAUCUAUGUGGCUACUAUGUCUGUGAGCACAUGCAUAGUUUUUUGGGACACAAGGUACUAAAGAUGACGCCGCACAACUAUAACGUACGUAAAAGAAAACUAUUAAUAGUUAAAUAUUUUCUAGCUCCUUAUAUUUAAUUGUUCGUGUAACAUUCACAUAUUUCCAGAUUACAGAUGCAUAAUAUUCAACAAAAACUCUUGGAGAAGGAAAGAAUAAUGGCAAUAUAUGAAGGUCUCAUGGGAUUCCUGGUGGACGAGGGGGUACAUCAACAAGGAGAAUUUUAUUACAAUGGACGAAAAUUAGACGCACUGAGCAACACCACGACGGGAAGAUCCAAGGAAUGACUGAGGCAAAUUUUUGUAUAUAUAUAUAUACUAAUUGUAUAAAUACUAUGCUAAGAUUUGUAUAGUAUGCUAAGAAUUGUAUAUAUACUAAGAAUUGUAUAUAUAGUAAUUGUAUAAAUACUAGUUUGAUUUCAUAAUAAAAAAAGUCUUAACUAAACUAAAGGGUACGUGAUGCAUGAAAUUACAGGUGCCUGCCUGCAUGGCGCCUGUAAUUUCAUGCAUGCACUUUAGUCCCGGUAGAAAAAACCAACCGGGACUAAAGGGAGCACCCUUUACUCCCGGUUGGUAAAACCAAUGAGGACUAAAGGGGCCUGUCCCGCGCCUGGCGUGGCAGCCCCUUUAGUCCUGGUUGGUUUUACCAACCAGGAUUAAAGGGUGUCUUUAGUCCCAGUUGAGUGACCCGAGACUAAAGACCCCCCAUUCGUCUUGAUUGCUUUAUCCCGGAUGGAUUUUCGGGAAAUUUUAUCCCUACCAACCAGGACUAAAGGUGAGUUUUCUACCGGUGCCUGUUCUAUCUCACUCAUUUGUCCUGUAGCUACAAGCUAAGGCCCCAUGUCAUCUAUGGCUUCUGUCCUGUAGCUACUAGCUAAGCCCCCGUAUCAUCCAUGGCUUCUGGUGCCUCCACCACACUGAAGAUGGCCUCUAUCGCCCCUUGCAUCCUGCUGGUCCUGCUGUCCAAUGGCCACCCUACGAUGGUGGCCGUUGAUUGUGUUGCGGUUUGCAAAGACCCGUGCCAGAGCUUUUCUAACGGGUUCUGCGCGGGUGGAGCCACUGGCGGUUGCACAACUACGGCAGCAGCUACAGCAUGCCGCAAUUUGGCGUUCUCGCAGUGUGCGAACAACUGCUUCAUAGUUUGCACUGCCGAGAUCAUCACGCCUUGCACUUGAAGAUGCAUUUGUGUUCCUACUUCCAUGUUAUUGUUACUGCAGAAUAAUAUGGAUAAAUACGUGCAAGCAGGCCUGCCGUCCGCGGGAGGAGGUACGCAAGCACGCAUGAUGAGCCACUGUUGUUUUUCCAUUUUAUCAUUUACUUAUUGAAGGCAAUGUACGUGCCUAUCUCCUGUGUGGUUGAGCAUGUCAUGUUGGAAUUCUGUCCAAAGUUUUACAUACCAUCUUGUAUUGUUGUGUAUGCGUAUCAAUAUAAUUUAUGAACUAUUUUCCUUUACCAUAGACAUUUCUAUGUUUAUUUGCAAGCACUACUAGAGAACUGACUUUAGAUCCCACCCCCUUUAGUCUCGGUUUAAUUUCGGACCAGGAGAAAACGGGGUGCGCCACGGUAGGCUAGAAUGGGGUGCACCUUUACUCUCUAUUCUUUUUUUGCAACCGGGACUACAGGCCACCCUUUAGUCUCAGUUAAAACGGCUAGUUAUUGGGCACCGACGGCGUCACCCUUUACCCCCGGUUGGAGCCACCAACUAGGACAAAAGAUCCAACCUUUUGUCCCGGUUGGAAAAUCCAACCGGGAUAACAGGUUUACUCCCAGUUGGUAAUUCCAACCGGGACAAAAGGUUGGAGCUUUUGUCCCGGUUGGUGUUACGAACCGGGAGUAAACACCAACCGGGAGUAAAGCUCUAAUCUUUUGUUCCAGUUGGAUUUACCAACCGGGGUAAAAUCUUAUCUACAAGAGGCCUUUCUUCCUCCUCCACUCCUCCAGCCCGAGCCACUCCACUCCACAAAGACAGAGAACCUCAUCCUCUCCAUGGCGCCGAAGCAAGCCUAGGGGAGGUGCUGCUGAAAUUUUUUUUCCUUAUUUCCGUGGGGAUUUCAUUCAUCCAAAGUGUUGUGAAGGUUAGCUACUUCAUGCUCCGUUCAUUUAUUGUUGUUAAGCUUUGUUUUAUACUUUAAAGAGGGAGAAAAAUGAGUUUGUUUAUUGUUAAGCAUGUAGAGGAUUUGUAUUUAUACAUGUUUUUGAGCUACAAUGUGAUGGAUAGUUUGAAUGUGAGGGAGAAUGGACAGUAAAUGUGAGGUAGAAUUGAGAUUAUUUCAAUUUUAUGUAUUAGGGAAAAAUUAGAGCAAAUGUGUUUUUAAUACUUAUAAAUUAGCCAUAUAAAUUGUAGGUGUAAUUUCAUACUUUAGUACUUUUCAAAUAGAGGUAUGCAAUUUGCCAUUUUUAGAAUAAGUACAUUAUGUGGGAAAUAUUGAAUUUUUUAAUAGUUUAGUUAUUUCUAAAUUAAAUAUGAGCUAAAUAAUUUGUGUAUUUCUAUGUAAACUUUCAGCAAUAUUUGAGUUUGUCGUAGUGUAUCAUGUUGUUUGCUUCUGAAAUUUUAAUUUGUGUAUUUCUAUCUAAAAUUUUAGCAAUGUGAUGGAUAGUUUUAUUGUAAUACAUUUUAUUGAUGGCUUGCGUAAUACGAUGCAGAUGGACCAGCAAUGGAUGUAUAACGCGGACAGGCAGAGCAAGGUGUUUAUUGCUGGCAUGAAUAAUUUUCUUGAAGUGGCCAAAGCGAACAAACCAGGGAACGGGUUCAUAUCUUGUCCAUGUGCCCAAUGCAGUAACCAGAAGUGCUAUUCAAAGGCUUCCUAGGGGACUAUUCAUAGCCACUUGUUUAGAUACGGUUUCACGCCUAACUAUUUGGUUUGGACCCGUCACGGUGAAAGAGGGGUUGUAAUGGAAGAUGGUGAAGAGGAGGAGGAUGAUGACAACAUUCCGAACUGCGCUACAGUCUAAUCUUUUGUAGAUACUACUGUGGCGGAUCCACUUCGGAUCUACUGGGUUAAACAUGAUUUAGCCGCCUGAUAUGCGACGCUCAUGCCUAAGCUGAGUAAACACGAAGUGCCAUCGGAUUUUACUCCGAUUUAACCACUUGAACAGGACCGGUUUAGCAGACUCACACGAAGGUGAGCGGUUCCAGAGAGUACAACGAGUCCACCAAGUUAACAAAUUAACCACUGGAUUUAGUUACGAAAAGGACGUCAGAGUUUUACAAGAUUUCGGAAAACAACAGAAAGUAAAACACUAGCAGAAGCAUUCGUCGGGGUCGGAUGUCCUGGUGAGGCCGGCUGGGACAUCACUGAUCCCUCUCCUCGCCGUCCGAGGAGGGAUCCCACUCGACCGUCCAGCCCGGCGGGAGCUGGGGCAGCCAAGCGCCAGCAAGAGAGGGGUCGGGAGCAGCAGCUUCACCUGAAAAACAGGAGCCACAACAAGGCUGAGCUACUAAGCUCAACAAGACUUAACCGAUAGGAGUAAAACUACUCCUCCUAGACAUGCAGGGCUUUUUUGGCUGAGGGGUUUGGUUGCCGAAAGCUCUAAUUGAAAACCCUAUUUUCAAGUUUUAGCUCCGGUUCUAGGUUCAUUUACCAGUCUAGGUUUUGCAACCUAUUCUAAGCAAUCGUGGAACCAAACAAGAUGUGUAGAUAUAUCAACAAACAUGUCAUCAUCAGAUUCCUCAUUUACUCAGGGUGACAUAGCGAUCAAGCAAUCUCAAACUGUGAGAGGCAGACGAAUCGAUUCGAGUUCUUUAACCAUGCAUGGUGAACCUAGCCUCAUGACAUCCACGUACCCGGAGGUCGCUUCCUGUGUCGGCCUUCCCCAUCAAUCCCCUAACCCGUGUCGGGCCUAUUUCCUUUGGUGCAAGGUUCCACAGACCCGGCCUCUGCCGUUCUGGGGCCACGCAUGCCACCACGUGCGACAUCCAGCAGGGGAAACUCCGUUCCAAGAAUAAUGGGGCGACCGCUCACGUCUAGGUUCAAUCCGGUACUAGGCUUCCUCAUCCCAUACUAAGUAUGAGGCUAGUACUUUCAAACACUUGAUCACGAACACCACCACUGUCGGACCUUAGCAAGUUUUUCAUAGACAGACGGGGCAACCAUCCGUCCACCAAAGAGUUACCCAAACCCUGCCCCAUCCAUCGUCCUUAUAGUUGUAACAGAAAGGUAGACAUCCAACUCCUACAACUCGCGAGUGACAGGGAAUCACUCGACUUUUACCGUCUCCUAGUUAAGCAAUGCAACUACUCGGUCUAACAGCUAGUGCUCACAUCAUGGGGAUAACUAAGCCAUGUGUCUAGGGUUUCAAACAACUCCUAUACGUAAAUGCACAAACAUAUUACAGAAGGCAUGCGCAAGUUUGGUAAAACACACAGGGUUUUCAUGCAACUGGGGCUUGCCUUCGAGCAAGGAGGAAGAGAACUGCUCGAUUUCUAGGACGGCUUCGGCUUCAGCGGGCAAGAACUCAGCUACAGCUUCAUCUUCUGGCGCCGGGUGCAGCUCGUAGAAGCUGUCGGCGAGGCGCAGCUCUACACGAAUGCAAUGCAAGAGUUAGCAUAGAUGGUUAUUUCAACAGCAACACUUGCUCGCCUGAGCCCAGAAACUCGCGACAAAGAGCAGGGGGGUUGGGGAGGUUCAAGAGAGCGGGUGAGGAUCAAGAGGCAAGGGUCGGAAAGGAAACUUAGGAUCUGAUCCUUGAACUAGAGGAUGCGGUAUACUAGGGAUCCUCAGACGCAAGCGCUGAAGGGUUCCUAAGUUUUUGCACAUACACCCUCGGGUUGAAGAAAAGAUCACAGCCGAGCCCUUGGGCAAGGCGGAUAAGGGUCGGCGGGACAGAUAGGGUCGGGCGAGACGGAACCGGGGUCGGGCGGAUAAGAGGGGUCGGGCGAAGCGGACUGGGGUCGGUAGCUUACCUUCUUCCUGAAAGGAAGGCUUGGGGUCGGGAAGAGGCAGACUUGGGCGGAGGGACUAAAGCUUUGAACACGGCUAAGACUGGCAGUGCUCCGGCGGCGGCGGUGCUUCUUGCAGAUCACAAGAGAGCUUUUGCGCAGCACGGAGGAGCAAGCUGCUGGGUGACUUGGGGAAACUGAGGGGAGCUGAGGGGAGGGUUCCUCAAGAACAUAUGUCACUUUAGUAUUAGGCAAGGAUGUGAUUAUAUGAUUAUAUGGACUGAUACCGGUUAAAAGAUCAUUAUCUAAUCAACCAUUCACGUCGCCCAUAGUGUAGGCAACAGGCCAUUCUAUUGCGAUCCUCUGUCGCCUAUCGCUUCCCUUGAGAAUUUGAAGUCAGAAAUUCUUUUGUUUCAAUUUUGCUAGGUCCACUAGUUUUCUUAAAUCAGAAUCAAGUUGAAACCAGAAGAGCCUUGUUAGCUUGUUUGAUCUAUACUUCGUUGUAGCAAAUGUAAAAUGACAACUCAUAUAAUGGUUGUUUCAUAUUCGAUCUGCAAGUCUUCUUCUCAUUCACACGAUGGAUGGCCAUAGGCACAAAGAGAAUCGAAGUAGUAGACCAUAAUCACUAUAGUAAAAGCUUAAAAUCUCAAAAUAUGUCAUCAUUUAUUUUUCAUUAUGUUAUCCAUAGAACUAUAGUAUGAGUUAGAAUAUUGCAUGGACAUCAGAUCAGCUACAACAUUUCCUAGCUUCGCCCUUCGCCGCCCCUGCAGCAGCUAGCCCAAUCCAGGAAAUGUAUUUCCCAGGUGGGGGUGAGCAGACCCUGGAAAUAAGCUGGGGACGGACCAGCACGUCAACCGUCUCUGAAAAUAGCCCAUUUCAGAGGUGGGCAACUCCAUGGUCCGUCCUAGCAGAUUGAAUUACAGGAGCAGACGACACGAAGCAUCACCCUGCUGCUCAACCAAAUUUUGUAUGGACAACGCGCAAAUGAAAAGGCAAGCGGAAAGCAUAAGGUCCAUUCUGCUCCGCACAUAUAUCUUAUCUCAACCACAGCUUUCCAUGUCAUCUCCUUAGAGAAACUCCGACAGAUUGAUUUUCCACAUUCCCCUUUAUCCUCUUAUAGGGCAUUCCCUUUCACGAUUUCUGAAUUUUGAAGACUAGUGGGGCAAGAAAUUUUGUAUAGUAACAAAGAUAAUCUCAGCCCCACUUGCUACACAUACAUGCACGGUAAAUAGAAAGGGUUAUUUUCUAUGUCAAAGGCAUGCUCAGCUUCAAAGUCGUUCUGUUGUUAGCAUCGUUGUGUUGUUUCUGCUAACGUGCAGGAGGAAGCGAAAACACAGAGUAGAAAGAGGAUGAGAAAUUAAAGAAGACAAUGAAGCUCACGUUCACGUCUACAUGAGGGAGCUCUCACACAAGCAAGUCCAUUCAUCCUCUGUCUCCAUGCUGUUGAUGAUGACAUGUCACAUGUCCUUUGCCUUGACGUCGGCGGCAGGCCGGCAGCCCAAUGAACCCAUGACGAACAGCAUGAGCAUGACCAGCUAACUUCAUUGCUGAGUACGACAUGUGGUUAUCCUUGCUAUAACUAAUGUUGGUCAGAAGAAGAAGCUGCUAUAAAGUUGUUCUGAAGACGCUGAGUUCUAGGCGUACGCAAGCCCCGGUUGAUUGCCUGCGAAGUUUGGAUCCUUCGUUUCCAGGAUUAAGCUGUAAAUCUCCGAUAGACUCUCUUUAUAUCUCUUUAUGUGAUACUGUUACUGUUAUUCACUGAUGAUGUGACUAUAUGUAUGAAACUUGAUCAUGUCAUACAUACAGUUAGCACUUGGUUUUGCUGUUCUAAAAUCAGAUGUGACACCUAUGAACCCAUGACGAACAGCAUGAGCGUAACCAGCUAACUUCAUUGCUGCUGCCUUUCGUAGAUGUUGGUGAACAUGACGUGUCUUUCAUCUCCACGAUGGCGACGGAUCCAAAGAUCGAAGAACAUGCAUCAACGCGAUCCGUAUGGCGUGUUUUCUGGUAUUUCCACCCCAUGAUGUAACGCCGACCGGGUUCCAUACGAGGCCUACGGCCAGUCUGUUCACUUUCAUCAUGUGCUCCGAUGAGAGUUCAUCACCGUGAUAAAAGACGGAGACGAGGGCACACAGUCGUAGCUGCAAGUAAGGCCAACAGGCUGAAGGCCAUGGCUUUACAGCCAGCAGUCCACCCUUGCAUGCACUCACGGACUAUUACCGAACUAGCAAUUGGUACUUUGACGCGCUACAUGGACCCUUACAAAAUUAAAAAAAUGAACGUCAACAAGCAAAUGAAACUGCAUGAACUGAAGUAGGGAAAUGAAGACCACGUACAGUUCUUAUUGAAGCUGAAAUGUAUGUCAUAAAAGUAUUAUUGUUAGAUUGAAGUCAAUUUAAAUAUUUAAACGAGUAACGAGGGCUCGGAUUAGUAGAAGGUGUUAGUAAGGCCCUCCAAUAGACCACUCAAUGAUUUUUAGAUCCAACUGUUUAUAUAGUAAGUUCGGAUAUUUAAUUAAUAAAUUGAAGUUGCCUUAAGAUAUGCAUAGUAAAUCACAAGACCAAAGUGGAAUAACCAUUAGACAACUAAUAAAACCAUCAUUAAGUUUUUGUCUACUUUUAGCAAUAUUGCUUAGGUUUUCUAUUUCGUCUAAAUAUAUCUUAAGCGGCUCAUAUGUCCAAAUUACCCACACAGUGAAUAAAUGUCGUUCCAGUUCAAGGAUUCAUGUGGAGUUGUCACACACUAGUGUGAACCCAUCAAGUGUGUGUCUUGCUUCCCUUUUCAAUCAACAAGCUACCUCCCUGAUUUGAAUAUAAUAAACUUAAAUGCUUCAGUUUCUAUGGUCCAUUGUUAUGUGAUGGACAUGAAAAAUGAAAAAUAUAGCCUACAAUGUUCAAAAUGCAUCUGAAGUACUAGGGUAUAAAAUAAGCUCACUGCCAUCCAAGUACAAGGGUUAACAACUAGAAAUAUAACCUUUAUUGCUAUCUGUAAACAAAAUAUGCCUGUUGAAUUACAUGUCGGGAAAGGUGAAUGCACGGAUUAACGGCUAGUAUUAGCUAAUUUUGUUGUCUUUUUUGUUAAUAACUAGGUUUCCAAUGCCAAACUCUGCGUAAGGGUUCAGCAACUGGCUACAUAUUGGAAAGGAGUUACUGUUGGUGGCUAGCCCUCAUAAGAGAUAACUAUUUCAUUCCUGAUGCCUUCCAUGCCUAUGGAUGUACCGCGUGCUCGAGUAAGCUAUGCUUGCAGAUGGAUCUUAAACCUGAUGUCAAAUUGUUUAUAAUUGAAAGAGUUUGCUGUUUGUCUGCUUUAGGGAAGAUGGGUAGCACGUUUAUAUGCCAUUAAUUCUCAUGAAAGAGUGCAUAUACCAUGUUUGUCGCAGCAAGAUGAGGCUGUAGAGUAGUAGAAGUGUAGAACAAUGGUACAGGUUGUAUGAAUAAUUUAUUGAAGGGAAUCAUAGACGCCACAGCCACUGAAGCUGUCGGGGCAUGAUUAGCCAAUGGUCUAAUUCCUGAUAUCUCCGUAUCCUAAUUUUCUGAAGCCUUACGGACUCUACCCUCCUCACUUCAUAUAUAUUAGUGUUUAUAAUAGCGGUUUUAUAAGAAGUGCUGAAGGUAUUGGUCCUGCUAUAUCUUGCUUCCACUACCGGAUUUGUGUACGAAAUAUUAAUUCUUGAGAUUUGUCAAUGAUUUUAGGAAGCAAUGAUACCUUCAACUACCGGAUUGCAUAUAUAAGUUAGUCUUAGCCAGUUAUAUAUCAGAGGAGGAAGCACGCAUUAAAUAAUAAAUAACUCAUGUUGAUUCAAUUGGUAACCUGGCCUCUAAAAAGAAAAGGACUCUGUGCUCAAAAAAUGAAAAAAAGUAGCCUGCUAAUAACAAUGUCGACACUUUACAUCUGAGCAGCUAGCUCCGUGAUGCUUUAUCUGGCUAGUGAACUACCUACCUAUGUUAUUUAAACAUUUUUGCUGCCUAUAAAUUGGGCAUCAUUUCAGCAGACCACCACAGCACCUGAGCUUGCCAUCUUUUCCUGUUCUAUCUCACUCAUUUGUCCUGUAGCUACUAGCUAAGCCACCAUAUCAUCCAUGGCUUCCGGUGCCUCCACCACGUUGAAGAUUGCCUCUAUCGCCGCUUGCAUCCUGCUGGUUCUGCUGUCCAAUGGCCACCCUACAGUGGCGACCGUUGAUUGUACUGCGGCUUGCAAAGAGCCGUGCGAGAGCUUUUCUAAGGGAUUCUGCGCGGGUGGAGCCACCAGCGGUUGUGCGACUAAGGCAGCAGCUACAGCAUGCCGCAAUUCGGCGUUCUCGCAGUGUGCGAACAACUGCUACACAGUUUGCACCGCCGGGACCAUCGCGCCUUGCGCUUGAAGAUGCAUUUGUGUUCCUACUUCCACAUUAUUGUUACUGGUGAGUGUGUGCAAGCAGGCCUGCCGUCCACGGGAGGAGGCACGCAAGCACGCAUGAUAAGCCACUGUCAUUUUUCCACUUUAUCAUUUACUUAUUGAAGGCAAUGUACGUGCCUAGCUCCUGUGUGGUUGAGCAUGUCAUCUUGGAAUUUUGUCCAAAGUUUAACAUACCAUGUUGUAUUGUUGUGUAUGGGUAUCAAUAUAAUUUAUCAACUAUUUUGCGUUUACCAUAGACAUUUCUAUGUUUAUUUGCAAGGGUUAGGGAAAUUUGUCCUUGAUAGUGUACUAACCGCGUCUGCCAACUGAACAGAUCAACUUUCUCAACAGCCUAUCUCCUCCUUGAAAAAAUAUUCGUUUUAGAAAUGGUUUGUUUCUUUUCUGUAUAGCUCUAUCACCCAUCACCGUGAGGGUUACAAAACUCGGCGCAAGCGUUCCAAGCUGUGGCGCCACAAACCACAUAAGCUGUGGCGCAAGGGUUCUAGCUGGCUAGUCACAAAAAACUAUUUCAUCCCGGAUGUCUUCCAUGCCCAUGGACCUGCCGCUUUCUUGAUCGAGUAAUCUAUGCCCAUGAAAGGGUUCGGUAUUUGUCUGAUCGAGGAAGACGAGGUAGCACAUUUAUGUGAAAGCAGUACUGGCGGACAUGAUGGUCGGUGGCCUAUUGAUUAUCUUCCAACUCCUUUAUGCCAUUAUCAGUACUACAGAAAUCAUUUGUAGGGGUGAAGUGUUUUUUUUUAGGGUGGACCAAAAGGUCUGCCGCCCCCAGGGGCGGAGCUACAGUCAACCAUCGAUGAUUUGGUCGCGAGCUCUUAUAUCCUUCCCAGGAGAACUGCCCAUACGUUGCUACGGAUAAAAAUAAUGUAUAUAAUUACAUUAAUCAUGAUUUGUUAUUUCAAAUGUGUGACAUAUUAUCGAAUUUACGUAUCUUUCUAUGCAUUUUUCGAACAAAGAGAUAUUUUUAUAAUAAUUUUAUCAGAUUAACAUGAGACAUAAUCUUCUAUGGUAUAUUAUGUACUCUAGUAUGUAAAUCUUAUGUUUGUUUGUGUAGUCUUCUACGUUGCUCGCUUUUUAUAAUAAAAGUAGAGAGAGGUGUGCGCCUGUGAACAACAAAAACCCAAAAAUGUACACAAUAAUCAAUAAAUUAUAAUUAUUAUUUUUUCCUAGAAUAAAAAUAUGGACUCAUCGAGCCCAUGAAAAGCGCAAGGAGGUGGCCCGGCAGCCCCAUCCAUCCAUCCAUUGUUAUCCACACUUGCUAAACAAAUGAAUUAAAAACAUAAUUUUAUCAACACAAGAGACGGAUUAAUUGUUUGGUACUGAACUUUCUUGGACGUUGCUGUUGCUGGAUUCGGCAUUAGGAAGGCGUCGCUCGGCCGUGCAGAGGUGCCAUUGUGGCUUUGUGGAGGCACCCCUACGUUGUGUCGGAGCGGAGCUGCAGGCAGCGUAAGCGGCCGGGUAGCACGCCACAACAUGCUAGAGACAGCGCCGAGCCUUGAGCCUUCGACUGGGGCUGCUUAUAGAGCCAACACCGCUCUGUAUCUUGCUCAGUGGAUGCGCGGACGACGGCGAGCGGCGCCUAGGAGAACUGCAAAUGCUCCUGCACACAUGCCCCAUGGGCCGGAACUGCACACUAACCCCCGCGAACGAUGGUAGUAGGGCAACAAAGCUGGCCAUGGCGCUGCUCGUUGAGCUUUCCGUGUGCGCGAACAGGCAUUUGAUAUGUUCCCUACAAAAUUAAAGGUUGUUUGAUUCAACGGUCAAAUAGUGCGAGCAUGUUAAUUGAUGCGAGUGUAUUGUGGGAACUGCCAAGGAACUGCAGGGCAUCGAGCAAGCAGUGGUGUUGCUCGGAAGUACCAGCACUAACGCGCUUUCCGAUGUGUCUCCAGCGGGGGUGGCAGCGUCUGCCUGCUGGGCAGCAGUUUCACCCUAUUCUGGGCAUCUCCCCACCCGUCUUGGCCAUCAUUACCUCUAGCAUCGUUAAGGUAUGGCUUCCUUUCAGCCUCGGCCGUUUCUUUCUCCAAUGACCGGUUAAAAGAUCAUUAUCUAAUCAACCAUUCACGUCGCCCAUAGUGUAGGCAACAGGCCAUUCUAUUGCGAUCCUCUGUCGCCUAUCGCUUCCCUUGAGAAUUUGAAGUCAGAAAUUCUUUUGUUUCAAUUUUGCUAGGUCCACUAGUUUUCUUAAAUCAGAAUCAAGUUGAAACCAGAAGAGCCUUGUUAGCUUCUUUGAUCUAUACUUCGUUGUAGCAAAUGUACAAUGACAACUCAUAUAAUGGUUGUUUCAUAUUCGAUCUGCAAGUCUUCUUCUCAUUCACACGAUGGAUGGCCAUAGGCACAAAGAGAAUUGAAGUAGUAGACCAUAAUCACUAUAGUAAAAGCUUAAAAUCUCAAAAUAUGUCAUCAUUUAUUUUUCAUUAUGCUAAAAGAUGGAGAUGAGGGCACACAGUCGUAGCUGCAAGUAAGGCCAACAGGCUCAAGGCCAUGGCUUUACAGCCAGCAGUCUUGCCUUGCAUGCACUCACGGACUAUUACCGGACUAGCAAUUGGUACUUUGACGCACUAUAUGGACCCUUACAAAAUUAAAAAAAUGAACGUCAACAAGCAAAUGAAACUGCAUGAACUGAAGUAGGGAAAUGAAGACCACGUACAGUUCUUAUUGAAGCUGAAAUGUAUGUCAUAAAAGUAUUAUUGUUAGAUUAAAGUCAAUUUAAAUAUUUAAACGAGUAACGAGGGCUCGGAUUAGUAGAAGGUGUUAGUGAGGCCCUCCAAUAGACCACUCAAUGAUUUUUAGAUCCAACUGUUUAUAUAGUAAGUUCGGAUAUUUAAUUAAUAAAUUGAAGUUGCCUUAAGAUAUGCAUAGUAAAUCACAAGACCAAAGUGGAAUAACCAUUAGACAACUAAUAAAACCAUCAUUAAGUUUUUGUCUACUUUUAGCAAUAUUGCUUAGGUUUUCUAUUUCGUCUAAAUAUAUCUUAAGCGGCUCAUAUGUCCGAAUUACCCACACAGUGAAUAAAUGUCAUUCCAGUUCAAGGAUUCAUGUGCAGUUGUCACACACUAGUGUGAACCCAUCAAGUGUGUGUCUUGCUUCCCUUUUCAAUCAACAAGCUACCUCCCUGAUUUGAAUAUAAUGAACUUAAAUGCUUCAGUUUCUAUGGUCCAUUGUUAUGUGAUGGACAUGAAAAAUGAAAAAUAUAGCCUACAAUGUUCAAAAUGCAUCUGAAGUACUAGGGUAUAAAAUAAGCUCACUGCCAUCCAAGUACAAGGGUUAACAACUAGAAAUAUAACCUUUAUUGCUAUCUGUAAACAAAAUAUGCCUGUUGAAUUACAUGUCGGGAAAGGUGAAUGCACGGAUUAACGGCUAGUAUUAGCUAAUUUUGUUGUCUUUUUUGUUAAUAACUAGGUUUCCAAUGCCAAACUCUGCGUAAGGGUUCAGCAACUGGCUACAUAUUGGAAAGGAGUUACUGUUGGUGGCUAGACCUCAUUAGAGAUAACUAUUUCAUCCCUGAUGCCUUCCAUGCCUAUGGAUGUACCGCGUGCUCGAGUAAGCUAUGGUUGCAGAUGGAUCUUAAACCUGAUGUCAAAUUGUGGAUAAUUGAAAGAGUUUGCUGUUUGCCUGCUUUAGGGAAGAUGGGUAGCACGUUUAUAUGCCAUUAUUUCUCAUGAAAGCGUGCAUAUACCAUGUUUGUCGGAGCAAGAUGAGGCUGUAGAGUAGUAGACGUGUAGAACAAUGGUACAGGUUGUAUGAAUAAUUUAUCGAAGGGGAUCAUAGACGCCACAGCCACUGAAGCUGUUGGGGCAUGAUUAGUCAAUGGUCUAAUUCCUGAUAUCUCCGUAUCCUAAUUCUCUGAAGCCUUACGGACUCUACCCUCAUCACUUCAUGUAUAUUAGUGUUUAUAAUAGCGGUUUUAUAACAAGUGCUGAAGGUAUUGGUCCUGCUAUAUCUUGCUUCCACUACCGGAUUUGUGUACAAAAUAUUAAUUCUUGAGAUUUGUCAAUGAUUUUAGGAAGCAAUGAUACCUUCAACUACCGGAUUGCAUAUAUAAGUUAGUCUUAGCCAGUUAUAUAUCAGAGGAGGAAGCACGCAUUAAAUAAUAAAUAACUCAUGUUGAUUCAACUGGUAACCUGGCCUAUGUCACUCGGAUACACCGUUUCUCUGAGGUGUUCCAGGAGGCGUAAGUUGUGGAACAAUUCCGCAACUCUUUAGAUGAUUGCUAAACUCGUGGCUCAAAUACUCGCCUCCACGAUCAGAUCGUAAGGCUUUAAUUUUUUUGCCAUGCUGAUUUUCAACUUCAUUCUGAAAUUCCUUGAACUUUUCAAAGGUUUCGGACUUGUGCCUCAUCAAGUAGACAUAGCCAUAUCUACUAAAAUCAUCAGUGAAAGUUAUGAAGUAUUGGAAUCCUCCUCUAACCUUCGUGCUCAUUGGUCCGCAUACAUCACUAUGUACGAGUUUCAACAAGUCUACUGCUCUCUCAGAAAAUCCUGUGAAAGGUGUCUUGGUCAUCUUGCCUAGCAAGCAAGCCUCACAUAUCUCGUAUGAUUCAAAAUCAAACGAAGUUAGAAGUCCAUCAGAAUGGAGCUUCUUCAUGCGCUUUUCACUUAUAUGACCCAAACGACAAUGCCACAAGUAGGUAGGACUCAAAUCAUUAGGCCGAGGCCUUUUAGCACUUACGUUACAGACAGGUGAACCAUCAAGAUUUAAAACAAAUAAUCCAUUCACAAUGGGCGCAAAAGCCAUAAACAUAUCAUUCUUAGAGAUCACACAACCAUUGUUUUCACUCGCAAAUGAAUAACCAUCCUUCAUCAAGCAUGAAGGAGACAAAAUGUUUCGACUUAAACUAGGAAUGAAAUAACAAUUAUUCAACUCCAUAAUAAAUCCUGACGGGAGGUGGAGUUGCAUCGUCCCGACGGUCAACGCAGCAACUUCUUGCAUUAUUGCCCACGCGGAAAUCAACUUCUCCUCUUUCCACACUUCUACUUCUUAUCAUUCCCUGCAUCGAAUUGCAAAUAUGAGCAACCGAUCUGGUAUCAAAUACCCAAGAAUUAAUAAUUAUCUAUAACAUUAACAACAAGCGUACCUGAGGUAGAAGUAUUCUUACUUCCGCCAUUCUUCAACGAAGCUAGGUAUUGCUUGCAGUUUCUCUUCCAGUGACCAGGUUCGUGACAAUAAAAGCACUCUUUGUCUGGAGUAGGCCCAGCUUUAGCCUUGGGCGCUGGGUUUGGCUUAGACAGUCCAGCCUUACCCUUCUUCUUCCAAAAAUUGCCCUUCUUAUUGAAGGUAGGCUUGUUCUGUACAGCCAUCACAUGGUUGGUACUAGCGCUUUUCUUAAUGUCUACCUCUGCUGUCUUGAGCAUACCAUAUAGUAUAUUCAGACCCUUCUCCGUCCCAUGCAUAUGGUAGUUCGAGAUGAAGUUCCCAUAGCUAGGCGGAAGAGAUGAAAGAAUGAAGUCAGUGGCCAACUCUUUGCCCAUUGGGAAGCCCAUCUUCUCCAAUCGCUGAGUGUAACCAACCAUCUUGAUUACAUUUGGUCCUACUGUUGCGCCUUCUGCUAGCUUGCACUCCAGAAAGGCUUUGGACACAUUGAACCUUUCAGUCCUAGCCUGUGUCUAGAACAUGUCCUUGAGCGCCACGAUCAUAUCGUGUGCCUCAUGAUUUGUUUCGAACUGCAUCUGCAGCUCGGGUUCCAUGCAAGCAAGCAUAAGGCAGCUUACCUCAAGAUUAGCAUCAAAUGCCUUCUUGUAAGCAGCCUUAACGGCAGCAGAUGAAUCAUCAGCAGGUACUGGUGGUAGUGGGGUGUCUAGAACAUCUUCCUUUUUAUCGGCCCUGAGAACAAUUCUCAGGUUACGGAUCCAAUCCGAGUAGUUUGUUCCAUUCAACUUGUCCUCUCAAGGACCGAACGCAAAGCAAAUGGUGUGGUGUUGCUAGGUGCCAUUUAAUCUACAACAAAAGUAAUGCAAAAUACACUAAGACAAACAUAUCCAUGAUAGAGCAAAUCACAUUAAACUAUGUUAACAGAAUCUACUCCCACUAAAAUCAAUAUCCCUCUAUUGAUACUUAGUGAUUCAGGAUCCACAACUAACAAGUCUACUAGUGAGCUUUAGCAUCACCGCUAGCAAACAAAGUAGAUCGGUAAGCAACUUUUCCUAAUCAUAUCACAUAUGACUCCUGUUGUUGGGUGACAUCUCCAUGUCUCGGCGCCCAACCUUUAUGCCCCAAGGUCCUUAAACGUUAAGUUAACCUUGUUAAGCAAACCAACCCUUAUGCAUGUAAGUGUGCGACACAAACCCGUCUAAUCAAGAAAAACUAGUGGCACCCUAAUUUCAUAGACCCACCACUAAUUGUACAAGACAUGGGACGGUGCAAGUUUUAGUUGGGAGGGCAUACUAACUUAAAAUUUGUGAGGGAUCGUUCUACUUCUAACAUCACAGCAUGCAGAAAGUAAAACAUAAACAGAAUAGCAUUCACACAGUUGUGACACAGUAUGACCCGUUUUCUUAUGGUGAUCUUCAUCUCCAUAGAACCUGUUCACCAUGGUGAUCUCCAUCUCCAUGUUCCAUGUGCGCCAUCCUCUUGGUGAUGAGUCCUCCAAGAACUAGAACAUGCUAUUACGCCUAAUAGCUAGUAAAAAGCUAGUAAUGAAGAUUACAUAGUUGGUUGGAUCAUCACAGAUUGGUACGCAGACCAUUAAAUACAUUAAGGUAACAACACAUAUGGCUCCUGCCGUGUUGCCGUACGCACGACACGCAGGUCACGAAUGAGUUACACACAUGCAUCACAUACACAAAGGGGCCAUACUGAUCACAAGAUACAUACAUCUUGCAAAACAGAGUUAAGCGUCCUAACGUUCCAAACUUUGGAGGCCCGAAACUCCAUCUUCCAAGCCGAAUUUGGGAAAUCUAAUGUCGCCGAAAAUGGCGAAGCAGUCGAAUUUCAUGUGUAACUUUUUCUGUAGAUCAAUUUUUAUAUAAAAUUCGCCCCGAUCCGAGAUCGUAUCGAAAAGUUACGGCUGAUUUACCGAAGCAUACGCACACGGCAAAAUCCCGACCCCGGCAGUAGAUCCCAUCUACUAUUGCACAUCUCAUGUGCCUGGCGUAUGAACCUAGAUUUCGAUUCGACCAAUCACAUUGAUCUUCGCUCACUGCAACUGGAAUUACGUGUAUCACCUAACUCCGAUGGUGGAAACCCAACCGGUAGGAGUAUGUCGUUACACUACCAUAGCAGCAAGAACACGAAACCAGGACGGAGAUCAAAUUGAAAACUCGCAUAUCUCCAUAUGCACACAUCCCAAAUCCAAAACUAAACAGCUACGGCUCUGAUACCACUGUCGGGAUACGAGGUAGGCUACACUAGCGCAAAUAAAAAAUUUUCUACCGCGUAAACCAGGGAAACUGCCGUAUAAGGAUCACGGGAUUACCACUCGACACACUACUAGUGCGCAAGAUGUAGAUUCACGUCGAUGCAGCGAAGUCGAUCAACGUAGUCGUAUGUAGUCGAUCACGUCGACGUCCAACAGCUCCUCAGCAGCUCGUCCACGUGCAGCAAGAUCUCCCUCGUGCCGCGGCUUGUCGGCGGCUCGUCACGGCUCGUCGGCGGCUCGUCCAAGUGCUGCAGGCGCAACACCUCCAAGGUAUCCACACGUGCAGGGAGGAAGCGUCACAAGCCGGACUGCUAGAUCCGUAAGUUGCAACAGGCGUGGGAGGCGCGGCUGAUGAGUUUCGUCAAAAUGGUGUAAACCCUAGGGCGCCCCCACCCCUCUAUUUAUAGAGGUUCCUAACGGGCCUCUGGGUCCGAGGCCCAUUAGUACUUCUAAACCUAAUCCAACUCGGAUCACAUCCGAAUUGGGCUUCCAGCCCCUUAAGUGUAUGACCCUAUGGGUUCGGAUACGUAUAGACAUGGCCCGAGUACUCUUACUCGGCCCAAUAGUCGGUAGCGGCCUCUAGCAAGACAUGCCAACUCCUAGAUGCACACGAAGAUCAUAUCAGACGAACCAUCACAACAUUAUAUACAUGCUAUUCCCUUUGCCUCACGAUAUUUUGUCUAGCUUCAAGCCGACCGCUCUUUCUCGAUCCUGUGAUUCGGAAUCCCUUUGUAGGUUAACUCUUAACCGUACGUAGCAUGGCCAUGCAUUUUUGGAUCCGAUCACUCGAGGGGCCCAGAGAUAUCACUCUCAAUCAGAGAGGGGCAAAUCCCAUCUUGAUUAACCAUGUCUCAUAGCAUGCUUCUUGACAAAACCGAAAGCUACCUUUAUAACUACCCUGUUACGGCGUAGCGUUUGAUACCCUCUAAGUAGGUCGAUCCACAUCUUGAAUACAUGCGACAAUCUCAGGUCUAAGGACAAAGCGUAUAUGAUGUUUAAAGAGAGAACUACUUCUCAUGUUGGGUCAGUCCUAGCACAUGUCUCCACAUGAACCCACAUUAUUAGUUCAACAUCUCCAUGUCCAUGACUUGUGAAACAUAGUCAUCAACUAAUACAUGUGCUAGUCUAAUAUUCAUGUGUGUCCUCACAUGAACUCCGACUAGGGACAACUUUAGAAUAACCAUACAAGUAAAGAGUUUCACACACAAUUCAUGUAAUUGCAAAUCAAUUCAAGUAGUCUUUAAUGGAUAUUCAAGGAACACAACAUAAAUCAUGGAUACAAAUGGAAUAUCAUCAUCUCUAUGAUUGCCUCUAGGGCAUACCUCCAACAAUUUGCAGGGUCAUGCACCAUGCGUGCGGCGACCCAUCCAUCGGACAGCGCAUGGCAUUGCACAAGACGUACUGGGAGGAUAUGCAGUGGAAUGAGCCAGACAGGUACUACGCCCUCCUCGCUCUGCUGGUUGGUUUGGGGAACCUGGAGGCCUGCACCAUCAAAGGGAUUGUAGAUUUCUUCGCCGUCCCCCGGCCAUCCCUCCAAAAGCUUUCCCGCACCACACCGGGUGGGCAUGAUGUGAGGGCCUAUCUUUACGCCCUAAUGAUAUACAGGAACAACAGUGCAAUCAUGGACGAUGACAUUGCGAAGAGAUAAAUCUACCACGUCGAAUGCAAGGAUGGUUCGGCAGUGAGCGGGAGCACAAGCUCAAAGAAGCUGCGCAACGAUGCCUGUCAGGUGUGCCGCGAGGAGGCCGCCUACCUAGUCAAUAGAGUUACAUGGGGCGGGCAUGGUGAUCCGCUUUCACCGGCACCAGUUUGAGGCGACUUCCCUUGCACUGGAGGCGACUGCGGCAAGGUUAAGGGCUGGGAACAAGCUACGCUUUAUUGCAACGAGGACUAUAGGAUACGCCAUGAAAUUGUAGCGUUCAAAAGGAGAAUGGAGAUCGAUAACUAAUUGUAGGAUUUCUUUUGCUUUUGCCUAAUGUUGUCCAUGACUCGUUGGCUGAACUUGUAGUGCUGGAACUAUGUUUGUGGUUAAUUUGGAUCAACUUGUAGUCACUACAAGGUUUUGUCUAUCCAAUGGAGUUGUAUUUUCGCAAUGUGUUUUUGUGUCUAAGCACACCUUACACCUCCCUACAUAUAGGUGUUAUGAUGCACAUAUAAAAAGAACCCACACUUGGGUACCUUCAUUUGUCCUUGGAUUUCAAUUGUGGGACCCACUACAUCCCGCCAGGUUGUGCCUCAAAUUUUUAGUACUAGUGCAAUGUUUCCUCCAUUCUUUUUUUCCUAGACCCUCAAAUAUAUCUCAGCCUCUACCCCACUUGCCCCCAAAACUGCGCUGGCUGCGUUAGGGGGGGCAACGGUUCCUCUCUGCCCAAGCGACUCCAUCCAUGGCAACUCCUCCUUCCAUGGCGACUCCUUCCAUGGCCGGCGAUGGAGAACCCAGCACACGACCAAGUACGGUCAGAGUCGAGGAAGCCGAUAUUGAAAACAAAUGUUACAGGUUCGCAUCCACCUUUAACGCCUUCUAGGUUAGGGCAGAAAAUUUCUACACAUUAAUUGCGUACAAUCGAUUUGAUGCUGCCUCAUUGGCGCAUGCUUUUAUAAAUCACAGAUCUGAUUACUACUGAUUAGUUUUUCGCAUAGCACUAGUAGUACUACAUCUUCAUUCAUUGAUGCAAGGGUUUUGAUAUCUAUGUGCACAUACAGAUCAGAGGAGUUGACAGGCUAGAUGGAUGUGGCAGGUAAUGGUACAGUGCCUGGGGGCAGAAGGACAAGAUGUGCGCCUGGUUAAGGUAAUAUUGAUAGCGCACAAUUAGACUUUGUCAGCUUGUGGGAUUACAAAGAUCAACUUCGAUAUGGUGCGUGGGACUACUACUACUACAAGAAGAGAAUAGGAAAUGCUGAUGCAUCUGUUCAGUCAAUUGGUUACCCCAAAGAUGUAGAGUGUAUGUUUCAGUACAUGGAUUCAUCUGAAGAAAGGAAACUAAGGUUGAUACUAUCAAAACAAGAAUUGGUUGGAGCUGUCAACAUUACACCCCUGAAACAACCAAGGGUGAAUGAGUCUGAUGAUGUUACUGAUGCUGAUACUAGUAAUGAUGAAUCACUUGAUGAAUACAAAGAUUGUCUUCAAGACCAAGACCUAGAUUGUGGUAUGUAUGCUGUUUGUACUACACUAUGCACAUGUGUCUAUAACUGUACAAUGUACUCACAUAGUUGUGUUGGUAACUUGCAGAUCUAUACGAUAACUAUAGGGAAGAAAUAGUAAAAACAUACUCUAAAUGGUUAAGGCAGAAAGGCCUUAUGAGAGAUAUUUGUAAAUCCUUUUUCCUCUGAACUAAUUCUUAUUUUUGAUGAAAAUUGUACAAUCGUCUAAGUGCACUUGUUUUUUAUUUGUUCAGUGGCUUAUAAUAGAGGUCAAGCAAAGCUUACAGAAGUACGUGAUGAGAGCAAUGGUAGUAGCGCCACGCCACCAUCACAAUGGCCAGCACAUGCUAGGAAACCAAAGCAGACAAUAGGUUCUAAAAGCUAAAGCUUCACACCUUCUGUAGUUUUUUAUGCUCUUAUUGUGCACGACUUAAUGUAAGUUUCUAUUUUUUGAUUGUAAUUAGGUGGCAAGAAAAUGGACCGAGAAUGCUUGAAAGGGCUAGCUGUGGUGGCCAAGAGAUCGAAGUCUGGCUCAUAGAAACUGAAAAUCAAAUUUUCCAAAAAUGUGGGUGGUCCCUGUGGAGAUAACAGACGUACCUUUGUGGAUGAGGUUGUUCUGUUUACAAAGUAGAAGGCUCCAUUAAUUGGAGUUAGAAAUUGGAAAGAUGUGUGUCAGCAUGUCAAGGAUGAUAUCGUAGAAUCUGUAAUGGUAUGUCAAUGGCCACCUCAUCCUUCAUUAUAAUGUUAUAUAUUAGUCUUGUUCCCUCUAUUUUCUUGGAAACAUAUAUUUUGAAUGUAGCAUACAUAACAAGUUUUCUUUCCCACUAGGAUCAUUGGGACCUUGAGACCACUGAGAGUCCGAACAAAAAGAUAUGGAAGGUUGCCAAUGAACGCUACAAAAGUUGGCGAUCUGUUUUGCAUUCUACAUACAAGGCAUACAACAGUUAUGAUGAGAGAAGGAGACAUAAGCCUGAAGACAUAGACAUUGUGAAGUGGCACUAUUUGAACAUGUACUUUGGAACUAAGGACUUCAAGGUAGGCCCUCUUUUGUAAGUAAAAGAACACAAUCAUGAGUUCAACUUUUCAUCGCUAACCAUUACUUUACGGGAUGACUGUGUAGAGUAGGAGCAGCAUGAACUCUUUGAAUCGUAGCCAACUGAGAACAAAUCACUCGGGGGGUUCCAAACCUUUCUCGUAGUGGAGUUGGGAAAAGGUAAAGAUUUGUUUACUUAUUCUCAACUUUCAGUACAUUACACAAUGAUAUAUUAAUAGCGUUUAAUGUUGUAAUCAUAGAGAGAUCCAGUAACUGGCGAUGAGCCACCCCUUUUGGAACUUUGGAAGACUACUCAUACUAGGGAAGAAAGAUGGACAAAUCACCUAGCUGAAAGUAUUUAUGUGUGUACUGAGUGCUAAUUUGAUCAUAACAUUGAUUCGGCAUUACAAGCUAUUUUUUGGUAUGAAAACAUGACCAAAUUAAUGUUACAAUUAAUUGUUUCUUGCCAUCAGACAUGUACAUCUAGAAAAUUAUCUCAACACAAUCAGAUGAAGAAGACCAACAAGUCAUACUUCUGGACUUGCUAAGGAAGACCAAGUUUUCUAGGAAACGUACAGGGAAACAACAGGAGCCAAAUAUAGAAGGUCACGUGGCCAUGGUUACUUGUCGAAUCCAAAACGAAAGCAAGAAGCCCUUCAGGAGAGAAUGAUUCAGGAGAGAAUAGAGAGGCCCGAAGAACAAGAAUGUCAGUUACAGGAAAAAAUGCAAAAGCAUGAAGCUAAAAAGGAAGCAGAGAUCGAACAACUUAAAGUUGCACUUAGCCAAGAAUUGAUGGGGGAAGUUGCUAGAAUGAUCGCGCCUUAUCGUCAGGCUUUACUGCAAGAGGUAACCAGAAUAUAAUUUGUGCAUGUUGAUUUAUGUUGUGUUCUAAAUUUUCAUAAUGUCACUAAUGUCUAGCCUCCCCUCUUUUAAAAUCCGCAGCGUACCCCAGCAAACAACAAUAAUACAACUGAAGUUGAUGCUAGGACCACCGAGGAUAACAUUGAUGCAAGGCCAGUACUGGACAGCCAAGAAAUAAGGAACCAUGUAUCGACAAUAAUUGGUUGUGAUUGAAAAUAUAUAUACAUAUGUCGCUAAUCUCUUGCCUGCCCGCUUUUAAAUUGUGCAGCAUACCCCUCAAACCAACAAUAAAACAACUGAUGAUGAAGCUGGGAGCACUGAGGAAAACCUUGCUGCAACACAAGUAGUGCAUAGUCAAGAAACAUCAAACCAGGUAACAAUAUCGAACAAGCAUUCCAAUCAUGAUGGUUUUUUGCAUUAAAUUUCAGCUAAAAUUGUUCCAAAAACUUUAUUAUGAUCCAGAAUGCUCCAAGAACCAUUGUCACAACCGAAAAAAGCACUUUGGCACCAACCAGAAAUGCUAAAACUGCCAACGUUGCAAAGAGUCUGUUCAAUGAGAAUCACGGUAAAGGUGUAGGAGUUGUUGCAGGAUCCAGAUUCAUUAGUACACAUCAGCUUAUAUCUGGUGCUAAAACUCGAGCAGGCAUAAAGAAAGUACAACAGGUACAAACUGGAAGUGUGCUUUCAAUAUUGCUGCAUAUUGAUUCCAAGACAAAGUAGCUUCAUAAGUUUUAAUUCACUUGUUUGUUUCUCUUUGCUUCAGCAGGCUAGUGAAGCUACGGAGGGGCAAUAAGACUCAAGGUUGCCUACAGGUUACAAGCAGAACUUCAAGCAAAGUUGAUCAUCAUGAAUGCUGGGAGUGAUCAAGAUUAUAGAUGUGUACGAAUAAUAUAGGUGUUCUACAUACUUUAUUAUUGGGAGUCAUGUGGAUGAAUGGACAAGAAUAUUUUCCGUUGUAUUAAAAAAUAUGAUGACGACAUAUUUUCCGUUGCGAUAUCCAUUGAGCGUAUAACCACGACCCGUAUUGUGUUGCACUAUCCUGUACGCAUAUAACCACGACAUAUUUUGAUGCGAUAUGGUUGAUGCAUAUAACGACGGCACAUACCUCGUUGUGAUACCUCGUGAGCAUAUUACAACGCUUUCUCAUCAUUGCGAUAUCCAUUGAGCGUAUAACCAUGACCCGUAUUGUGUUGCAAUAUCCUGUAUGCAUAUAACCAUGAUAUAUUUUGUUGCGAUAUGGUUGAAGCAUAUAACGACAGCACAUACCUCGUUGCGAUACCUUGUAAGCAUAUUACAAUGCUUUCUCGUCGUUGCGAUAUAAUUUAAGCAUAUAACGAUGACCCAUAUUUCGUUGCGAUACCCUUUAAGCAUGUUGCAAUGUCAUAUUUUGUUGGAAUAUGGUUGACGCAUAUAGCCAUGACUAGUAUUUUGUUGAGAUAUCCUCUUAGCAUAUUGCAAUAGGAUAAGUCUUGUAUUGCAACAACAUUCUUGUGUUGCAUUAACGCUUGUUUGCAACAGCGCAAUGUCGUUGCAAUAGCCACUAUAGCAACGACGCCUGCCAUUGCAAUUAACAAAAUUGCAACGACAAUGGACGUUGUAAUAUCCACUUAUUACUACGACACACAUCGUUGCAACAACUCACCCUUAUGCCCACGGCUUCCUGUGUCAUUGUAAUACCCUAUUACAACGCAAGUUUACGCAACGACAUGAAUUUUAAGGCAACGACACAAAAUUAUCGCAAUAGCUCGCUAUUGCAAUGAAAUGACCCCUAUUGCAAUGAUUUCGUGCUGUGGUGCUAGUGACAAAACCUUGUAGUGAAUGAUUUGGCUGCUAGCGUCACUUGGCCUACCCAACUCCCUCCGGGUUGGACGGUUGAGUGGGAUUCCUCCUCAGACGGCGAGGAUAGGGGUCAUUGAUGUCAUGAUCGGCUUCGUCAUGAUAUCGUGUAUCGACGUUUAGUUUCCGCAUGUUUUACUUCUUUGUUGUUUGAAACCGUGCAAACUCUGAUCUAAUAAAUUAUUGAUCUUUCUAUAAUAUGAACGGAAUGUUUUAAUCUCUGUAAGCACUAACCUUUGUGUGAGCAAUGCUUAUCGAUCCUGUAUAUGUGGUUUAUCAGAGGAAAUCCAACGGUCGACUAAGUUGACUUGUUUAAGGUGCUUGAUCGCGUGUUAGGUGACUUAAGUGCACUUUAGCUAGGUUAAUUUUAGACCAUUCCGCCACAACAUGGAUACUUUUUCCUCUUGGUUGCAUCAACACCUUAUAGGUAACUCUGAGAUUCACCCACAACUCGCUUGGUUAGCUAAGGGACCUUCUAGCACAAUCGUGAAAUUCCAAGGCUACAAGAUAAAUGAUUAUACAUUUUACACGAGAGCCCAAGACCAAAAAAGCACGAACCAAAAUAGUGGUGUCCGCAUAGAUGUCAUACACAGCACCGGUAGCAAGGACUCCUAUUAUGGUUUCAUAGAGGAGAUAUGGGAACUCGAAUACAGACCGCUGAACAUCCCUCUGUUUUGUUGCUAAUGGGUGAAGCUAACUGGCGUAACCAAAGAUCAGCAUGGAAUAACAAUAGUGGACCUAACCAAGACUGGAUACAAUGAUGAACCAUUCAUACUUGCCAAUGAUGUGCAUCAAGUUUUCUAUGUGAAGGACAUGUCUAGCAAACCAAAAAAAAUUCAGAAGAGCCAUGGAAGCCAAAGCGCCACAUAGUGCUUCUAGGUAAGAGAAAAAUCAUGGGAGUCAAAGAACAAAAUAGAGCAAUCAGAUCAUUAUGAUUAGUUUGAUGGCAUGCCUCCAUUCGCUAUUGAAGUUGACCCAAGCAUCAUGCCAAAGAAGAGGCUCCGUACUUACGCCAUGAUCAUGACCAAGGAACUUUCAUGAAGAAGUUUCUUAACGUUACAUUGUAAUGCACUAAAUAUGCUUCACCUUUAUGUAAAGUUACAUUGUAAAGUUCUAUGAUUUCAUGUACUACUUGAUACAAUUUUUAAUUUAAUGUAUCUAUGAUUUCAUGUGUGUUUAAAUUAGGUGAGGUGAAGAAUUAUUCAAAAUAUGUUUUUUGAUAUAUUUUUGCAUGUUUGAAAAAUAUAAAGUUUUUAUUUUUUUCUAUAACAAAGCCAGUUCAAAACAUAUAUUAAUUUGUAUGUUUAAAUUAGUUGAGGUAAAGAUUUAUUCGAUCAAUAUGAACAAUGUUAACCACAUACAUCAAUUGAAUUUUUCACAUGUUGAAAUUAUUUAAUUGAAUAAUUUCUUGAUGAUAGUGAUGUAGUAAAAUAAUUAUUUUAUAAACUAAAAGAACUAGUAUAGAAUUAAUGACUCAUUCAAACUUAUUGUUAAUAUACUUGCUAAUUUAAUAUAGUUUUGCAUGUUCCAAAUAUGUAAAGUUUUUAUUUUUUCCUUCCUAAAAUCCAGUGAAAACAUAUAUAAAAUCUAUUUGCAAAAAAUAGGCGAGAACUGAAAAAUGGAAAACGAAUCUUUAUCCUAGAUGCAAAUUGCAUCUAGGACAAAAUGUCCCCCCUUUAGGCCCGGUUGCAAUUUGCCACUAGGAUAAAAGGGUAAUUUUCGCCUCCCACGCGAACGUACCCUUUUGUCCUGGUUGUAAAUUGCAACCGGGACUAAAGGGGGGGCCUUUUGUCCGGUUGCAAUUGGCACCCAGGACAAAAGGACCCUUUAGUCCAGGUUGCAAUUUGCAACCGGGAUAAAAAGGGUCGUAAAAGUAACAUUCAUCUUCUCCACCCUCCACCCUUCAACACUUAGCGAAAUUUUCACCACUCUCCAGGAUCUACCGCGCCCGUCCGCCUCUGAUGCCGCUGGUCUCUCAUCCCCGCCCGUCCGCCUCCAUCGCCGGCCGCCGUGCUACUCAUCACCCGCCUCCAUCCCACUGUCGCCUCCUCCAUCGCCCGACCCGCCACCGCCUCCUCCGUCGCACCCUCUCGUCGCCACCGCCUCCGGUGCGCCCCCUCAUUGUCACCUCCCUCCGCGCCGCCUCUGUGGUGAAACCGCCCAACUUAAGCUGGUUUAAGUGCACCUAAUCGCUGUCGGGACAACAAUUAUUCGAAACACACCUAAAACAGCAUAAGUCCGGUAGUCCGUCGAGUGUCCCUAGGACUCCUCGAAAGAUCCACGACGUGUCUCAUAGCCAUACACCAGGAUCGCUUCCUCGAUGGGAAGGCAUCAACAAACAUUACAUUUUUACAUACAUACCGGGGUACGAAUUAUUACAUACCAUAGUUUGAAACAAACUUAAUAGUGCAGGUUAGCGCGGUUCUAAGAGUUCAAAACAUGAACCAGUCUAGGUGAAAGAUAAACAUUUAAGUUUUAUUUCUAGGGUAUUUCGAGACUCGUAAAAUACCCUAGUUCUUCGGAGCUUCUUCCUCAGCGGACUCCUGUUGUGGCUCUGAAAUAGCAACGAGGGAUAACCCUGAGUAUAGGGUACUCAGCAAGACUAACCCGACUAACCAAUAUAAUAGCUUUUCUGGAAUUGCAUGAAAGCCUUUCAGUGUACUGGCUGACUCAUAUUUUUGCCAAAAGAGCUUACUAAAGUGAAACCUUAACUUUGUCUUUUACUUCAAUUGAGUUAUUACCUAUCCAAUCUAGAUAAUGAAAAAGAAAUACUUUUGCAAACAGUAGGAAAUUAAGUCAUACAACAAAUUAAUUGGAAAGACAUUGCAUUCAUGAGAUUACACUACGAUGCUUAACAGCGAUCUAGCGCAUUCAUAACCGAGAAUUGCGGCGAUCCGGAUCAAUUACAUCCUAUAGGAGAGCACCCUGAUCACCAGCUAUGUACAACUGUCCGGGUCGUACAUAACGACCUUUCGAUUAGCAUACCCAAAGAUUGGGAAUAAGACUACCCGAACCCAGGGACGCACCCCCACAUGGGACCCCAUGUCUGGCCCGAUCUCCAUGUGAGUUUUUAGGCUAUGCCCCUGCCAAUCUCCAGCACGUCAAGCACGGGUACGAAAUAUUCCGGAUCAGAGAGUUUACUAACCUACCGGGCUUUACUGGUCCCAUACCCAGUAAGCAACCAGGUGACAUUCACUUGAUCAAAGGUUAAGACAACGAUCGGGCCUUAACCAAAUUAAUCUAGCAGACAGAACUAACAUCUCUAGCUUCUAUCGGCUUUCCAAAUUUCCAAGCUAACUUUCCAUAUCUAGCAUGUAUGACCCAACAAUUUACCUUAAGGUUCGGUAACCAAGUUACUUUCAGUAUCUAAGCAUUGCUAAGCAUGGGUUAAUUACUAAUUAUUGAACAAGUGGCAAAGAUGUCCUUAAAACAAGGCAGGAUCAUGCACAAGAAUAGGUUUCAAUCAACUCCUAGACUUAAUGCAUUGAUAAAAGAAAUAACCAAUAAUUGAACACAUGAAAUAAUAACUCCAAAACAGAUAGGUAUAGAUGCACCGGGGCUUGCCUGGGAUCAACAAAUGUUAGUUCUUCGGAAAACCCCUUUAGUAAAAGAGGCACUUCAACAUUUCUCGGACUCUGUCAAUCUUCAGAUGAAUUCCACGAAUUCCACUUCAGAAGCUUCGAUGUCUAUGAUUUAGUACAUGCAGGAGUUAGAGAUGCAAACUUUUGAAUACAUGACUAUACAACUUUCCUUCAUGAUAAAGUUGCAAGCCAACAAGUGACUAUACAACCUAUCUUCACAAUAAAGUUGCAAGCCAACACUAAUCUACCCAUAACAUCUAACCCACGAUUUUUUAAUCUCUUUACUAACCUGCCUUAAGCCCUUUCUUUUAUUUUAGAAAAGCAUUACAAAUAUUUUCUAAUCUCAAAAGUUAUUUCCUAUGAUUUAAUAAUAAUUUGUGAAUAAGAAAACAUUAUUCAAUAUUUUAUGCAUUUAAUAAAGGUUAAGCAUUUAUUUAAAUAACUUAAUGACGCAUUAAAUAAAUACCUAAAUUUUAUUAUUUUUCCUAGGGUAUAAAAAUUUGAAUGCAUAAAGGAAAAUAAAAUAAUCCUAACAAAAUUGGUCUCACUAAUUUUGGACACUCCUAGAAAUUUCUGUGAUUUAAACGGUGUAAACCGAAUUUUAAUGUUCUUUAUCUAUAAAAGGAAAACCUAAUGUUUAUCCAAAUAACCCCGGCCUAACCUUUCUCACUCGUACUAGGCCCGUUAAGCUGGUCCACCUACUCCCGGUCUCUACCUUAUUCUACUCGCCGGCCCAACGAGCGCCCAAACUCUAACGAGCCUCCUCACGACCGGCCUGCUCUCCGCACAGGCCAACAGCCCAACUUCCUCCUCCCUACCCAUGCCUGACGCAAGGGCCUUUUUUUUUUGGGGCCAGCCCACCCCGUUUCUUUCCCCCUUCACUUCCACCUGGGCCUCCAACCGACAAGCCCCUCUCAACUCCCCUGGCGCAUAGGCCAGAACAGGGGCGCGACAGGCAGGGGGCGGGGCUCGCCGACGGCGCCUCCCCGGCGGCGUGGCCGGGCUGGGGGCAUCCCGAAACCGGGGCACACCCACGGGCGGUGGCGGCCCUCCAGGAGGCGGCCUGUGCCGAGCCCUCCACGGUGGCGGCGGCAAAGGCCGGCGGCCGGCCGGCGCAAAGCCCGACGGUGGCGCAAAAACGGCCUUCGGUGCCCCCCCUAUGGACCCUAUUCGACUCAGCAAGCUCUGCAACCCAAGGAAUCGAGCAAAAGGGGCAGCACGGAGAGGCUCACCAAAGAACUAUGGUGGCGGCUGGCGGAUUAAAAUGGUGGCGAUUCGGAGCUUUGACGAUGAGGAAACAGAAAUCGGAGGGGCGUGGACGUUGCGGUGGGGCUAGCGAAGCGUCUGGCGGGCGGAUUCGCGAAGAGAAGCGAAAGCGACGGAGCGAGGGUGUUGGCCAGCGGCGGCGUUGCUUUCCCGAGCUUUGGCUCGCAUGGCAGUAGAAAUGGCAAAGGGUUAAAUGGGAUGAGGGUGAGGUGGUAAAGAUACAUAACUUUUACCGUGCAUGUGUGCCACCUCGAUGACCUGCAGGCCUGCGUGGGCGCGGACGUGGUUGUUGCGCUGGUCGACGGGCAGAGGUGCCGGCGGCGGCACGGCUCUGUCCCCUAUUUCUUCUUUCUCUUCUUCGAAAUUCAGACCUCCACAUCGACCAAUUUCAAAUCCAAUCUCUCGAAGAUCCCUUCAGCAGUCUUGUAGAGUAAUCCAUGUACUUCAAUUGAUAGAUUGGCCGCUACCUGAAAUGAGCACCCUAACACCGAGAUUUUGAAGCUCAAAGUUUGACCAGAACCUUUUGUAACUGAACCUCGGUCAUUCAGUCUCGUCAAGAUCCAAAACAGCGACUUCUUCCCUACUUUGAGCUCAAUUUAAAUUGCUUAAACUCCUUCCAUACAGCUUGAACCUUGCCUAUCCUUGUUCUACUACUGUUGGCGCUAGAAAUUGGCUGAUCGAAUUCCCAGCGUCAGACACACGACCCGGGAGAAUCUGCUUAGCUCCUGUUCGAGUGAUCACCCUAGUGCGGUUCGUGCAGCGUGCCAGCCAAUCUGACCUGUUGAUUGGCAAGGAAAGAAACGUGUCAGAUCCCAGAGGUUGCGAUCGGCUAAGGUUCCGAUCUCGAGAUAGCUUAUCAGUGAAUCGGCCGAUUUGCUGUAAUAAGGAAAUCGGCUAUAAUGCAGCCGAUUACCGGGCAGCGUUAAUAAAGAAGACUGCUGGAGUAAUCUAAACAAUGCUUAUAGUAACAACACUAGGAAUAGAUCUAAAUCGGCUAUGCGUAAAAUAAUAGAUUGAAUAACAAGGCACAGGAAAGCCGAAAGUUCCAAUUCCUAGCUGGAUAACUGGUGAUAAAACUAGAACUACAGGUAAAACCUAGAAUUCUAGUGGAUAUCGAUAACUGGUGAAUAAAUCUAAAUGAAACGACAGCGAUGCGCCCGAAGUUAAAGCUUAGAUAUUACUCGGUAAACGAAACUUACAGAAUCAGCCGGAGGUCAAGUUGAUGCAGCCUAGCCAACUCGUAUGAACUCGUGAAAAAGAAGAAAAGUAUUGGCGAAAUCGCCUGCUUGAAAGUAAGUGUGAGGAAAUAGUAGUUUGUUGUAUUGAUUUGAUGAUGAUUACAGAUCUACAAGGGUGGCUAUUUAUAGCCUGUUACAAACGACUUCUUAACCGACUAGAACUCUAUCUCUAAUUUUAAACAAAAAAUGAAUAUUUACAAGUACGACUCGUACUGGGUCAAUCAUCAUGCUGUCAUGGGCUGACUCCCUUUUUACCUUCAUAAUCCACUUCAAGCCCACACCGGCCCAAUUCCUCCAGCCUCCUAAUCGGCCGAUUUCUACCAACUCCAUUGGCAAGGGACAGCCGAUUACGGCCCACAUGUUUGGGGUUCUGACUACUCCGACCCUGGGACCUAAGGUCGGGCGAGGUGGAGUCCCUCCCUCAGAGGGUCGGGCGCAUCCGACCCCAGGACUCAGGGGUCGGGCGAGGCGGAGUUGCACCCUUAAAGGGCAAUCGGCCAAUCCUUGACUGUAGCACCAAUCGGCCGAUUUCCAACCAUGACCUCUGUGUCUUGCCGCAUCUCCUGAGUUCUUCCUUUCCUGACGCCGAUUUCAUACGAGUCAAAAUAUGGCGUCAACAACUACUAACAAAGAUUCCAUUUUGCGCAUGAACUCAUAUACCUUUUACAUUGGAUUUUUCUUAAAUUUGCUCCAAACAUUGCUAAUCAAUGCCGUUUUUCAGACAACAUUAUUUCGGCAAGAAGCCUGAAAUCUGUGCAUUUGCUGAAUUUUGGGCUUCGCUUUAAAUUCGAACCUUCCACUUUCUCUGGCCAACAACAUUUCAUUUACCUUCUCUAUAGUCCAUAUUUCACUAAUGUCCAAAAACAUCUGCUCACUUACAAGAACAAUUCUCCAGAAAUUGGCUCCAAAGUUGUGUACUCAAUAUUAAUUUCAGAGUUACGCGUUUUCGGAUGACUAAGUGACUUUGUUGAUUCCAUAUUCGAUUGUAUUUAUGAGAGCUUUAUAACUUGAUUUAGACUUCAAGAUUCAUUCCUUUGAGUUAUGAAUACUCUCAAGACUCUAUUUCCUAUUUUUGCCAAAUUUAUCCAAAUUUGAAACUCCAAAUUGCAAAUUUGGUUGAACUCGGCUCAAAUUCGAUUUUGGCUCAAAUUACCUUCCUUUAAUCCAACUUCACCAUUAGCUUCUUAAUGUGAUACUUAAGUUGUCAUUAACACUGGGUGUUACAGCCUCCUUGUCGCCCACCUCCGUCCCCGCCGCCUCCGUGCCCGCCAUUGCCCGCCGCUCCAGCCGCCGUUGCCUGCCGCCUGGCCCACCGCCACCUCCUCCGUCGCGCCCCCUCAUUGCCACCUCCCUCUGCACUGCCUCCUCAUCGUCGCUCUCCAUCGCCACCUCCGUCGUCUGUGCCAGCUCCGACCCCGCUGCCACCGGCAUGCGCCGCCCCGACCUCCUCGUCUUCUGCAUUGCCACUCCGUCGCCCCGUCCGCCGUAGCUCGCCGCCAAACCUCUGCCACCUGCCAGCCCGGUGACGUGCGGCGCCACCCCCAUCGCGACCCCCGGCCCUCUCCACACGUACAAUGGGGCCCUUGCUGAUGCUAGGGCCCUUUUUUAUUUUUUUAGUUAGAAAAUCAGUAUGAUUAGUACAAAAUCAGUAGGAAAUUACUAUUAUUAGUUGAAAAUCAGUAGGAAAUUACAAUAAUUUAGUUCAGAUGCUUAGUAUAAUUUUGUAUACAUUUUGUAUAACUUUGAGAAAUUACUACCUUUUAUUAUAAAUGAUUCGAAAAUUAGUAGAAAUUUGUAGCAAUGCUUAAGAUUUAUUCAGGAUAAGUUCUUAGUAUGAUUUUGUACACAUUUAGUAUAAUUUUUAGUACAUUACUAUUAUUUAGUACAAAUGCUUCGAAAAUUAGUAAAAAUUAGUAGAAAUUUGGUAGAAAUUCUUAGAAAUCAGUAGAAGUUUGUAGAAAUUUGGUAGACAUUCUUAGAAAUCAUUAGAAAUUUGUAGAAACACUUCAAAUUUGGUACAAAUUCUUAGAAAUUAGUAGAAAUUUGAAGAAACACUUCAAAUUUGGUAGAAUUGCUUAAAAUUAGUAGGAAUUAGUAGAAAUUUGGUAGAAAUUCUUAGAAAUUAGUAGAAACACUUCAUGUAGGAUUCGUUCAAGACAUUUCAUGUAAGUUUCAUUCAAGACUUUCAUGUAACUUUCUUGUAAGUUUUCAUGUAAGUUUCAUUAAAGACAUUUCAUGUAUGUUUCAUUCAAGAUAUUCAUGUAAAUUUCUUUUAGGUUUUCAUGUAAGUUUCAUUAAAGACAUUUUAUGCAAGUUUCAUUCAAGACAUUCAUGUAAAUUUCUUGUAAGUUUCAUGUAAGUUUCAUUUCGUGUAUGGUUUCAUGUGUAGAUUUCAAUCAGUUUGUUUUUUUUCAUGGUUGUUCUAUGAUUUCAUGUAUAUACCUUAACGUACAUGUAACUAUAAUUUCAUGUGUGUUUAACGUAGUUGAGAUGGCAGACGACAAGACCGCAAGCUAUCUAAUGGAGCAGAUUAUUGCUGGUGGUAGUGGCUCCAACCUUCCCGUAACGUACAUCGAUAAAGAGGGUACCUAGGCGAACAUGUUCCUCAACAUGUCCAGCGAUGGCAAUGAAGAGCCUCAGCCCUAGCAAAACCUUGUCGUGAUGGAAGGUUCCAGCGAGGUAUAUAUCAUUUCCAUUGUUUUACCCCAUCUAUAAUGUCUUAUUCAUUAUUAUUAUAUACUAAUUAACGAAUCUUGAACUGUUAGCCCUCUGGAUCGAUGAACCGUCAUAAGCCCUGAGGCCGUACAAAGGUGAUGGAUGGAGGGCUUAUCAUCAUGGAAGUCACAGAAGAGGGCAAGCCGGUUGCUCCCGAAAACAUGGCAAAAAAGUACGUGAGCCAGAUCGAGGCAAUCGUAAGGGACAACGUGCCCAUCAACAUCAUGGAAUGGAGGGGUGAAAGUACUAAUGGAUACGCGCUCUCGGAUACAGAAAAGGAAAUGUUGUGGUUAGAUGUUAAGAAACAUUUCACAUUUUUCCCGAAGGAUGUAAUGAAGAUUAUGUGAAAUCGUGGAUGCUGAAGAAGAUGGCCACACAAGAAGGGCUGAUGUCCAGAUUUCAAUGAGUGGUCAGGGACCACUGGGAGUCAUUUGUUGAAUACAAGACGAGCGAAACGGUGCGAACAAGGUUCGCACCAACUUUGUAAAUGCUGGCAAGAAGGAGUACCAUCAUUGUCUAGGGCGAGGUGGUUACAACACUACAAUUUCUAGAUGGCGCAAGAUGGAAAAAGACCUGAUUGAUUGGGGUAUCCUACCAGCAACUCUUGAAUAGCCUGAUCGAUCGAAAAAUUGGUAUUACGCUCAUGGAGGCAACAUGAGCCAAGAGGAUGGGACAUUGAUCUUCAAUGAGACAAUAUGUCAGAAGGCCAAAAGGCUUAUCAAGAACAUUGAAGAUGACACGGCUGGGAGUUGAAGGUGGACCGAGAGAAUAAUGAGCUAACAUUGGCCCAAGAAUCCCGAGCACCUAGGAUAUUGCCGAGGGUACGGGGUCAUUCUGUGGAAGUUCGCUUUUCGAGGCGACAUGGACUCAUACAGAAGCCGCAAGCGAAGAAAGGAAUAGCAAGAGGAGAGCUGGCGGCGCAUGUUAGAAUCCAAAGUGCAUUCACAUGAAGUAAGAAUGCAGGAGGAAAUCAAUCAUCGAGUGGCCCUAGCAGUUGCGAAGUUGGCCCAAUCUAGAGCACUGCCGGAUCCAAACGUUAGAUGAGCAACGGUUCUUUGUGGCUGUGAUCACGCAACGCACCUCAUGUGAAUGGCAUAAACUGGUCGGCAACGUCACCAUUAAGGUAUACUUAUACAUAAUAAUUAUGCAAUCUUCUCAAUCCAUCCACGCCUCAGGAGUUUAAUAACUUCUUUAUUUCUACUAUAUGUACAAGUGGCAUACGAGAGUGCCUUACCAAUCCUGCCAGGGUAGACAAGCGAUGCCAUGGAGGUUCUACCUGGCUAUGCUAGCGUCAGCCUAGAGCAGCUCGUUGAUAGCCAAUAUGAAGGCCUAGAGCUCGACCUCCUGGGAGGCGAUGGGGAAAGGACACUAGGAGAUGCGCUUCACGGGAUCAUUCUAUGGUGCAAAUGUUACAUCAUCAUCCCCGGCAUGGAGGCAUCAUUGCUCCCCGUAGAUCCCCAGCAGCGACCAUCUCCUCAAAGCUCUCGUCAUCUCCACCACGGCCUUCUCCAGGACCGUCAUCUCCACCACAACUUGCUCCAGAACCAUCAUCUCCAGCACAACCAGCUCCAGGACUGUCGUCACCACCGGGACCGUCUCUUCCUGCUCGAUCACGGUCUCCAUCUCCAGCACAUCCUAGUGGUGCGAGCGACGAUGACAAUAACACCCCUUCCCAAUCACCAUCGCCAGGACUAAGAGCUGCAUCGAGCAAGGAACCUGUAGCAACACUUAAGAAGUCGCAACCACCGCCUCCCAAGCCAAGACAGAGAAAGAAGAAAACAAACAAGCCUGAAUUGACUCCUGACAAAUGUAGGGAGGAGAAAAUGCAUGAGGAUUGCUGGCCCAAACCAAAGCAGAAUGCAGGGAGCGGUUCAAGAAAAUGGCCGAAGAAAGAAAAGCAAAGGCGAUGGAGCCACCGCCAGUAGAUCGAAGACAAUUAAAUUUUUUUAUAAAGAUGUCAGAAGAAGCCAAGAAGAUGCUGCCACCUUAAACUACGAUCGGGUGUUAGUCAAGGCUGAUGAGAGGAAAAAAUGGAAAGGAAAGUCGUCUUCAAGGGGUACUAUCCUCCACCUUAGACAUCUACCAAAAAAGACUCUCAAAAGAAAGCAUCAAUGCUAGCAAUGCCCUUGGAUCAAUAAGAACAAGUAGUGAAAUUCAUACAAGAAACAGGAAUGUCCUUUUCUGAAUGUCUAGGGCAAAGUGAGCCACCAGCUGCAUAGCCAGUUGAACCGAAAUGGACCUUUUGAGCUAGGCAAGUCUCUGGUAAGGCCUGAGUUGAUAUGGAAACUAUCAACAAAGAUGUACAAAUUCCAUGAAUGGUACAUCAAGCAGUCCAUCGUUGACAGGGAAAUAUUCGACCUUAAGGUCAAACCAAUAGCCUGGUUGACGUCUCUCUCAUCAGCGCCUGGGCUUUGCAAGUGUUCGUUUAUCUAUAUGUAAAUUUUGGCUCAUAUCAUUAUUUUUUGUGCAUGCAUCGCCCUGCUAACUUCGUCUUCCAUUUUAUGUAGGAUGCUAAUUCAGAUGUGCUGAUGGGAAGUGUACUUCCAUGUUGGCUUCAUGGAUCCAUCCCUAGUUAACCAACACAAGAUAUGGGAUUUUGCAGAGAAAACGUUGAUGGAAGUAUACAAUUUCCUGGACAAACAAAAUUACAGCAAGGAAUACAUCCUACUUCUAUACAACUUCAAGUAAGUGUGUGUAUACCAUCUAUUUUUAUUUUCUUUUUCCUUACCUGAUUAAUGUUAGUUAGCUCUAAUAUGAACAAUUACGUACGCAGUUUCCACUGGAUCCUCCUAAUAAUUGAGCCUGAUAGAAGCCACAUCACUGUCUUCGAUUCAUUGAGGAAACCACCGAAGGAGUACCAAGACGUUCAAGACAUGCUAAACUUAAUAAUUCUGGACUUUAUCUCUGUGCAAAAGUUUGUUUCCUAAAUUUUCACCUAACACUGUAUCAUUCAUUAACACAAAGGUCCAUUCAAAGAAAAACUUACAUGGAACACAAACUUCCUGGCAUGUAUGAAGUUUGCAUAUUUUGUACAUUAUAUAGCAUGAAUAUUUCAUAACUUGUUUUUCCCCACUGUAGUGCUUAAGACAGGAACUCAAAAAUAAUCUAUGUGGCUACUAUGUCUCUGAGCACAUGCAUAGUUUUUUGGGACACAAGGUACUAAAGAUGACGCCGCACAACUAUAAAGUACGUAAAAGAAAACUAUUAAUAGUUAAAUAUUUUCUAGCUCCUUAUAUUUAAUUGUUCGUGUAACAUUCACAUAUUUCCAGAUUACAGAUGCAUAAUAUUCAACAAAAACUCUUGGAGAAGGAAAGAAUAAGGGCAAUAUGUGAAGGUCUCAUGGGAUUCCUGGUGGACGAGGGGGUACAUCAACAAGGAGAAUUUUAUUACAAUGGAUGAAAAUUAGACGCACCGAGCAACACCACGACGGGAAGAUCCAAGGAAUGACUGGGGCAAAUUUUUGUAGAUAUAUAUACUAAUUGUAUAAAUACUAUGCUAAGAAUUGUAUAUAUACUAAGAAUUGUAUAUAUAGUAAUUGUAUAAAUACUAGUUUGAUUUCAUAAUAAAAAAAGUCUUAACUAAACUAAAGGGUACGUGAUGCAUGAAAUUACAGGCGCCUGCCUGCAUGGCGCCUGUAAUUUCAUGCAUGCACUUUAGUCCCGGUAGAAAAAACCAACCGGGACUAAAGGGAGCACCCUUUACUCCCGGUUGGUAAAACCAAGGAGGACUAAAGGGGCCUGUCCCGCGCCUAGCGUGGCAGCCCCUUUAGUCCUGGUUGGUUUUACCAACCAGGAUUAAAGGGUGUCUUUAGUCCCAGUUGAGUGACCCGGGACUAAAGACCCCCCAUUCGUCUUGAUUGCUUUAUCCCGGAUGGAUUUUCGGGAAAUUUUAUCCCUACCAACCAGGACUAAAGGUGAGUUUUCUACCGGUGCCUGUUCUAUCUCACUCAUUUGUCCUGUAGCUACAAGCUAAGGCCCCAUGUCAUCUAUGGCUUUUGUCCUGUAGCUACUAGCUAAGCCCCCGUAUCAUCCAUGGCUUCUGGUGCCUCCACCACACUGAAGAUGGCCUCUAUCACCCCUUGCAUCCUGCUGGUCCUGCUGUCCAAUGGCCACCCUACGAUGGUGGCCGUUGAUUGUGUUGCGGCUUGCAAAGACCCGUGCCAGAGCUUUUCUAACGGGUUCUGCGCGGGUGGAGCCACUGGCGGUUGCACAACUACGGCAGCAGCUACAACAUGCCGCAAUUUGGCGUUCUCGCAGUGUGCGAACAACUGCUUCAUAGUUUGCACUGCCGAGAUCAUCACGCCUUGCACUUGAAGAUGCAUUUGUGUUCCUACUUCCAUGUUAUUAUUAAUGCAGAAUAAUAUGGAUAAAUACGUGCAAGCAGGCCUGCCGUCCGCGGGAGGAGGUACGCAAGCACGCAUGAUGAGCCACUGUUGUUUUUCCAUUUUAUCAUUUACUUAUUGAAGGCAAUGUACGUGCCUAUCUCCUGUGUGGUUGAGCAUGUCAUGUUGGAAUUCUGUCCAAAGUUUUACAUACCAUCUUGUAUUGUUGUGUAUGCGUAUCAAUAUAAUUUAUGAACUAUUUU
rnacentral:lncRNA from 1 species